UCCCUUCUCUAUAAAUACACCAUUUCUUCAUCCUCCAUUUCCUCAAACUCCGUUCAACAAAUCCUUUUCCCAUCUCUUCUCUCCUUCUCAAAUUCUCCCGGCCACCGGUCUCCACCGUAAUGUCCCUCGCAUACGCCGUCGCUCACUCUUCUCAGUCAACGCAACUCCGCAUCAGAAACCGCCGGAAAACCAGUUUUCGAAAGCGAUGCUUCCGGAUGAUCAAGCAACAGAAAACCAGAUUUUAUAUCCUCGGCCGUUGCAUCUCCAUGCUUCUUUGUUGGCACGAUCAUGAUAUUACUGAUUAAAUCGCCUAAUUCCACCGUCGAUUGUUGUUUUCUUCCCUCCUAUUUCGACAAUCAACGUUCUUUUCGCCCGCGAGAUCCUCCGAUCGGUAAUUGAACUCCGAUUCUGAAGGAAAUGGAGGUAAAUCGGAAUCUUGAUUAGGUAUCAAAUUGAUCGGAGGAGUUAGGUAUACGGUUUAAUUUCUCACCGGCCGUUAUAACAUACAGCGCCGUGAUUCGUUCGCUUGGAGUAGAUUUCUCUUGAUCGACAGAGAAGAGACAAAUUGAAGGCAAGCAAAAACUAGUUUAAUUUCUCUUUGAACUUUUCUUCUAAUUUUAGUUUGUUAUUAGAUCGUUGAUGACCUUCAUUCGACGUACGGAUACAUGUAUAUAAACUGAUUAGAAAAAUUAAAAAAAAAAAAGGUUUUCUUUUUGUUUUGAAAUCGGACUCUGUUUUUGAGAACGAUUUGAAUUGAAUCUCUGUAUUUAUGAAUUUUGUUGAGAUUUAUCAAUCAUCAGAUUAUCAGUUCUUAUCUUAAUGGAUUCGUUUGCAAAUUAUGAAGAAAGUCAACUUUUUUUCUUCUCUAUACAUAGUUCAUAAUUUUAAUUUGAUUUUUGUGCGAUAAAGAAGUGAGCAGGAAAAUAGUUAUCCAAUUGUGGAAAUAUGUACAAAAAAUUACUUCUUUUCUUUGUUUAAAAUAAUAUUUUCUUCCACUUGUAAAAUCAACCGUAAGUUAAAUAAUAUAGAUUAAAAUUAAGUUUUAUGUCGUAGGAUACCACACGGGUUUACGUGUACAUCACCGAUACAUCUCUAUUCUUUUCAUCAAGAAUUCUUAAAAUUAUUGUGACUUAUCUUUUAAUUUGCCUCUGACCAUCAAAUGAAAUGUGAAUAACUCGUCCUCCUCUCCUUGAAACAAGAAACGCUUUUGAUUCCCUUUAAAUAAUUUAGUCUUCUCUAUAUUACUAUAUCUCUAGAGUCGAUAAUUUAUAUGAAGAAUUAUUACUAUUCAGUUUUCCAUUGAGGUCCUCCAAUGGAGGUACUCAAAUUGGUUACUUCCAUUUCAUGCUUAGAACAAUUCUAUAUUAAAUAAUCUCUUUCUUAUAAUAUAAGACGAUAUUGAUGGGUAUGCAAGGAAAAAUGUGGAAGAUUCAAAUACAAUCUUGUUUGGGUAUGGAGGGUUACAUUUUGAUUCUCAAUUUAUUUAUUUUCUUUUUUUACUUUUAAUUAGUAGUAGAAAUAUGAUUAGUAAUAAAUGGUGAGUAAGAAGAUUGGUUAGGUGGAAUAAAAUUGAACCACAUACCAAAUUUUGAUCAAAAUAUAUAUUUUUUUCUCUUCAUUCUUUUAUGUCAUUUAAGUAAUAGUAUAACCAUGAUUACUAAUAAACACUACAUUAAAAUAUGGUUUGAAUAAAUUUGAUAUUGUUAAUUAGUGUUGAGCUAGACUAAGCUUAUCGUUUAUUAGUGAACUUUUGUGGUUUGAAUUCUAAUAACAUCUUAAAAUGUCUAUUGAAUUCAACUUUGAUGACUUGAAUGGAUAGAUAUGUUAUUCCGACUAAUUUUAUAUUUGAGCUCGAAAAAUAACAGUGAUGUGCUUACCAUUACUUUUAACCUAAAUCUCCACCAUAGUUGGAUUGUUAAUUCCCAUCCAUUAACUUCUAAUCUAAGUAAUGGGACCCACUUAAUGUACGAUUAAAAAAAAAAGCACUUAUUAACACUUUACAUUGGAGGGCCUAAGUAAUAAGUGGUUGUAGUUAUGCCAAAAAUUUAGUUUUUGAUGUUUCGUUUUUUACUUUUGAAUUUUUAUGUCGAAGUAUUUAGUUCUUUAUAGUUUUACUGUCUAUUUAUUUAGUCUUUGUCACCGUCAAUUUUUAAACAAAAUAAUUAUUAAAUUAUAGUUGUUUUCAAAUUAAAAACUAUACAGUGAUUGUUGUUAGAAUUGAAAAUGUAAAUUCAUAAUGAACUUAUCAGACUAAUACAGAUAAUAAAAUUUGACUUUUGUGGUUAAAGAUUUUAGAAUUUCAAGGGAAUAAUUAGAUACUUUCUUAAUUAGGUAAUUUUUUUUUUUUUUUUUUUUUUGAGAAGUACUUUCUUAGGUAAUCAAAUAACUCUAAAUAUCGUUAUAGUGGGUAUACAAUUAAUAUAUUAAAACUCAAUAGACAAAUUGAAGUAUUUAAAAAACUAAGGUGUGUGAGUAUAUAUAUAUAUAUUACUUUUGUUUUAAGUGUUCGUAGUUUGACUUUGAUGCAAUCAAGGAUCAAUAUUUAAAACAUUUAAAUUAUAUUGAAGAAUUAAAUUUCACUUAUUCGAACUUAAUUAUAAUUUUAGGAAUCUUUGACAAAAUUAAGUUCUGGGAAAUUCAUAGCAACCAAUUUUCUUUUAUUGCUUUUAUUAUUGUCCAAAACAUUUAAAUUUUAAUAUAUGUUUUCAUAAUUGUUGAUUAUAUUAUGACUUUUGCUUUAAUCUCUUUACUAGCAUUAAGUUUAAUAUAUAGAUUUUCAACAAAUCUUAAUUUUAUUUUAUAAGUGGUUGGUUUUUUUACAACAUUGCAAAGGACCUUUGCAUUAUAAAAUUUUAAAGCAUAUAUUUUUAAAAAAGUAUUUACCUAAUUUAUGUUAUUUUAUAAAGAUUAUUAUAUUUAUUUGAUAAAAUUUUAAAAAUAAAUUUGAAGUACUAAAUUUAGGAUUUAUGAUUAACAAAUUUCAACGUAGAAGGGACAACGUAACCUUCCAUCAAAUUUAGAUAGCCCAGCCCAACUCACACCAUUGGGUCACUCUGGUGGUCCAGCCCAAUGUUAAUAUAGCCGAAAACGGUUAUGUAACUAUCCAAUUUCCGAAACGACGUCGUGUAGAGGACUCAUAAUUUUAGCUUAAACCCUAGUCCUGUCGCCGCCGGUGGUCACGCAGUCUCCGGCGACAGUUCCCGCUGUUAGUCUUCUACUACGGUGAAAAUCUCGAUUCUGAUUCUUUCUUUUCAGUGGAAAAAUCUCCGAACCCAUUACUCUACAUUGUUCUAUUCUGAUUUGAAUUUGUUUGCAUUGAGUUGGGUGUAAUUUUUGUUGUGUUAUUGAGUAUUGAGAAAAAUCGAACUUGUGAAUCUAUCAAUGUUGGACGAAAGCAAAUUCGACGUGCAUCUGAAUCUCUGGGCCUUAAGAAUUCCGAGGGAACUUUGUAAGGCCGCCAUUAAAAUACUGAACGGGUACGCUAUGUUUUGUGUUAUAUUGUUUCGAUUUCAAUUAAUCAUUUGGGUAAUGGCAUUUAGCAUUAGUGUUACUCAUAUAUUGUUGUCGUUGAACUGUUCAUCUUUCUUAUCCGAGUUCAUGUUUUUGAAAACUUAUCAGAAUUCUCCUGAUAUUUUUUAGUUUUUUUCUUUGAAAAGUAUUCUUGUUAUUAACUUUUGUUUAAAAGCAGACUUUUCUUUGGCCCUCAGUUCGUUUCUGUUGAAAAAUUUUCAGGUACUUAAUUGACAAGCCCCGGAUUAAACCUGUGACUGAAGAUCCAACAUGUGAUAAGAAUCGUUAUGUUAUAUUAUCUGAAAAGGUUCAAACUCCAGGUAAAGAUCUCCAUCUCCGUCCUCAUAUUUUUUCUGUUAACUAUAAGCUUGGAUUGCAAUUUCAUGUUCUUUAUGGAAACUCUUCUGUAGCACAUUCUGUUCGCUGAAGUUCCAAUUCUUGUUCAUUGAUUUUCUUCAUGUUACCUUAGUGGCUUUCUGGCUCUGUUCAUGCAUUCAAGUUCUUAAAUAGUUCUAAAAUUAUCGAGCGAGUAAUUUUUUAUCUUAAAACUUCAAUUUCUGUAGGGUAUAACCAUCAACUUGAAUGCAUCUUUAGUUAGAAAAGUGUCUAAAAACAGUCUAUAUAUCACAUGAAACCAAAUUAACGUCGUGUAACUAGGUAAUUUUCAUAAAAAUAAUCUCGUUUCCCUUUAAAAAUCACUCAUUUUUUCUCUUCCUUCUUUUUACCUUAUUUUCUCAAUGGAAUUUUCCUCGAUCAUGUCCUUAGAUGACACCAUUUUUCUAUCUUGUUGAUUCUUUGAAUGCUCAGAAUUAUCAGAAAUUCCAGAAAUGAAACUUGAAGAAUUGAAAGGCUUAUGCAUGUUUGAACGAGUUCCCUAUUCACUAACCCUUGGAUAUUCAUAUUGGGGAGCAGGUAUUUUCAAUAAUUCUUCCCUUUAUCACACAUUGUGCAAAUUUUACUUUCACCUUAGGAUUGCCUGUUGAACUCCAGAUAUUUAUAGAUGCCUUUAACUUUCGAGUUGCAAGUCUGAAGUGUUAUGUAAGGCAUAUCUAGCAUCAUUUUUAAUGAUCCCAUUCCCAUGACUCAAAAUCCAAACGUUUUUUACAUUGUGACUGCACAUGUGCUGAUAGAAUGUGGUUGUCUUUGCCUCUCAUUUGAUAUUAUAACUACAUGUGAUGUGACCGUUCUACAUCAAGCGGUUGCAAUUAUAAGAACAAUGUUCGAUUUCUGAAAGAUAGUUUAAACAAUUCUGUGAGCGAAUUUACCCGUCAUUUGAUGUGUUUGUAUUGUACAUACGUAACUAACUUACUGUGUGGUUGCUCUGUAGAUCAUAUUCUCAAGAAGAUUUUGCCUCCUGAAGUGGAAGUGCCUUCAUCUUUUGAGACAAUAGUUAAGUACUCUAACCCCUGCCAUGUUCCACCUACGCUUUCCUUUCUACAUUUUGUAUCCAUUUCCAUAUGCUCUUUAUAGCUUUUAUGUGCGUUCUUUUGUUGCUCUGUAUUACAUUUUGGUACCACUUGUUUAUGUGACAUUGGUUGUAACGUUGCUUUUUCAUGUACAACUAUUAACAUUGAGGUAAUUUUGUACUGUGAUUUGCAGGUCACGUUGCUCACCUGAAUAUACAUGACGAAUUACUUCCAUAUAAGGAUGUCAUUGCGAAGGUUAUUUAUGAUGUAUGUCAUCAGUAUCUAUUUACUUAUUUUCCUAAUUAUUUUGAAAUGUACAUUGUGAUUUAUUAAUCACUAUAAUUUAGCUGUUAGUUCAUUUUUUUAUUCUUAAUUUUGUUUUACUCUCCCCUUCUUUUCCUCCGUGCAUAUGUUGGGGGUACCUUUUUAAGAAAUUCAAAUGUUCAGAAUCGGAUAUUUAAUAUUUUUAUCCUCCCCCUUCAUCCAGCAAUAUGCACACACACACAUUUUCCAUAUUGAAACUUUUUCUGUAACUAUUUCUUUUUGUAAUCUUUGCAGAAAAAUUAUCCCAGGAUUAAAACAGUUGUAAAUAAAGUGGGUUCUAUAACAAAUGAGUUUCGGGUUCCAAAGUUUGAAAUACUGAAGGGAGAGAAUGAUAUGGUAACAGAAGUAAAGCAAUAUGGGGCGACUUUUAAGCUCGACUACAGUUUGGUCUACUGGAACUCAAGAUUGGAACAUGAACACAUAAGGCUGGUUUCACUCUUCCAACCAGGAGAGGUAAUUUGUGACAUGUUUGCUGGUAUUGGUCCUUUUGCAAUUCCAGCCGCCCAGAAAGAAUGUAUAGUAUAUGCCAAUGACUUGAAUCCAGACAGCAUCCGAUAUCUGAAGGUUAAUGCAGAAAUCAAUAAAGUUAGUGGUCGCGUUCAUGUAUAUAAUUUGGAUGCUAGAAAGUUUAUUUCUCAAUUGAUGAUAGUUCCCCCUAAUGAAAGUAAUUCAGAAUCUGUCACCUCAAUACUAAAAGCUUGUGAGAAGGGCAUUGGAGGGACCAAUCAAGAAUCACCAUUGGCAAAUGGUAUGCCGACUGGUAUUAUAUUAUUAUUAUCAUUUAAAGAAAAUUUCACAUCGUCUUCAGGAGAUUAGUGUAGAUGAUCUUAAUUUUCUUUCUUGCUUCAGUUCAGGUGCAAGAAGUUCAAGAUUAUAUUAAAAUUAGCAAUAAAUCUGUAGAACAAUCAAGGAGUGCUGAUAUAUCCGUUGCUGUUCUUAAAAGAUCCUCAGAAAGUUGUGAGAACGAGAAAGGUAACAUACUCUACCAUAGUUUGUGAUUGAACAACCAAGACCGUUUCUUCCUAUAAUUUUUUUUGCAGAUUUUUUUUAAUGAAAAUUUGCUUUGCAGACAAUGGAAUUGCUGAUGAUGCUUCCACUCGUGUAGCCGGUAGGAGAAAUGGAAACGGAAAUAAGAGGAUGAAGGGGUCCAGUGUAUCUCAUGCUAGGACCUGGGAACACGUUGAUCAUGUGAUUAUGAACCUCCCUGCUUCUGCUUUACAUUUUCUUGGUACGAAUGACCUUUUUUCUUUUUAAAUUUCAUUUCACUUAUUGCAGUUGUUUUAGCAUAUUUCUCUACAUUUGUGUGUCAGAAUGAAGAGUUAAAAGUUGGGGAAAUAACAAUGUUAGGAAAGGGAAACAAUUACUUUUUAAUGCUUCAAAUAUGAAGGGAAACCAUAAACGAUUUUUUCUCUCUUACUAUCACCAUGACAGAUAUUUUGGAUAUGUCAUAUUUCCUAAUUCCUACCUUUCAAAUGGAAUUCUUUGUUGUAAGUUUUGUAGUCACUCUCUAUACCAAUUUUAUGAGUUUCUUCAAUCUCCUUUAGCUCUUGGGUGAGGGAGAAUGCCUUAUCUCCUCCACUCAAUUAUCUCAACUCGUGUUUUUUAUCCAUAUCUAUAUUUUGCUUAGUUAACCAAUGAAGUAUAUUUUGUUAUUUUCUUGCCAGAUGCAUUUAGAGGCUCAAUUAAGAAGAAAUACUGGAAGGGCUCCCUUCCUUGGAUUCACUGUUACUGCUUCAUGCGAGCAAAUGAAAACCAAGAUUUUAUCAUUUCGGUAUGUGUAUACUAAAUUACUAUAGAUCCUUAUUUGUCUGUCUUCUUUUUGAUAAUUGUAUUUCUUUCUCACCAUUCUAUUUGGAUAUCUGUCUUGAAAAAAGUUGUCUUUCUUCUCAUACCAUCCUCUUUUAACUGUUGCACUCCAGGAGGCUGAGUCUGCCUUGAAUGCUAAUAUUCAAGACCCCAUUUUUCAUAGGGUCAGAGAUGUUGCACCAAACAAGGUAUUGCUUUGUGUGUGUGUGUAUAAAUGGAAACUACUUGUUUUUAACUCUUUUUUCUUUUUUGUUUUAUCAGGCUAUGUACUGUUUGAGCUUUAGGCUUCCGGAACAAUGCGUUGAUGAAGACACGACUAGCUAAAAUCGAGUAAAACUUUUCUAUCUCUCGGGGCUUCAUUUUCUUGUUCUCACAUCGUCAUAAUUCAUGUUUGUUUCUCAUUUCUGAGAUGUACAAGCUAGACGUAUGAUAUCGUAGGCUAGCGCUUGGGUAUUUCAGUUCUAAAGUUGAGAUUGGUGUUUGGAAAAUUUUCCAGAUUUGCUCAGUAUAAUUCAUAACUAAUCACUUGAAUUUGUAUAAAACAAAUGUCUCAUGUCCUAUGUUAUAACAAUAUCCAUUGAUAGGCGUAGUACGUACCUUGAUGAAAGUGCUUUUCUAUUCUUUAACAUCAAAAUAUGGUUAUUAAUUGAAGAUUGUAUUGUUAUCCUGUCCAAAUUAAGCAUGUUUUUAAGAUAUUUUACAUACAUGACAAUAAAAAAUAUUGUUAUCCUGUGUAGGGAUGAGAAUGAUAGACUAAAAGAUCGAGUGGACUAACAAAACUAAAGUCAGUUGAUGUCAGUUUGAAACUUUCCAAAUCGAGAAAUGUUAAAGAGUUAAACCAACCCACCGACACAUUUAUUCAUCGACGGUCUAAGGAUGGUUUGAACAUUUACUAAAUCGAUCAUAGUCAUUUCGAUGGCGGUUUGGUCAAAGAAUUGACUUCAACUGGCCGAUGAUUGCCUUUAAUUUUAUCAUUUUUAAUAUUCUUACCUUUAUAGUAAUUGUCCUAACAUUACCUAAUCGAUUGAUAAUGAAAAGUAACAAAAUGAUGAUAUGAUUGUGAUAGGACUACGUUCAAGACUUGUCAAGAUUCUAACUUAAUUGUAUGUCCAUUAUUAUUGUCACAAGAGUCGUCUCCCUUAUCAAGCAGUGGAUCUAGCCAUGACUAAACAUUAUGUUUAGUCCUUUUUUUUUUUCUUAAAUCAUAAUCACCAUCAAUGUUUGUUUGAUGGAAUAAUGAGAAAAAUGAAUAUUUGGAAAUCAGAGAAAAUGAUUUAUCAUGAUUUGGGACAAAUAAUUUUCUAUCUAAUGUUUUUGUACAAAAAUAGCUUUUAAAUUAAUCCAAGAUAUUAAAAGUACUUUUUAUUUGUUAGGAUAAGAUUACAAAAUACUUUUAUUUUUAGAAAAUAUUAUAAAAAUUGUUAAAAUCAUUCCAAAGGCUAUAAUAGACAUGCUUUAAAUUAUGUUUUUUUUCUUUUUUAAAAGUAACCAUUGUUUAAGUACUAAUUUUGUAUUUGCAAAAAAAUAAUUAUUCUAAAUUUAAUUUAUUUUGAUUCUCAUACUUUCUAUCUAUACAAAAUUUCAAAAAAUUUAAAAAAGAGUCAUUUAGUUCUUUUUUUCUUUUUAUAUUUUAGAUUUUAAUUUUAAAAAUUAUCAUUUUUUAAAGUAAAAUGUCAAAUUGAAUAAAAGUUGAAAGUAUAUUAAACAAAAUGAAUAAUUUAAAAGCACAAUGAUAAAUUAUAUAAAAAUAAAUAAAAGUACAACGUAAUAUUUAAAUUCAAGAUUAAUUUGAUUUAAAAACUAUUUUUUCACCAGGUAUUCCAAACAAAAAUAAUCAAAACAAAAUUGACAUAUUUUCUUAUUUGGUGAGUCAACUUGGGUCAACCACCUUUUUGACAACUUUUCCAUUGAGAGGAGAAGGCUUCUUUCUUGCAAGGCAACAUUUUCCCAACAACUUACCACGAAUAACAUUUAACCCAAAAGUAAUAGAAUAUAUAGUACAAUAACAAAAUAAUUAUAUAUAACAUAAAAUUAAUUUAAAAAAUAACAAAAUAAAUUAAAAUAUUUAAAUUUUGGUUGUAAAUAUUUUGUCAAAUUUGCUAUUUUUGACAAUUCUAUAAAAAAAAUCCUAGAUGUAGUUAACAAUGAUAGUAGCUAAGAACGAUAGGUUUCUUUUUUCAAAUUAAAAGUCAGUAAUAAUUUUCAAUUUAAAAAAUGUGUUAUCAGUUACUAUCAUUGAUACUACCUGUUUGUGAUAACUUCUAUCGAUAAUAAUCACUAAAGAGCAUACAUAACAUUUACUAUUUUUACAAAUAUUUUAUUUUGUACUAUAUUUUAAAUUUAUUUCUCACUAAGUUUUUCUUUUUCAUAGACUAAUAAGGCAAUACAUAAUCAAAAAAAUUAUUUAUGAUUCUUUUAAAAAGAUACCAAUCUCUUUUUUCCUUUUUAAUAAAUCCAUUCAUGUUUUUCUUUAUAUAUAUAUCAGAUUUGCACUAUUGUUUUUCUUCUUCCUCUUUUUGUAAAAAUAAUAAAGGGACGAACUUUGGGAAAGAGACCAAUUUCUAAAGCAAAGAUAGAUUAGAUGAAAACAUUACACGUAGAUUUUGGCUGGAAAGCUAUCAAUUUGGAUCAUUCUUUUUCAUUAACAUUAUUUCAUUAAAUUUCUAUUUUUUUUUUAUCUUUUCUUUAAAAAAAAUUACUUCUUUUCAAGAUUUUAUCAUCACAGUUUGCAUUAUCACCAUACAAUUUUUUUAAAAAAAUAUUAUAAUUUCAACCCAACUUGUAAAAUUAAUUUCCAAAAAUCACUUUAAAGUUCAUCCUUCAAUAUUUCAUUAUCAAAUUGGAGACCAUGUUACUAGAUAAUCAUCAAACAUGUGCUUUUUUCUUUUCAAGUUGAUAUACUUUUUUUCCCUUUAGUGAUUUCAAAUAUUUCUAACGUAAGUGCAUACUGCUAUUUAUUUAUUUUGACUAUAAUAAUAUAAUAUCAAGAUUUGUCUAGUUUGUUUUUUGAUAUAAUAUUAUACAAAACAACUAAUAUUUGUUAAAUACCAAUAACUAUGUUAGUGAUUUAUAUUUAAUAUAAUCCGAUUUUUCUAAGCCAACUCUCUUAAAGUUUGGAAAUAAAAAAUUUUUAGAUCAUAAUAAGCAAGCAAAAAAAAAAAAGUGUGAUUAUGUAAUGAAGAGUGAAUAUAUAUAUCUCUCAAAAGGAAAAAAAAAUCACACCUUUAUUUCCACGUUGUAAAGUGCUUUUUUUGGAGACCCUUUCUGUCAAAUGUGAUAUUUUUUAUAAUUAAAAGAAAUUGAAAAGUAUAUUAAAUCAAAGCUAUGUUAACCAAUGAAGAUACUCUAAAUAAUUUGAUAUUUAGAAUCAAGCAAACAAUUUAAAACUAAAAUGAAAAAGAAUUUUUAAUAAUUUAUUUUUGUUAUGUGAAAUUUGGUUGGAAUACAAAUGGGAUGAAAAUCGUCAUAAAAAAGCGUAAGAAAAAGAAAAACAUAAUUUAAUCAAACAAUUGAGGUUUUCUUGCUUUGGUAUAAUUUUUUAUCAAUAUUUUUAAAAACUAAAAAAUUAAGAUAAGAAUUGUUGAGAUAAAGUGAAAAUUAAUUUGAACAAAAUUUUUUGGUUCAAUAUUUGUAAAUGAAUAAAACUAUAUAUAUAAUACGUGUUAUUGGAGCUGUGCACACCACCAUAACUGAAUAACUGAAUUAAGUAACGAAUCUUUUAUUUUGCUUUGUGAAGCUUUCUCCCCUUUAGCUCUUCAAAAUCCUAAUAUUUCCAUUUCCAUAUCCAUACAACUCCUUUCUUGAUUCUAUCUUUGUUAAAAGAUUCAGAUUCAAAGAUUGAGAGAAACCCAUAAAAAUGUCAAGAAAUUGUAUAUUCAGAAUAUUAUUAGUUUUGUUGUGGUUGUUGAUGAUGAUUGUUCCAAAUGGUUUAAGUGUUGGAGUGAACUGGGGAACUAUGGCUACUCAUCAGCUCCCACCAGAGAAAGUUGUUAAAAUGCUUCAAGAAAAUGGGUUUCAUAAAUUGAAGCUUUUUGAAGCUGAUGAUAGGAUUUUGGAAGCACUUAUUGGAAGUGAUAUCGAGGUUAUGUUGGCUAUUCCUAAUUCAAUGUUGUUUCUUAUGAGUCAAGAUCCUCACGCUGCUGCUUCUUGGGUUGAUUCUAAUGUUACUGCUUAUACUUAUCAUGGUGGUGUCAAAAUCAAGUUGAGUUUUGAAGAUUCUUUUGAUUAAUAAUUUUGAUCUUCUUUGAUUUGUUUUUUUCUCGUUUUUUUGGUGCUCUUUAGGUGUUUGAUGAAUUUCCCACUUCAGGGUUUCUCUGUUUUUAAUAUGUUGUUCAUUCAGCUGCUGCUAUCCUGCUGAUGAUGCUGCUUUCAUUUUCUUUGUUUACUUAUUCGAAAAGCCGUUAUCACAACGUAGCUAAGAGGAUAUUUGUGAGAAAGGGUCAUAAUCACUCUCAUAUAUGUCUUAAAUGAUUUAGAAUCAAUUUAUACCAUCCAAAUUGAUUUUGAAUGAUUUAAUGCAUGCUUCGUUAUGAUUUUGAACAUGAUAAAAAGUUAAAAUUACUUAUAAAAAAUAUUCUAAACACUGUUUUUAGUUCGCUAAAAGGAAAAUUUCAGUUUUCUAAAAAGCAUGUCGGUUAAUCUUAGUGUUACUAAUUUCAAGUUAGAUCAUUUGGUCAUGUUCUUUUAUGGAUUGUAGUUACUAGUUUAAAUGAUUAAAUAUAAGCUAAACAUGAUAUUGAAAGGAUUAAAAUUAGCUAAAUAACUUUUGAGUACUCUUCAAAAAGUCAUGUUGGGUAAUCACACAGUACAGUGUCACUAUGUCACUAAACAUGAUAUUAUCAGCUGGGUUGAACUAAUUAGUUUCAUUGAUCACUUCACAAGGAAGUACUAUUUGAGUUAUAAAACUAUUGAAAAGUAAUCAAAUGCCCCUCUUAAAUAAGGGUCAUUUCUUGGAGAACCAUUCUUUUGGCUGAAAAAGUAGAGAUUUAUGAAGUUAAAAUUAGCUAAAAAAUCAUAUCGGUUCUUUGUCUUUCCCAUAAAAUUCCAUUGGAAACUGAUCUUGCAGGUAUGUUGCUGUAGGCAAUGAGCCCUUUCUCAAGUCUUACAAUGGCACUUAUCUUCCGUUAACAUUGCCUGCUCUAAGGAAUAUCCAACAAUCCCUAAAUGAUGCAGGGCUUGGUUCAAAGGUCAAAGCUACUAUUCCUUUCAAUGCUGAUAUUUACAACUCCCCCGACUCAAACCCGGUUCCAUCUGCAGGCGAGUUCCGUCCUGACGUUCGAGACUUAACGAUCGAGAUUCUACACUACCUAUCGAUAAACAACGCACCAUUCACAGUCAAUAUCUACCCCUUCCUUUCCCUAUAUGGAAAUGACUACUUUCCAAUAGACUUCGCAUUUUUUGAUGGAACAGCAUAUAGGCCAAUCAAAGACAGAGAUCUAACGUACACGAAUGUGUUUGAUGCAAAUUUCGACACACUCGUAUCAGCUCUAGCAAAAGCAGGAUACCCUGAUAUGAAGAUCAUCGUAGGAGAAGUUGGUUGGCCAACAGACGGCGACAAACACGCCAAUGUACAAAACGCAAAACGAUUCAACCAAGGAUUGUUAAGACAUGCUUUAAGUGGACAGGGAACUCCAGCAAGGGUAGGCAUAAUUGAUGUCUAUCUUUUCAGUCUAAUUGAUGAAAAUGCUAAAAGUAUAGAACCAGGGAGCUUUGAAAGGCAUUGGGGAAUAUUCGAAUUUGACGGUAAACCGAAAUAUGAACUAGACUUGGCUGGAACAGAAGAAGAAAAAGGGUUAAUACCAGUUGAAGGAGUGAGAUAUAUGGGGAAAAGAUGGUGUGUUUUGAAUCCAAAUGUGAAUGAUUGGGAAGGUUUGGCUGAUAGUGUAGACUAUGCUUGUAGUUUAUCAGAUUGUACUGCAUUGGAAUAUGGAUCUUCUUGCAAUCAAUUAUCUGCACAAGGAAAUGCUUCUUAUGCAUUUAAUAUGUACUAUCAAGUGAACAGCCAAAAGAGUUGGAACUGUGAUUUUGAUGGUUUGGCUGUGGUGACUCAACAAGAUCCUUCUUAUGGAAACUGCCAGUUCCCAAUUAUGAUUGAUUAUACCUCUUCUUCUUCUUCUUCUUCUUCAUUUCUGGUUUAUGAAAGAUUUUCUGAUCUUCUUGUUGCAGUUUUUAUGGGAAUUGUAGUGUUUUUUAUUGUGCAAUAUGAACAGUGAUGGAUUUUGGUAAUGAUUUUUGUGAGGAAUUAGUUAAGAUCAUUUGGAAGUUGUUCAUAGUUUUCUUAUUUGCCAUAUAGCCUCUCAUGUAUAAUAGAUUCAAAUUUUGGUUUCUUUUUUAUUUCACCCUUUAUUUUGCUUCUUUUAAUAAAUAAAUAUAUUUUGGACAAUGCUCGUAAUUUCUUUUUCUGCCUUAUAUCUUUACAUAAUUAUUUGAAGCGCGCGCUAAGUUGAGUUAAUAUGAUGAAAUUAAAAAAAAAACGACAUUUCAUGAUAGAUGUGCAAAUUUUAAUAGAAAACACCCUCAAAAUUUAGUAAUGUAACACCAGCUUAUGGAGAGAGUGGGUUUAUAAAAUUUAAAUUCACGUGAUUUUAACUUAUAACAAAAAUUCACGGGAUAUUGAGAUAUUUUAAGUCAAAAGUCAUGGAUUUUUCAUUUUAUGAAGAUACGUUUCAUGUUUAUUAUUUAUAUUAGAUUUAUAUAUGUGACAUUUUCUUGUUUAUUUUUUUAAUUUUUCUAAACUUUUUUCAUGUUAUAACGAUAAUAUUAAUUCAUCCCUCGUACCAUAUCAAACUCAUAAAAGCAUGAAAGUUCUGGCACAUAUAUGAAAAUUUAAUACAACAAACAAAACAAAUAGAAUUGUUAGACUAAAAUUAAACUUAAAGUUAGUUCAACUUUACAAGUCAAAAUAUAAGAGUAAUUAAUAAAUGAAAGAUUGUAGUCAAUUGCAAAACCACCAUUUAAAGAAAUUAUGCCCACAUACUUACCCAUAGGCAUUUCAAUAAGUAAACUCCCAAAAUAAGAAAGAAAAAUAAAUUCCUAUUUUCAUCGACUUUUUUUCAAUAUAUAUAUGAUUUAUAUAAUUUAAUUAAUUUAAACCGUCAUAGCUGUUGUAUUGGUUUGCCUUCAAUGCACACAAAUAAAAGGUUCAUUAUGGAACAUGUCACCUCCAAAUUCACAUUUAUAAUAUAUGGUCUCAAACUUAGAUAUAUGGCCAAUAAUAUUUAUGGUGCCGAACUCUUAGAUUUACAAAAUAUGAUACAUUUAAUACUACUCAUCUCCAUCCGUUCCAAACAUAUAACAUUAGUCAUUAACAAUUGAUAGAUAUAUGACUUUCUUAUAGAAUUUUUGAAUAUUUAAAUCUUGUCCGUUGUAUCUGGAACGUUAAAACUAAUUUCUUAGAUAAAAUUUUUUAGUGAAUUUUAUCUAAUCAUUAUUAUUGGUUAAUUUGUAAAGAAUAACAUAUUAAUUAUAUAUGAUUAAGAAACUGAAAGUUGAGCCCAUUGGUUAUUUAUCUUUAAUUUAUUGGUUAAAGAAUAUUAUUAUCACUUGUUUUCAAAUAUAGCUAAACGAGAUUAAUUAUUUACUUAAUUUGUUUUCGGUAGUUUUAUUAUUUAAAAUAAUUUUGAUAUUAAUUUUGCUAUUAUAUGGUUUAUGGUUGAAAAGUUGAACAAGAUAUAAGAGGCUCAUAUUCACAUGUCUCAAAAGAGGAGUUAUUAAUGAAUCUGUCAUCUAAUCUUUUUCUUGGUUUUCUUUAUAUAUACUUGAUUUAAGAAAAUUAAAAAGAGUAUAUAACCAAAGUUGGUUGGUCUUUUUUUUUUUCAUUUUUUGGAAUAGAAAAGUUGAUGAAAGUUUAAAUCACCGUUACUAUGGUUAAAUUUCUACGGUGGAUUAAAAAUAAUAAUCUUUUAUCAACCAACUACGUGUAUAUGACUAUCGUUUAGAGGUCAUGAAUUUGAAUCACAUAAUCUUACAAGCUAAAAGAAUAGUUGUCUUCCUGUUAAUCGUAGAACAAUACGUGUUUUGAUAUGCACUUUCAUAGUAAAAAAAAAAAAAAUCAUUGUGACUAAAAGAUGAGGUAUUAAUUAAUGUUUAAUAUCUGACGAAGAAACCCACCUAACCUUCAAAUACGAUCAACGUGAGUGAAUUUGUAAUUUAAGAGGUCACUAAGAAAAAUAGUUUUAAUUAUAUAUACAAUAAAGCUAAACUUACGGUUCCCUUUAUCCCUAUAGAAAUAGGACUUGAGAAGCCUUGAUCGAACAUGAACAAGGGGAACAAACUAGGGCAAACUGGCGAUUUGCCUUAAGGGGCAAAUUGGUCGGCCUUGGUCGAGGUUGAAGAUGGACUUUUUAAGCUUAGAUCGGUCUAAUUAGUACUUCAUUCACUCUCCAACAACGUCGUUGCAUGAACUCGUUUCUUGUCCGUCUUUCGUUCAUCUUAGAUAAGACAACUUUCUUGACUUUACUCUUAAAUUUUAUCUUCUAAUCUCUUGAUCUUUCUCAUAAAUUCGAAAUUAUCAUCAAAUAAUAUUCGCCACGGUAAUUAACAUAUUUGUAUUUUUUUUUCCAAAAUGAUAUUGAUAACAAUAACACAUUUACAACACACCAAAUUAUUUAGCUUAAUUAGUCAUGACUCCUCUUUUUUUUUUAAUUUUAAUGAGUAUAAAGAAAAAAAUUCCAUACCUAGCUAAACCCUAAAAUAAUUAAUUAUGAUAGUCUUCUUAAAUGUAAUGUAAUCUAUAUGAUCUAAAUUAGUCAACAUAUAUGUUGUUUCUUUUAUUAGGAUUCCAUUUUUGUUAUCUUCGUCUUUUGUUUUCUCUAUGGUUAUAGAACUACUUUAGAGUUUGGCUUUUUUCUUCUUUUGAAAACAAUAUUAUUAGUUUUAAUUUCUAACAUCUAUACCUACUUGUAAAAAAAAAAUUACAUCAGACGUUAAAAACAUUGAAAAAAAAAAAUAGUCAAUAGCACAUUUUUUUAUAUAUAUUGCAAAGCAAAUAUGACAAGUAAUGAAGUGAUACUCAUUAUCAAAUAGCUAUUAGAAGGUUGUCGACUUUUCAAUUUACUACUUUUGCAAUUUAUACGGCGUAGUGAUAAUUAUUAUAAAUUAUUUUACUAUUUUUGUAAGCACUAAACCUAGACAUUGCAAAAUUGAAAAAAAAAAAACCUUUCUCAUAUUUUAUAAAUAUUUUUAGUACAAUAAGUUUUGUAAUUUAUAAUUUUAUUUUUGAAAUUUUGCUUACAUUUUAAAUUUGCUUCUUUUUAGGGUGGUGAAAUAUACAUACUUAUAUAAAAUGUGUGCAAAAGAAGAAAUAGUUAUUAAAUGUAAUGCGAAUAUAUUUUGUUUAUAAUCGAUAAAAGUUAAUAAACAUUUAAUUCAAAUUAACAUCUAGUAAGCAAAUCCACGUCAAUAUUUUCAAAAUUUUAUUGUUGGAAUUUUCAUAAAUGACAAAAAGUUUCUGAAAAAAUAAACCACAGUAAACUAACCAUAAAUACUAAAUUUAAGAUUUAUGGAUGCAAAUAUAUAGACCAAAAUUAAACUAAAGUUCUAAAAGUAAAUUAAAACGUGAUAUAAUAAUUUUAACUUAAUAAAAGCUAUUGGUUACAACUACUUACAAGUUACAACCAUCUAUGUUCACAUACAUCAUUAAUUGGUAAAUGGAAGGAAAUAAUAUAAAAUAUAUAUGAUCCAAUUUGAUUCGUAUGGUUCUUUUUUACAAAAAUACGAAAAAAGAGAAAAGAAAAUUUAUAAAAAAUAAAGCAUUUGACAAAAAUAUUAUGAAUUUUAUCUUUUAGUGAUUUUGUGACGUGAAAGGUAAAUAGUUUGUGAAUUUUUUUGUUUUUUUUUUAAUUUCAAUAAAAAAUAUGAAUAAUUAGAUAUUUGAUAUUUUGAAUAAAAUAUUAUUACUAGACAACCUAUUUAAAUAUUGGAUCUCUCGAUUGCUAAUAUAUGUUAUAUGUCGGUUGAGUCAUGAUCGAUUUACACAAAUAUAAAAACUUUAAAAGGUAUAAAGAUCAACAACUAUAUAUUUAUAUAUAAUUUAGAUACACAUUCUUACACUGCAUUAAUAUUUUACUAUAGUUAGGUUAUUGUUACUUUUAAGAGAAUAUGUCAAGCUAAUGGUAUAUUUAAUUUGGUUUAAUGGAAAUUUAGUCAAAGAGACCUUGAAAUUUUAUCUAACAUCACAAAUAUAAUUUGAUUUUCGUUAUAUAUAUGUAUAUAUAUAUAUACACACACUUGUAUACUAUAAACUAAACAAAUUAAUAGAUUGUUUACAAUUAACAAAUUUAUUGAUUUGAAAAAAACAUAUUGUUUACAGAAUUUAGGUUGGUGGAUACAACUCUUUGCCAUAUUAAACAAAUAAUUUCUAUAAUACAAAAUUAUUCAGACUCGACACAACUCUUUGUAAUAUUAAACAAUAAUUAAUUCCACAUUUAAUAUUGAGAUUUAUAAUUGACGUCAAUUCUAUAAAUUAAAAAUAUAUUUUACUUUUAGUAUGAAAAAGUUUGAACAAAAUAAUAUUUAAUUAGUUUUGUUUUGUUGGGACUAGUCUUAAUAAGUGUUAUAGGGGUCCAUUUCCAAUAUAUUCAAGAGUGAUGGUGCAUAAAUAAUUAUGAGUUAUGGAUAAAAAUUUGAAUGCAUGUAUUAUCGUUUAUUUUAUGGAUAUCCUUCAAUAAACAUUUUUUUUAAUUUAUUUAUUUACGAUCGAUUAUAUUAUUAUUUCAAAUAAUAAUUGAUUAAUGGGUCGAUAUUGUUGAUUGUUACUAAUUUUAUUAUCAAGAAUAAUUAAUUUUGCUUCAUAAAAUUUAAAAUUUAAGCUUGUUCAAAUAAUAAAUUCAUCAAUUUUGUCUAUUUAGUUAAAAAAAAACAGUUUGUUGAUAAAAGUGUUUAAAAUAUGAAAAGUGAUUAAAUUCAUGUUUGAAUUUUGGACGAUUAUAAUCCACAUUUAAUUCUUAUUAUGAAAACUAUUAAUGGGAGGUUGAAAUUAUGUUUCUAUUACAUUGCCAGGUGUAAUGUAGAAAAUGAAUUGGAUGAUAAUAAAUAAUAUGAUUGCUUUAACUAAUCUAGAAAAUAAUGUGAUGGACAAAAUUGAAAGAAAAGUUAUAUCGAACUGAUGUAAAGGUCAAACUAUCCACUUCCAUUUCAUACAUCUAGAAAACUAUGUAAAAUAAAGUAAUAAUGUAGAGAACACAAAGAUAAGAAUUAAAUAUAUAUAUAUAUCAAUGAAAAUAUUAUAUAAAGUUUUAAAUUUUAUUAGACAACGUCCUUGUUUUAAUCUUGUAACACUUUAAAAGUAACGAAACAUUAAACCUAUUUACAAACUAUAUCAAAAUUCAUCAAUUUCAAAUAAUUUUUUUUUUCUAUUUAUAACAAAUUCUUAAAAGAUUUAAGACUUUUAUCCAUAUUUUUUAUUCAUCAGAUUUCAAUUUCAUUAUAAAAAUAUUUGAAUUUAUAGUUAAACUAUGAUUUUAUGUGUGAAAAUAAACAUAAGCUCGAUUCAUGGCGACUACCUAUCUAAUAAUUAAUUUCCUAUAAAUUUUAUUGACACCAAAUGUUAGAGGAUUAGGCGAAAACAUUUAACAAAUAUAGUAUUUUAUGUCAUAAACAAACUAAAAAAUGAAAUAUACAAUAGACUAUAAUUUGUUUUCUCAAAUAAAAAUAUACUAUAAAUAAUGUGAUCAUAUUAUAAUUUUAAAAAAUAAAUUAUGUAAUAUUUUUUUUGAAGGCGUAUAUGUAUUAAACACCAUAAAGAAACCACGCAGUCGGAGAUCAAGGCACAAAGCAAAGUUCCCUAUGAUAAGAAACGAUGAUGUCCUAAACACAAUCAAAUCAUACAGGAAAAAUCGAUGCAACCAAAGCAAAUACAAAAGAGAAUACAACUAAAGCUACUUGCAAUAUUUUUAAACCACAAUAAAAAAUCGCAGAAUUAUAGAAGCAUAACAAGUCACUCCGGUCGAUUGUGCUAUUACGAUAAAAUAAAUAGCAAGAGACCACAACACACACUCCUAACAAACUACUCUAUGAGAACCUGACGGUUGAAAGCACACUAAAAGAACAUCGAACAAACGGGUUGUUCCGAUGCAACUGUUCCGUAAGCUCAAAUUAAUUAAGGAUUAGUUUAUAUUUGUAAUUACAUUAGUUAGAGAACAUAUAUUUAAAAAAUAGAAUACAAUUAAAUCCUUGUAUUUUAAAAUUGUUUUCUUUUUUUUCUUUUGCUAAAGAAACCGAACUUGCCAACGAUAAAUGCGAGCAAUAAUAAUAAAGGAAGGUGGUGGAUACGGGAGAGAAGGUUGAAAGAAAAGGACGAGGGAGGGGCAAAAGAGUAAAUAACAGAAGAACUGUGGUUGAAUUUGGAAAUUUGAAAGAAAGGGCGGGACCGGGACAGGUGGUUGCUAUAUAUCUCGUUGAGGGGCCUGGGAUCUCUCAUUCGCAUACACACACCUCUUUCUAUCUCUUUCUCUCUCGUGUAUCGUUUCCUCCUUUUUAUUUUUUUGGCUUUUCAAACGAAAAUCGGGGCUCCUUAAAAGAGGGAAAAACAAGAUCGCAAACCCUAAAAAUCGACUAACAACAAGGGUUUGUUGAUCCCCUAAUGAAGCACUAGCCAUUUUUCCUGCAUUUUUCUUCAUCUGUUGCUGCUCUAGAUUUGGAUUCUCCUACUACAAUUAUCAAUCCUGUUGUUUUCAGUUUCACCAUUUUCAAAAGCCUUCUUCAAGGUUUGCAUUCAAUGUUCUUUCCUGGUAUUCUCGUUUUAGAUUGCUGUUUUUAUGUUGUUGAGAAUGUGAGAGAUGUGUAGUGUUCAUUUUUGUUUGGAGAAUUGGAACUCGAUAUAUUCUGGAAAUUUGAUUUUGUCGUGAGAUUUUUGGGUUUUUAGUUGAACUCGUUCCAUUUCGUUUCGUUGUUCUGGAAACUCUUUGUUUGUUCUCGAUGUUUCACUUUGCGAUUCUCGUAUGGUUUUGAUUUAUAGGUAUUUUAAAUUUCAUGUGUUUGUUCUUUCUAGUAGUUUUGUGUACUAUUCUUUGACUUCGGAAUGGUUUUUUAUCUUCUUCUUUGGUCAAGUAGUGGGGUGGGACAGAGUAGAUGUAUAAAUUGAAGGCACGGUUCUUUUAGGUAGUCUGGUUGCUGUUGGUUAUUAUUAUUAUUAUUUUUUUUGGAGUCUUCAGUCAUAAGGAACUUUAAUUAUUCGGUCUAGGACUUUGCUACAGUUCAAUCGUGUUGUUUUCAAUUCAUUUCUGAUUAGAUGCUGAUCUCAUUUGAUUUGUUUUCUUAUAUUCCAAUACAGAUGAAUAAUCUGCAAUUUGGUUCUUGUUGUUUUUUAUAUUUCAUUUAUUAGCAGCAAAGCUUGUGUUCAAGUUAUUUAUUGAUAUACAGUAUACUGAAGUGUUUGAUUUUGUUGUUUGAAGUUCAUCAUGGUAGCAACUGCUGCUACAUCUGCGUUUUAUCCUGUUCCUUCUUCAUCUUCUGAGUUUGGAGCAAAGAACAACAAAAUUGGAGGUGGAUCUGGGAAUUUGGGAGGGAUCAAGUCUAAAUCUGUGCCUUCUGGAAGUCUUCAGGUGAAGACUAAUGCCCAAGCCCCUUCCAAAGUAAAUGGAAGCUCAACUGGUUUAUCAACAUCUGUAGGUGGUAAGGGUGGGGAUGACUUCUCAUCAUCCCACCCACGAACUUUUAUUAAUCAGCUGCCUGACUGGAGCAUGCUUCUUGCUGCUAUUACCACUAUCUUUUUAGCAGCUGAGAAGCAAUGGAUGAUGCUUGACUGGAAACCUAGGCGGCCCGACAUGCUCAUAGAUCCAUUUGGUUUGGGAAGGAUUGUUCAGGACGGCCUUGUGUUUACCCAGAACUUCUCUAUUAGAUCCUAUGAAAUAGGUGCUGAUCGUACUGCGUCUAUAGAAACUUUAAUGAAUCAUUUACAGGUACAAUUGGAUUGAUGUAUUCUUAUGUUUUUGUGAGUAUCUAUUAUUUGUAAUUCUAUGUAUGCUUAUGAAAUGGAGAUAAGUAACUCCGGUCUAUGAUUUUUUUUUCUUCAGGAAACUGCCCUCAAUCACGUUAAGACUGCUGGUCUACUUGGUGAUGGAUUUGGUUCUACGCCAGAAAUGUGCAAAAAGAACCUGAUAUGGGUAGUUACCAAGAUGCAGAUUAUGGUAGACCGUUACCCUACUUGGUAAAUUUAAGUUCUUCCAUGAAGUAUUCGCUUCUAAAGAUGGAUUCAUUAUAACACUUGUGAUUUACUUGGGUGGGUGAGAACAGAAUUGAAUUUAAUUCAAUAGUUUUCCUUGUUUGUUUUAUCCCCUUAAGUUACAUAUCCAGUAUUGCCCUGUUCCUUGGGAUUAUUUAACAUAUUCACCUCACUUUCACCUUCCAAAAAUAAUUGAUUAUGGAAACGUUGGACUUUCUAGACCAAUAAGUCUAUGAAGUGGGCUUUGAUUUACACUUUUUUUUUAUAAGGUGGAAGUUUUUGAAGCCUCCCUCUGUCUUUUCUGCUUUAGCUGAUCUCUUCUUCCGUCUUUUAUUAACUAUAUGCAUGAGAUAUUGGAGAUUGUUGUGCUUACAGGGGUGAUACGGUUCAAGUAGACACUUGGGUCAGUGCUUCUGGAAAGAAUGGCAUGCGCCGUGAUUGGCUCGUGUAUGAUUGCAAAACUAGGGAAACUUUGACAAGAGCUUCCAGGUUUGUUACUUUCCCCCUUUUUGAUGAAACAUGGAAUCGUUUUUCUUCAUAGCUGUUGCAUUUUCUUUUUUCUCAACCCAUGAAUUAUAAAGUUAACCAGCUUUGAUUGAAUCGAUAAUCGAGUAAUUCUGGUCAUAGGUGAUGUAGGUUCUUGUAUAAGUUAUGAAUUUCUAAUGUGUGUUCCGUAGAGAACAGAAACAAAAUUUGCAUAAACUACAUUCACUUUUUUUUCAAUCUUAAUUCUAAUUGAUCUUUGCAUUGAGAUCGUGGAUUAUGAUUGCAUUCUUUUUUUCUACUAUCAAGCCAUGGCAUAUGUAGUGAUCAAAUCAUAGUUUACUGAUAGAGAUAUAUUUUUUGUGAUGUGAAGUAUCUGGGUUAUGAUGAAUAAAGAGACAAGAAAGCUGUCAAAGAUUCCUGAGGAAGUGAGGAGAGAAAUAGAGCCAUUCUUUAUGAAUACUGCGCCGGUUAUUGAAGAUGAUGGAAGGAGGCUUCCAAAAAUUGAUGAUGAUAAAGCUGAUUAUGUUCGAGCGGGUUUGACUGUAAGUUGUUUCAUUUAGCUAAAAUGUUACUUGAGAAAAGGAAGUUGGCACUGGGUGUUUUUGUGUUUCAUUUGGAAUUUGGUUCAAUAAUAUAACUUUCACUAUGCUUUUGUACAUAGAAAUUGAUCUCAUGGCACCUACAUUUCUGUACUGCAGCCUAAAUGGAGUGAUUUAGAUGUCAACCAGCAUGUGAACAAUGUGAAGUACAUUGGCUGGAUUCUUGAGGUAGAUAAAUCUUAACUUUUCUUAUCAUUGACUUCGAUACUUUCCGAAAAUAGUGUGCCCCAAAAUUUUCUUAUCUCGCACUCAUACAUUUCUCCAACAUUUUACACCGUAACUGUUCUUCUAAAGCUUGGUUUCCUCUUUUUGAUCGGCAAAUUAUGCUUGUGGUCAAUAGAGUGCCCCACCACCGAUAUUAGAGAGUCAUGAACUUUCUUCCAUCAAUUUGGAGUAUCGGAGGGAAUGUGGGAGGGACAGUGUCCUGCAGUCACUCACUGCAGUUACUGGCACGGAUGUUGGAACUUUAGCAACUUCUGGCGAUGUUGACUGCAAUCACCUACUUCGGUUCGAGAAUGGGGCUGAGAUUGUGAGAGGAAGAACAGAGUGGAGACCCAAAUUGGGCAACAAUUUUAGGAUCCUGGAUCAUAUUUCAGCUGAUCAAGGAAUUUAAGCUGCCAUCUCAGAGGAGUGUUCCUGCUGUAUCCAUGGUUUGCACCAAAUUCUGCUUUAAAUCCUCAGAUAUAUAUGUCUAUAAAUAUGGUUUUUCUCAUUCGUUCUCUUCUAUAAACAGGAAAAGAAAAAGGAAAAAAAAAAGGUUUAAUUUCAUUGUAAUUAUCUCUUAUCUAUUAUUUUUCCCUCUUGUCCCCAGAAGGCUACUAUAUAAUGUGUUUAUCUUGCUCAGCCUGGUCGGUUGCUAUGCAAUCAAUGUGUACCCACCGCUGGCUGAUUGUCUCACAGCAGGUUCGAAAAUAUUUUUGUGUAUAUUUUCUUGCAUUUUCUUUAAUUUUUGUUUGGAACUGGAAAAAAAAAAAGAGAGAUUUUUUCCCCAUUUUUUUGCCCUCGAAUUGUCGCUCUUCUGCACUCACUUUGCUUUGAGCAGAUUGGAAAAUAUUCAUAACUUGUGUUUGAAAUUGGUUGGAAAAAGAAAAAAAGAACCCAGGGGUGAUACUUGUAUGUUUUCUUGCUGUUUCUUUGACUUCUCUUUGGCAUUUUUAAAUACCAUUUUUCUCUCCCAGGAGUUCGAAUUAUCCAAUUUUUUAUGUGUGGAAAAAGCUGGGGUGUCUAGAUUUUCGUCCCAGAAUUAUUUACUUUUGUGGUAGUGGAAUUUGGUAAAAACUAAAAAGUGGCAUUUAUUAGUCUUUUAAUGCUAGCUGGGUCACAGUUAUUGUUUGUUUUGAUUUGAUGGCAAUUACUAAAGCUCAAUUAUUGCACAAAAUUUAUGCCCAUCUCAGUUGGUUAAAAAGCUGGAUGAGUGAAGUGGUGGCUUUUAUAUUAUUAUUAUUUGAAAUUGAUAUUGCAAUUUUCGUGCCUUUAUAAAAGAAUUCUUUGACUUUGACAAAAUAGUUUCAAGAAUUGGACAUUGUGAUUUUUGGCCAUUGAGAUGAAGUUCUCUAUUAAUUGUCUUCUUUAAUAAUAUAAAGUUUUGUUUAAAAAACAUUAUAUAUAUACAUAUAUUUCUUAAAUUAAAAGGUGGCUUUAUAAUUGGAUUUUUUUUUUGUCGUCAUUAUUAUUCUUUGGAUACUAUAAUCUUACUAUAGAGGUGAUUUCUAGUCUCCGUAGUUAAUUCUUUAAAAGAUAUAAUUAUUGGAGUGGGACAGAAGUUGGAUGAACACGUUCUAAUUAAAAAGUUUUGUUUGAUUUUAUAAAAAAAGUGUCUAGUUAUUGGGAUGGUUCUUAAAUUGUAAACUUGAAAAUAAUUAUCCAACAAAAGUGGUAAGGAUAUUGAGUUUGCUUAAUUAAAUAAUAACCUCCAUAGUCCCAUUUUUACCUAAAUGCGAAACUAGCUAAAUAUUACAUAAUAAAGUUAAUGUGGAAAGUAGAAUUUCUUCAACUUUUAACUGCGAACAAUGAUCGGAAAGACUAUUCUCAUGUGAAAUGACCUAAUUCUAGGGAAGUCUCGAAGUUUUGAUGCAAUGUUCUUCUAAAUCACUAGUCGACCAAUCAAGGUUGUAGGAGUUCUCAGGGUGAUGAUUUAAUUUUCAUUGGUUUUUCUGGAGUUGGGUCCUUUCGCGUUAACAGCUUCAUGAUUGGAGAAAAAAAAUAAACUUAUUUGCCUCACCUUGAGGUAAAUACGUUUGAGUUGAUAUAGUGGAGGCCUCUGUCUCACCACUAGUUUUUAGAAACCCAAAGUAUUUGAAACUUACUAUUAAAUUGAAGCCCAACUAAAAGUAUACAAAAAUUGUGUACAUAUUUAUAUAUAAAAUUAAUACAUAAUGUAAGAAGGGUCCAAUAAUGAGAAACAUCAAAAGUGUAUCUCCAUGUGCAAAAAGGCAAGAAAUGAAACUGCCCAUCUGCUGCUCAGUGUGAACUAGGAAGUUAUUAGUCAGAUUGGAUGAGUUUGAAUGCAUUACCUCCGUUUUCUUCAAAAAAGAAAAGAAAAAGAAAAGAAAACCCUUUUUUUAAAAAAAAAUUAUUAUCUCUAUUUUCAUUUCCCAUUAAGAAUUUAUUUCUAAAAAAAUUGAUACAAACCUUAAUAAAAGUAACAAAUAUCAACAUGUCUUCGGGACGAUUCGUACAUUGGUGAUAAACUUCUAUUAUUGUAUCAUUGAUAGACUCGUUUUAUAUGUUAAUAUUUUGAAUUUAAUAACUAUACAUGACAAUUGCACCACUAAUUAAUGAUUUUAUUUUUCUUUUUAAUAAUGUAGGAGCAGGAGAUGAAAUCUUAAACAUCAAGAUUAAGAAUGUUAAAGCUAUAUUCAUGUCAUUUGUUAUAGCUUAGUAGAUUAAUUAUGGAUAUCUAAUUAUCAAAAGAAAUAGGAGUGAAUAAUAUCGUCAAAACCACCCACAACUCUAUGUAAUAAUAAUAUUUUCUUAAAAAGAAGCCUAUGGUAUAGUUAAUUACAUUAAGAAGUAAACAUAGCAAACAUAUAUAUGCUUAUUUUUACAAAUAUAUGUAUGGAUGUAUGAGCUUUUCUUCUUCUUCUUCUUUAAAUUUGUGUGUGUUUUCAAUUAAAAAUUUAAAUGUUAUUAAAUAUGUAUUUAAAUGAGAUUAUGAUAUGAAGAUAGAAAUGAGAUCUAAAUGGCCCAUCACAUGAUGGUUUUGGAAGUACUUUUUUUCUAAAUUAAAAUAUAAAGUGCAAAAUGGGAAAAGUGGACUUGUCUUUGUUAAAAAAAAAAAAUUUAAUUAAAUUUACUGUUGAUGAUGAAAUGUCAAUUGAAUCUCUCUUUUUUGACCUUAAAUAAUAUGGGAAUGGGAAGUGUACGAGUCCUUAUCAAUUAAAAGGAAAAUAAAUAAAAUUAUUAUUUUAGAAAGAAAAAAAAAGAUUGAAUUGUGUAAAAUCCAAAACAACUUUGUAAAAGCAAAAUGGUCAAAUUAAGAUUGUACAUUGCAUUAAAACUUUGGUCUAAAUCCAAUGGAAUCCUAGGGCUUCAUUCUACCCUAACUUCCUUUUUUCUUUUUAAAUAAUUAUAACAGAAAAUAAUUUUAGAAAUAAUAACGAAGUAUAUAACAACAUUUUUUUAAAAAAUUAUAAAUAUAUCAAAGUCUAUCCGUGAUAGACGUUUAUCACCUUAUAAGUGAUAAACCAAUAUUUGCAUGUAAUAUGAUCUAUUAACGAUCAACUUUAAUAGAUUUUGUUAUAUUUGUAAUAUUAUUUUUAAAAUGUUGCUAUAUAGUUAAUUAUUUUAAAUCUAAUGACUAUAUUUGUAACUCUAUCAUUUUUUUUUUUUUUGGUGUAACUUGUUUUUUGGUUUAAGUUUUACUUUCACCGUUGGAAUUUAGUUAGAUAUAGACAUUUGAAGAGUUUUCUUCAAUCCAAAAGAAUGGAUGAUUAAUGUAGAAGAAUUAAAAGAUGUACGUGAAAUUAUUUAGAUAAAUUGUCGAGACAAUUGAUGCAUAAAAUUGAUUAUGUAAAUGAUUUUAUCGAUAUAUAUUUUUAGAUGAAUUGAUCACUUAAAGUAUAACAAAAUCCAAACGUGAGUAUAAAUUAAUACGAGUAUGAUUUAAUACACUUACGAUUUUAAUUGAUACAACCUUUAGGUUGAAGGACACUAGACUUGUAAGUUUUAUUAUUUUAUAUUUAUAUGAAAUAAGUUUUUUUAAAGUAUAAAGGUGAGCAUCGAUCGAUUAGAGUCCGUUUUUCUUUAUAAUCAGAGUCUUUAAAAAAAUUUAAACCGAUAUAGAUCGAACCAUUUCUCCCUCACCGAUUGACUAUCUUCGAUUCGGUUGACAUAGUUGUUCAAUCUAUCGUAUUUACUCCUCGAGAGAACGUUAAACGGAAGAAAAACGUGGGGGGAAAGGAGUAUUUGUUAAGUUGGGCAACAGAAAAUGGUACGUUAUAGUGAAGAAUACAAAGUAUAUGAAAAACCGUGUGCUUCACUGCUGAUCACAACUAAACUGCUUUUGCAGUAAACUCACUUUGGCUUCGUAUGGAGACCCACAUCACUCUCUCUCUCUCUUUUCUUUUGCUUUCAGUGCUAAUAACUCACAUUCCUCCAAUCACAACUUGCCACGUUUACACCCUCCACGUGUCCUUUCCUUCCAUAUCUCUCUUUUCGGAUUCUCGACAUAUAUGGACAAAUCGUAAAAGUGUUCGAAAUUAUUUACAAACACAAUAAAAUUUUAUAGUACAUAAAAUGAUAAAUUUCUGUAAGUGUUCGUUCGAUCUCACCGGUAGAAAUCUAGUCUAUUUUUGAAUUUUUGUUAUAUUUAUAAAUAGUUUAAUUUAUUUUACCAUAUCUAAAAACAAACCCUAACGAAAGUUAUUCUUAAAUUACAUGAGGAUUUAGUACUUAUCAACAUAAUUUUACUGAAAGUAUUUAUUAAAUGUAUUAUAUUAUUAUGAAAACUAAGGGACGAAAACGAAAAUUUUAUUUUAAAAGUAUGUCACGUGUUAAAUUGUGGUUAUACGAAAUAGAGAUGUGUUAUCUAAAUAUUUUUCGUUAAUUAAUAAGUUUAAAUUCAUAUAAAAAUAGAGAUGAUUGAUAAUGCGAAUAGGAUGAAAAAUACAAUAAAUUGUAUAGUUAUUCAAAACACGUUAAUAUAGUCGUGAUUCAAACUCGAACAUAUAUAUCUCAAUUCAUGGUAAAAAUAAUUAAAGAUGUAAAUUUUUUUUAACUUAAUAAAGAAAUAUAAAAUACAACAACAUAUACUUGAAUGAUUCUCUCAUAAAACAAGAAUUGGAAGUAUUAAAUCAUAAUCAAUUAGAGUGUGAAUUUAAUGUUUGGAAGUUAUUGAUUGUCUGAUUCUAAGUUUAUAAUUGUUAGUGGUUGAGAUGUAAUAACUCAAAUAUUAUUAUCAUUAUUUUGUCUUUAAGACUUUGCAUGCAUUGACAUGUUUCAUAAAUUCCAUGAUUUAUUACAUAUAAUUGUAUUCACAUAUUAUACAAAUAUUCUUGAAAAUGGAUGGAUAUUUGAAUGAAAUGUAUUAUAUUAUAAUUUGUACAAUACGUAUAAAAUUAGGUAAGUAUAGUUAUCGAUCACUAAAAAAAAGAGAGUAGAAUCUCAUUGAUGAACUACCACUUAUUUCGUUUCCGUGAUAAACAACUCAUUGGGGUCCUACUCAUAUGUUGAGUGCCUUAAGAGGAAAAAUGAUAACAUUUUUCAAAUACAAAAAAUUGUUCAUUUACCCUACUCUUUUCAUGUUAUAUAUGUUGGGUUUUGAUAUGGAAAUUUAGUGUGGUAUUGGUUUAUUCCAUUGCCAUUUUGAUGGGUUGGUGAUUGAAAAGAAAAAAAAAGAUGGUGGACCCUAAUGAAAAAUAAAGAAGAAAAUGCUUGGGGGGGCACUAUGUCAAGAAAACAAAGAGAGGAUAUGGUCAUUCACUCUUGUUUGUUUGAGUUAUGUUCCUUAGAAGUUUCCCCUAUGUCAUUUCACACCAUAUUUUCUUUACCUUUUUCUCCCUUCAUUCUCGACUCUUCUGAGUCACAUGAUUUAUCGUUAAAAAUGUUCGGAUAAGACCUUUCCUUAUAAUGAUCUCAAAGUUAAGGACGAAAUGAAAAUCAAACGAUUGAAAAGAUGUUUGUUAAAGGGAAAAAUCGACAAAAUGCAUUCGGGUCAGUGAGCGUGCAAAUAAACACAUAACAGAGACUUCCGAAGAAGAAAAAGGUUGGUUACCUUUCAAAAUGUUUGCUAAAUCCAUAGAUAAAUAAGAUCAAAUUGAAGUUGAUCCAGAACAUUGAUCAAUACUCAUUAAACAGCUUAUGAUGUUAGUUUAUUGGAUUUGAGUUAUCAAGACAAAACUAAUAAUAUAAUCAAUAACAGUUAUUACAAUAAUAAAACUUUAUUAAUAACUGUCAAUAGAUUAUAUUUACACUCUACGAGUUUUAUAACACAAAUGACACGAUGGACAAAAACAUCUUAACAAAGAGAAACAAGAAAAAUGAGAUCAUAUAUGCUUUAACAGGAAAUUACUUCGUAGUCAGAUAGACACAAUGCCUCUCUAUUUGUUCAAAAUCCAUUAAUGGAAAGGUAAAUGCAUUAAAAUUUUCUUUUUCUUAUAGUAAGAAAAGUUGUGUGUGCCUUUAAUUAAUUUGUGUAGCCAUGUUGCCUUUUGUCUUAGUUAGGCGCUACCAACCUUUGUUUGAGAGUACUCUUCACCUAUAGGAUCAUAUAGUUUUCUUAAUUAUUAUAUAUCUCUAUAUAUAUAAUUAAUAUAUGAGACCUAAAGCCCAACCAUUAUAUAUUAAUAAUGAGAUAUUUUUGGUGGAGCUUUUAGCCUAUAAUAAAAGUGAAAUAUAGUAAUUAAUUGAACUAUAUGUAUUUUUUUUUAAUACUAAGAGCAUAUGUUAUUAUAUAGUUGGCUCAAAUAAUUUCUAUUAUUAUAAAGUAUACAUGUGUGUGCGAUAAAUUUUAUAUAUUUUUAGAUCUUAAUGUAAAAUGAUAUGUUCCUUGGGAAUGUGUAGAGAAGUUUGGAGAUUACUCGAUGUUGUGAUUUUUUUUUGUGAAUUUCUAUGUAUGGGAUUUUUUAAAAAUCACUAACCAUAAAGGUAAUGAUUCAAAUCUAUUUUAGAGUUAAAUCAUAUGUGUUUAGCAACAAAAUUUCUAAACUUUUAUUUAUUUAAUUUCUUGAAUUUAAUAAAAUUUUAAACUUUUAAUUUAGUAGCUAUAAAUAUAUAGAAAUCAUGACAGAAUAACAAUUAUAACAUUUAUUUUAGAUAUAAUAUUUAAUUCUAAGAGUCUAUAUUGUCUUAACAUGUUUUUAAAUAUAUAAUUAAGUCAUUUUAAAAAAAAUAGAUAUUUGACAAUAACUUUUUAAAAUAACAUUUUAAAGUUUUAUUUUUUUAAGUCAAUACAAACAUAACAUUAGUAAUAGUUUAAAUAAAAAUUUAUUAUAGAUAAAAUUUAUCACUAAUUUAUUUUAGUGUAUAUAACGUUUUUUUAAAAAUAUUGUUAUAAAUUAGUUAUUGGUCCUAAAAUAAUAAUUUCUAUUAUUAUAAAGUAUACAAACGGUCCUAAUAUUGUUAUAAUUUAGUUUAAAUAAAUUAGACAAAUAAUGUAAAAGUAAAUCAAUGAAAGGUAUAAUUUAACCUUUCUAGCAAUAAAUUACCCAAAAAAAAAAAUAAUAACUUUUCACACUUUUUCCUUCAAAGUUUUACCUUUAUAUGGUUUUAAAUAAAGCAAAGCUAUAGAAAUUAACAAACAAAAUAAAAGAAAAUCAAGUAAUAUCCCUCUCUCUACUUCAAAACAUCACUUUCAAUUUUCAAAUCAAACCCUAACCCUAAUCCAAAAGAGAAAAUUUCACUCAAAAGCAAAAAAAAAAAAAAAAAAAGGGGGAAAAAGGAGAACAAAAUGAAAGCUACUUUUGAAUCAAAAUUGACUUUGAAAUCACUUUUGUUGGGUUUUAACCAUGCUUGUAAUUAUAACUAAUUAAAACCAUUAUUAAUAAUAUAAUUGAAUUAGUAACACCUUCUUUCUUUUUCUUCUUCUUAUUCUUUAAUUAAUUUGGGUGUGAGGAUAAAAAAAAAAUUAAAAUAGGAUUUCAUUUUAAAUAUUAACUAAUUAAGAAUUGCCCCACUAAUUAACUCUUUUUCUAUUUGCUAAAUCUCCAAUUAACUUUAUAGGAUGCUUUUGAUUUGAUCAAGUUAUAUAUGAACAAAAAUUAUGAUUGUGUUCAUUGAAGGAUGAUUACAUUAUUUUGUGGAUGAUAUAUUUUUAUUAUAUUUGGAGUGAAAGCAAAAGAAAAUGGUAUAGUAAAUCAUUAAAAUGAUAAGUAAGAGAAUAUUUUCUUUUGAAUUAGAUUCAAUCUCCUAAUUUAUAUAACAUUUAACUAAAUUUUAGAUUAUAUAAUAUUUAUGAUAAUUUUUUUUUUAUCAUUUUGACCAUUUACUUUUUUUUUUUCUCCUUGAUUUUCAAUAUAUAUCUAAUGACUUGAAAAAGAUGUAAAUAGUUUCUUUUGAUUUUCCAUAAAAGAAUUCACUAUUUCAGGAUAAAAUUAAAAACAAAAUUAUUUUUAAACAUACCAAAAUAAUAUAAUUAUAAAGUAUUUCAAAAUUUCAUAACCUAUCAUUGAUAAAUAUUAAUAAAUCGAUAAUAUAUUAGUAUUUACUAGGUAAACACAUAUAAAUAAUUAUAAAAUUUCGUUGUAGUUACAAAUAUUUUUUAAAGAGAAUUUUAAAAAAUAAUAAAAUUUAAAAAAUAUUUAUAACAUAUAACAAAAUUUCAGAUUCUAAUAAUAAUAAACACUGAUAGACACUGAUAUGCUACUAUAGGUGAUAUUGAUAGAUAAUAACAAAAGUUUAUUAAUUUUUAUAGUAAAUAUUUUAAUUUGUUUUAUUAUUUUUAAUUUUUUUUCUUUUGAUAUAAUUGAUUUUUUAAAAAUAAAUUUACAUUUUUUGAAAACUAAUUUUUUCUUUUAAAACUUUAGUUAAUUUUUUAAGACGUUUACUUAUUAUCUUAAUAUAAAUAUAUAUAUAUAUAUAUAUAUAUAUAUAUAUAUAUAUAUAUAUAUAAAGUUUUCAAACCAUUAAUAAAUUAAAAACCAAAACAACUACUUUUAAUCUUUAUCAUUAAAAUGAUUUCUUAAAAUAGGAAAAAAAUUAUUGAAAUUUAAUUAUUCCAAACCAUUACGUUAAGUCAAUGUAUCUUUACUUUUACUUUGACUUUUGUGUUCAUAGAUAAGGGAGAAAUUUUAUACACAAGAGUAAUUUUAUUUUAUUUUUUCAUAUAUUUACAUUUAAAACUUUAACAAAAUAUAAAUACAACUUCAUUUUAAAAAACAAAUCUAUUGUUUUAUAAAUAAAAAAUGAUGACAAUAAUUUACGUUAAAAUUGACCUCGAAUGAUUGAAUACAUAUGGAUGCAUGGAAAUUUGCUUAUACAAAUACAAAUAAAGUUUUUGAAUUUGAAAAAUAUGGAUUAAAGAAUUAAAAAAAAUAAAGUUUUGAUUCUAAAUUUGAAACUAAAGUUUGAAUUUCAAGAACACAAAAAGGACACAAGUAUUCUAAAAAACAAAUCCAAAGAAUGGCAUUGGGAUAAUCAUAAAAUCAUGAGAAUCCAAUUCCAAUUCCUCUUUUUGUGAGAUUGUGAGAAUUGAGAUUAAGUAAUCAAAAUAAAUUAGAUUUUACUCUUUAUAUAUAGUUUAAUAAUAUCUCAUUUGAUAGUUUUUUUAAUAAAUAUUUAUCAUAAAAACCAUUGGUCAGAGUUGUUGCAAACUUUUUCCAGGAACCAAAUUGUAAAAUAUAUCAGAUAUCACUACAAAAUAGUAAAACACUUCCAAAUAUAACGGUAGGAAUAGAUUGGAGUGAGUAUCGGCUCAGUCGGUUUUCAGACCAAACAUACUACGAUUAACUUUAGUAAAUGUUAAAACUGAUAUUGAUCAUGAAAGAGUGCGUCAAUCAAUCUACCAAUCAAUUAAAUUCGACUUAAACCUUUGAUUUUCUUAAAAAUUAUGCUUUAUGUUUAGAUUUUUCUCAAACAGAUUUAGAUCGAAUCUCCUCUUAUCUUUAAUCGACUACUCUUAGUUUGAUGGAUCGAUUCAUUUCAUCAAUCGUUCAUGAUCCCUCAGCUAAAACUAGCUCAAAGCUAACCAUUGUUUUUAUAGUAAUUUUUGCUUGUAAAAUAAUAAUUUUAGUGUUUAUAUGGAUGGAGAGGAAAAUUCCAAUAUGGAUCAAAAUUAAUCCAAACUCAACUAACAUAGUCGGAGAAUAUCCCAAGUUCAAUUUUCUCACAAAAGAGGGACACAUUUUAGUUUUUCUUUUCUAUAAUUUAAUUAUAUAUCAUUUUUUUUGGCUAAAUUGUAAAUUAUAUUCAAAACUUUUGAAAAUUAUUCUCGAGGAAGAAAUUAGAACUAUUAGGAGGUAAGAUGAGAGCACCACCAAUGUAUGAAUUUUACGUGUUUGAAGUACUAUAACGUUUAUUUUCCAUCUUGAUAUAUGAUUCUCUUCAGGUCAAUUUUGAAAACCAAUACCCAAUGAAUAAUAACAGAUCUGUUUUCCAGUAUAUUCAUUGUUGAUAUUUGAUAAUAUUUAUAAUAAUACUAUUUUACGAUAUAGUUUUGACAAUAAAUUUUUCGCUUGAGUGAUUUAUAGUCGAGUUGACCUGUAGAAGACAUCUCACCAACUCAAUAUUGAUAGGAUUAUAACACAAACUAAUUGCUUAACUCUAUGUCAACUGUAACUUGAGUCGAGCCUCAUACCUGGAUGACAAUGCCAAGUAGUUUGACGGUAAAAACAGUCCGCUAGACUCGACGAUUACCCUAAUGUCUUUCGCGAGGUAAUAUUGUAAAUCUAGAAAAAGAAAAAAGCAAUUUUUAAGAAAUAAAAUUUAUAAUUUAUAAUUUAAUUUUUUGAUGUCUAUUUUUAUUUAAUUUAAUUUUCUCUAACUUCUAUAGUGAUGACUGGCGAAUUGGUACCUUGAAAUUAAAUUAAAUUAAAUUUAUUUUCGUUGGGUGGGGAAAAGGGCAGAAAAUGCCAUACAAGUUAUUCUCUUGAUUCGAGGAGAGAGUUGUGUUCUUCUUCCCAACAUUUUUCAUGGAGUUUCAUUUCAUUGUUGAAAAAGGAGAGAGAUCAGAUUCAGAUCGAUUCUUAUCAUCAACACAACUUUCUUCUCCAUUCAUCACAUUCCUAGCUCAUUCUCAUCUUCUCUUCCACUUUAACUUCAACUACUCACUUUCUCUUCUUACUCAAUAUCAUGCCUCUUCUUCUCUUUCUUUCUAGGUUUUUUUAACUUCUACCUUUAAUUUCUUUCCCUCCUUCUCUUGCAUCACCUCACUUCAUCUUCCAGGUUUCUUUCUCUUUCAAUUCAUGUUUUCCUUUGUUUCAUUGCUCAAACUGAACUGAGCUUUGUUUUGAAAUUGUAAUUGUAGGAGCUUGUUUGUUAUUUACUUUUUUUUUUUUUUUAAUGAAGAUGAUGAUCGGAGGAUGUUACUUGUUUUAUGUGUUUGUAAUGUGCUUUCAUUUUCUUCUUCACUUUCUAAUUUUGCUAUGUUUGGCAGUUUUCUUCCUCCAGAUCUAUGGUUCACUUUGCUGUUUUGAUUUAUGUUUCUGGCUUUAAAUCUGGAUUUCCUGUUGCCAUGUGCUUGUACUUGAUGAAAAUAGGGGUUUGUUGUUGUUGUUGUUUUUGGAGGUUAGGGAUGGGGUUUCGGGGCAAAUGCAUCUCGAUCUUAACUUGGAAAAUGCCUUAUGUUGUCUCUGGAAGACUUGUUUGUUUGGGUUUUUGUGAAUUCUAACAGAUUUUUUUUUUGUUAAUUCAUGAAUCUGACCUUUCCUGAAGCUUCUGUGUACUUAUUUUGCUUUCGGACCUGCACAAGCCUGCUAAAAUGAGCUUCAGCUUAUAAUGAUUUUGCUUUAAGAGAUAUACUUCUACAUUACUUCAAGGAUUUUCGAUGGAAGUUUUUGUAUAGAAUGCCGUUGGAGUAUGAAACUAUUGCCUUUCCUUCCCUUUUUUCCUUUUUUCUUUUCAACUCAUUCUUUUUACUUCUUUCUCUUUUUCACAUUUACUUUCAUCAAUUUCGUCCGUUACAGAUGUUUCAAAUCGGAGCUUCUUUAUUAUAGUUAAGAUUUCAAAGUUAUAUGAGUUGUCUUAUCUGAUUUAAUUUCUAGUGUUCACAAUUUUAAGCUUUGAUUAAUUGAUGCCAGGCUUAUAGUUAUGGUCUUGAAUGCAACAUACCGAAUGCGUGUUUCUAAAGAAAGAAGUUGUGGCUGCAGAUACACCAGAAAGUUUGCUGAAGAGUAGUUUCUAAUGUCUUGUGGAAGCUAGGAAACAUUUUUCGGCAGAAAAGAGCUUGUUCACAUACCAUGUUCUGAAUUCAUCCAACCACCUCGAUUCCUAGUGCUCGUCUUCCAGAUCAUAAAGCAUCUCACCAUGCUCAAGCAAAUACUGAGCAAACUUCCUAAGAAGUUGCAGAAAUCGGAUACGGUGGAUUCUGCAACAAAUGAGUCUGGCAACAAUACUUCUCGUCUGGGACAUGUAUUCCAGUGUACAAAUGUAGGGAGCGCCUUCUCGAGUAAAUUAAAUGUUGUGAAGCGUGUUUCAUCAGCGGUUUUCCCUGCAAGUAUUGCAGCAGAAGCAGUGGAUCCCCACUUGUCAUUCAAAGAUGUUCCGAAUCCGCAGAAGCAGAACUUGUUUGUCAGUAAAUUGAACUAUUGCUGUGAGGUUUUUGAUUUGAAUGAUAUGGAGAAACAGGAUCUUAAACGUCAAAUGUUGAUAGAUGUUGUUGAUUUUGUUACAUCUGGAUCUGCAAAGUUCACUGAGACAGCAAUUUCAUCAGUAUGUAAGUUGUGUGCUGCUAAUCUUUUUCGCGUGUUCCCACCCAAAUCACGUUCAACUUCAACUGGUGGAGAAACAGAGGAUGAAGAACCAAUAUUUGACCCAGCUUGGUCACAUUUGCAAAAUGUAUAUGAUCUACUGCUUCAUUUUGUCAGUAGCAACUCCCUAGAUGCAAAAGUGGCCAAAAAAUAUCUUGAUCAUUCUUUCAUCCUGAGAUUGCUCGACCUCUUUGAUUCCGAUGACCCAAGAGAAAGAGAUUGCUUGAAAACAAUCCUUCACCGUGUCUACGGAAAGUUCAUGAUACACAGGCCUUUCAUCAGGAAGGCUAUUAGCAAUGUCAUGUAUCGUUUUGUUUUCGAGACGGAGCGGCAUAAUGGAAUUGCAGAGCUGUUGGAGAUUUUUGGUAGCGUGAUUACCGGGUUUGCAUUGCCAUUGAAGGAGGAACACAAGACAUUUUUAUGGAGAGUUCUAAUUCCUCUUCACAAACCAAAAUCAGUCGGAAUUUAUCAUCAGCAGUUAACAUAUUGUAUUGUACAGUUUAUAGAUAAGGAUCCUAAGUUGGCCAGUACAGUUAUAAAGGGACUUUUAAGAUAUUGGCCUUUAACAAAUAGCCAGAAAGAGCUGAUGUUUUUAAGUGAAACAGAAGAGAUUUUGGAAAUGAUCAGCAUGGUUGAGUUCCAGAAGAUCAUGGUCCCUCUCUUUCGUCGAAUCGGAUAUUGCUUGAAUAGCUCUCAUUACCAGGUAUGAUUAUUGCUUCCUAGAUUUUAAGGGUCUGAUUUAGAUUGCUGUUUUCUUUUAUUUAACUGCAUUUCACUAGAUUUUGGUUUUUCUUGUGUUAUUGUAUAUGCAUAUUUUACAAGCAUGGAACGGCUUCAAAUGGAUUUAUUCCUUGAUAAAUAUGAAGAAUUAGGAUUCGUUCCAAGUCCCUAAACCUAGUCUAUGUUGAUUUGAUUCGACUCCAAUGUGUUUUUGAGUGUUUAGUUGAUUUUUGGUUGGUACAUUUGUUUACUUUUCCAAUUCUCUUAGGUGGCAGAGAAAGCUCACUUGCUUUGGAACAACGAACACAUCAUCAAUCUUAUCGCUCACAACCGGCAAGCGAUCAUACCGAUUAUCAUCCCAGCUCUUGAACGAAAUACACAAAAGCAUUGGAACAAUGCCGUACUAAAUCUAACUUUAAAUGUGAAGAAGUUGGUUCACGAGAUGGACGAGGAACUCGUGCUUGCUUGCCAGGUUGACUUGAAGGAGGAACAGUCGAAGUUGGUUGCAGCGGCAGAGAAGAGGAGAUUGACAUGGGAGCGGCUCGAGAAUGCUGCAAGACCACAGCCAAUAUCUCCUAACAUUUCAUUUCUGGUAGAACCAGCAACUUGUGCAGUUGCUGGCUAAGCCACUCAGAAUCGGAAGAUCUGAGUCAACAAAACAACGGUAUCAUCAUUACUUUUGCAGUAGUACACCCGGAUCAUCUAGUUCUUUGAUUCAACUGCACAAAAAGCGUCUCAUCCGUCUCAUCGAGAUUGCGACGAACAAGUUACAGACGAUGGAUAUGAUCAGGUCCUGAUGAAACUUUCUGUACAGGUGUGUGGGUAAAAAGCAGGAGCAGCCUAUUUGGUUGUUAUUGCCAUAAAUUUGAGGAAAUCUGUAUCCUUGAUCAAACAGUGUGUUUCUUCACUGUUUUUUUCUUUCUUUUUUCUUUUUCCUUUUUCCAUAUCUCAUUCAUGAUGGGAUUUUGUGCUUUUGAGUUCCAAUGGCACUGGCAGCGUAUUGAUGAAGCCUUCAGCUAUGAGCUUGUUUGUUCUUCUGAAAAUUCAAUGUCUUUCUUCUCUUGAAUUCCAAACAGGAUGGUGAAUCAUCCUCAUUUCUUUGAGAUGGUGAUGGAGCCCGAGAAUGCAUUUUUCUGUCCUUUGCCUUUUAACCCUCUUUUUUUAUCUCCAAAAUUAUAUAAUAAAAUGUACAUUUUGCUCUCUCUAUAUGUAUUGGCGGAGGGCGGAGGGCGGAGGGCAGAGGUUUGAAUCAACCUUAGCAAUGUAAGUGAUAUUUCUUGUUGGAAAAAAUACCUUUUUUUUCGGGUUUAGUUUCUGUUUGAUUCUUGCACAUUUAUGUCUUAUUUGGUAACCACCUUGUUUUUAUUUCUUAUUUUUUCCAGAUUUCUUAAAAUUCUAAAAAUAAGUUAAAAGAUAAGUCUUUUAGUUUUUAAAUUUUCGCUUGAUUUUUAAACCAUUGGUAAAAGAAAGGAAGAAGGAGUGUUGAUAGUUUUAAUUCUAAAAAGAUAAAAACGAAAAUCAAAAUGGAUACUAAAAGGACUUUUUAGGUUUGGAGUUUGGUUUUAAUUUAGUUUUUAAGUCUUUAAACAAUUUUGUUAUAUUUUAUAAAUGGUAUUAAAAUUGUAGCCAUACAAUGAGAGGUUUGAAGUAAGAGUUAGAGGUGUGGGUGUAUAUGUAUGAUAUCUAAGAACUAAGAAGAAAGAAAAGGGUGUGAUUGUGAGAGCAAGGGAAGUAGGGUAGUCCAUGAAACAGAGGAUAAUGGAAAAGAAAAAGGAGGCAAUUUCUGAGGUGUUAUCUGCCAUUUGAAGCUCAGUCCCCUUUUUCCCAAAGGGGACAAUUUGAUUGUACAAUUAUUGCUUUCUUCUCCUUCACCAUUUCUCCCACAUUUUCCUUCUCCACACUUUCUCAUUUCUUUCAAAAUUUAUUUUUAAUUUUCAUAUCCUUACACGAUUUCAAUCUUUUUCAAAACAUAGUUUUGAAACGAUUUUAAAGGGUGCUUUUGAUUCUUAAAAUUCAUGGAUCUAAUAGUACAAUUUAAUUUUAUAUUUACUAAAUUCUUUUGGGUUUAAAUUUUUAAUUUUUUUUUGAAUUUAUUAAAUAAAGUUGAAAAUGCAAAAACUUGUUUAAGACACACUCUCAAAAGCUUACUAAUCAAAUAGAUGUAACCAUCAAAGUUCAGUGAAAAAUCUAAUUAAAAUUGGUGGUUGACAAUGUGUAUCAAUUUGCAUUCGUCCCAUUUAAAAACAUUCUAACUAUGAUAUAUAAUAACUCAUUUAGAUGAGUGGUAUAGUGCUUUUGUAAUCAAGAUCAAAAAAGAGAAAUUUUCUAAUGUGAUUAAACCUCUUGUUUUUUCAAGGCCAUAGUGAAUUUUGUUCGAAUUUUGAAAUUUUACUCACCAUGAAGCAAUUUUAUAAAAUUGUCUUGAUUUCUUCUCGUUCAUGUGCGACCAACUUUAAGACUAUGCACCAACUCGGCAGUUGCACACGAGCAACUCCAAAUUGUAAAUAUUGAUCUAAAUAUCAAUAUUUGGAAUAUGAAAUUUUGGUAUAUUUGUAAUUGUUUUAAAGUAUUGCUACGUAGUAAUAUAAUUAAAAAUUAAAAUUGAGAAGCAAUCACGUGUUUACUUAGAGGGAGAGAGAGAGAGAAAAAGGCGAAACCAGAGGGUUUUAGGUUUCUUCUUCGCUCAUAGUAAUUGCCCAACGACUUCCAUUCAAUCCUUUUCCACACUCUAAACUUUCCAUCGCCAAACCUAAACAGAGAUUCCCAAUUUCGGAACUGAAAGAAAGAAGGGAUGUACCACGUUCUUCCACCGCAAGAACAGCAUUUCUCUUACAUUACGUACGAUGUCCAAAGACGCCAAUCAAGAUAAAGGCUGUGUCUCUUCGCUCUGUAAGAACGACGAUCUCUUUAAUUUCUUCCAUUCUUCCAUUUUUCUAAUUUUUCUAAUCGAUUUGAAUAAUUUUAUCAGUUUAUUCGCUGUGUGUUGCUGUUUUUGCUGAUUCGAAUUAAACUUGCGUGUGUUGCUUGAAGUGUGUUUGUUGUUGCUGCGAUUGAGUUAUAUAGUGUAUUCCAUCUUCGAUUCAAUAAUCAUCUAAAUUUCUAUCUUUCGGUGUUUUGUUAGAAAAUUUAUAUAAAAAAAAAAGAGAAAGAGGAGAAUUAGGCUUUGGAGAGAUAUUGGAUGUAAUUUGUUCUGAGUUCUUGUUUUUUUUUCUUCUUCAAUUUCUUUGAUUUAAUAAAAAAGAGUCUGGGUUGUAUAUUUGUAUUCUUACCAUGUUCCAAUUUAUUUUUCAAAUUAGAGAUAAGAACAAGGUAUUUAGCAACAUUUAAAAAGAAGUUAUUAAUAUAGAAAAGUUUACCGAUAUCUCUCCAAAAAAAUUUGUAUAGAAGACACUAUACGCUAUAUAAUAAACACACUUCAACAGAUAUCUGAAUGCUUUCGAGUAACAGUCACUAUAUUUAUAGUAUUUGUAGCAAUAAAUUUUCACAUUAUAUUUUGUAAUAUAAAUGUAAAUUUUAAAAUUACAUAAAAAACUUUUUCAUGAAAUAUUGGUGAGAGAAUGGAAAUUUAGAUAUCAACUUUGUUGCAUUAUUUUCUACAGAAGUUGAACUCUUAAGAUGAUGGUAAAGUUUAGUUAAAAUAAAAUAUUAUUUAAUGUAUAUUGUAAUAUGACAAUUAAAAAUUAAUAUUAAAAUAUAAAAAUCAAUAAUGUGAGGGAGUCAGUAUUCGACCCCUUAUUAAAUCCACCUUUGCCGACACUUAUAGACCACAAUGACCAAUAUUUACGAGAUGGUCUAGGUCUAGGUCUAAUUAAUCUAUCACUAACAAACGUUUAUAUAUGCAAUUUUUAAAUAAUAUUACUAUACGUGCUAAUACUAUCCCAAAUCUUUGUUAUUAAAUUGUUAUUAUAACAUUUUUUUUUGGAUUUGAUGUGUUAGAUUUUUAUUCAAUUUAUUAUUAUUAUUAUUAUAUCUCUUUUAAAACGUCGGGAAACAUCUUUAGAAAAAAGCACAAGUUGGAAAACAUCGAUCAAUUUAUACUUAUAAACUUUAAAAGUUCUAUCACUCUUGCGAGUAUAUUAUUUUAGACCAUUUACUACAUUUUAUUUAAAAUAACUAUGAUAAACUUAAAAGUUUAUUAGUUAAACUUUAAAGUCUCCUAAAUCAAUCAAUUUAGACUUUUAGGUAUAUUUAUUCUUGUCUACUCUCGUAAUUGAUUCAAAAUUUAAUGGAUAAAAGAUUUAUAUUGACAAUGAAAAUAAGUAGUUUUUAAGUUAUAAUGGAUAAAAGAUUUAUAUUGAUAAUGAAAAUAAGUAGUUUUUAAGUUAUAGCUUCUUCUUCUUUUUUACAUUUUUUAUCAUCUAAAUAUAUAUGUUGGUGAGAGUCUAUCAACUUAUCAAUGUUUAUCCAUGAUAAAAAUUGAUACGAGUAUAUUCUAUCAACAUCGAUGUCUAUUAGUGAUAAAGGCUUAUUGUUUAUAUGUAUGUAACACCCUAAAUGUAGGGGAAGAUAUGAAUGAACUGAUAUCACAUUUAAUUAAAAGAGAUCCUGAGAAUUUAAUUAAAAGAGAUCCUGAGAACAUGAGAGUAAAGUUAAGAAAGACUUAAAAUAGUUCAAAGUUACUACAUAUUUUAACAAAGUGCACUUUCUUUUUUAAUAGCUCGAUCAUAUAAACUUUGUUGGACCUGAGCAUUACAAUUGAUCACUACUUUUUUUACCAUUUAUAUGAAUAGUUUGACAUUUUUUCUAUACGUGAAAAUUAAUCUCUUUUAAUUUGUAAUAUACAUUGCACCUUGUUUUUAUUUUACACUUUAACUAUUUAUUUGCAACUUUGACUGCACCCUUUUUGUUUAAGAAAACAUUAAAGAAAAUAGGUUUUAUGAAUGUGUUUAAUUUUUUGAAUUACUCAAUCUAUAUAUUUAACAGAAGUAACCAUUUAUGUAAUUUAAAAUUUAUCACAAAUUUAAUUUAAUUCCUCGAAUCUUCAAAUUCAAUUGGUGUUUUGUAUUAUUUUGAUCGAUUAACUUUCAAUAUUUGUUGAGAAUUGUCCUACAUUAAUAAUACUCAAUUUAUUGGCAUGUCUAAGCUCGAGAGAAAUCAAGAGGUGUGACAUGGAAAAAUGUACUACAAAAGGGAAAACUUAAAGUUUUCAUCCCUAGUUGGUAAUAAUAGCACCAAUAAGAAAAUAUAUUUGAAAUGUACUCAGUUUCAUUCUCGCAUCAUAAACUACCAUGACAUUCGUCAAAGUUACACCUAAUCACAAUCAAUUGUAAGAGGAAGGAUAUUCUUAAUUAGCCUCGUUUAUUUAAUGACCUUCCAGAAGAACAAAAAAAGCAAGUAAAUCCUAAUAAAUGAGAACUCUAACCUUACUUUUGUGUGCUUAGUUGAACUAACUACACUCUAAAUACCGAUUUAGACAUUAAAUUUACCUGACAAGAAUCUUUCACACGUGUUGAAUGAAAUAGCAAAAUCGAAUUAGAAGAAGUGAGCUGGCCAAAGGUUAAACCCACGAAGACGUCAUCGUGACAACGUGUGCAUGAAAAUCCACACACCAACCAUAUCUAUUUUUUUAAGCUACCUGAAUACACAUCUAAUUCAACUACUACUAUAUAAAGUUCUUUCAACCAAUUUUUGGUGCUAAAUAAAGAAGAUGUAGAUAUUAUGAACAAACUUAUAGGUAGCCAAAUGCUUUUUAAUGAAGGUAGCUGAAAAGCAUUAACAGAAUAUAUAUGACUAUGAGACAUUUCAAUUUUUGGUAGAUAUAUAUUUCCCAAUUACAUAAUUCAAAGUGGCAAACUUUUGUCAAACUUUAGGUUAAAAUUGCAAUUAAAAAUGAGUAAUUAAUUUUGGGCAGGUCAAUUAUAACCUAACCAAUUAUAGAUAGAUUGUGUCCUUUUUCAAUAUAUGGAGAUUGUUAAAGUGUGUUUCCUUCAAACACAAACCUCUUUUUUAUUAUAUUUGACAAUUCACGAUUCACAUUUCGACUAAUUUCACGAGAUGACUUAUCUGAUCUUACAACAUAAUAUUUGGGUGUAAAGAAAAUUUGUAGAAAUUAAUUGUUAGAUUGAUGACCACCGUUGAUUGAACUUGUGACUUCUCAGUUAUUUUUUAUGGUCAAUAUAAGGAUUCACGUUUAAAUUUUGAUGUGUUUGAGAUUGAUUUUGUAGAUAUCAUCGUUACUACAAAUUUGGCUUAUAGUUAAAAUUAAUCAUUUGUAUUCCAAAAUUUUGAAUUCUAUCAACGAUAGUCAGGAUAAAAUUUGUUAUAAGUGGUAAAUAUUCUUUAAAAUUUAUUAUUUUUAAAAAUUUAUCUAAAUUAAUUAACUUAAUAUUUAAUUUUAAAAUGUAAUUUUCAUAUAAUCAAAUCCAACCCUUAAUAAUUAAAAUAAUUUUAAAAUUUGACCAAAGUGACUUAACAAGUCAAAAAUCACUUCCAAGUUUACAAAAUAAUCUAAAGUUUUUUUUCUAAAGUAUAUGACUAAAUUUUGCAAAUUUGAAAAUGAAAAUGAGAAAAACUAAAUAUUGGGUAUAUUUUAUUUAACCCAAAAAUCAAAUGUAUGGUUUCUAUUUUUUUUUUUUGAAAAAGGAGAAUUAAAAUUAAAAAUUGAAGAGAUCUCAACCAACCCUUUUAAGUCAAAGGUCAUCAUAAUGAAGUGCCCAAAAAUUAGAUGGGUGCCAACAUUUUUGGACCUUUUUGUUCUUCUUUAUAAAAAAUAUUGAUAAGUUUUGGAAGCACUUUUCAGAGAGCCAUUCAAUUUUGGGCAUAAAAGUCCUUUUCCUCACGUAUAUUUCGAAAUUUGUUCAAUUUUAGUUUUGUACGACCAUUUUUAAAUUUAACCCAUAUUGUUUGUCUAUUGUUGACUUUUUAAAAAACUCAUGGGUUACUUAUUAUCAUUUUCACUCUAAAUAUUAAAAAGAUAUAUUCAUAUAUUUUUUAUUUUUAUUAAAAUUAAAAAAAAUUAUUUUAAACAACAAAACUAUUGAAAAUAUUUACAAAUAUACUACACUAUCACCGUUGAUUGUAAUAACUACUGUAUGUGUUUAUAUGUGUCAUGAUAGCUAUUAAACAUAAUAUUUUAAUGUAUUUGAAAACAAAUCAUCAAAGUAAUACAAUAAUUAUAAUUAUCUUAGAAUGAGCUAAAAUAGUAUUCCAAUGCAUUUUCAAAUAUAGUAAAAUUUUAAAUUCUAUCGAUAAUAGACAUUAAUAAAAGUCCAUCAAUAUGAAAUAUAUAUUUUAGGAAUAGUUUGGAUGUUAGAUUUUGUUAAAUUUUGUUUAAAGUCGUACCAUAUUUAUUGUGGCACUAAUAUUCUCACCUACAAACCAAACAUGGUUUGGAAAGAAAUAAUACUCCAAAAGAGAGAAAUGGUAGAGAUUUUGUGCAUAUAAAAUACAAACAAACACAUCCCCAUCUCUCAAACCCUCUAACCACUAAAUAUAAAUUAUAAACUUCCUCCUCACCCACUUUUCCUUUUCUUUUUCCCUCACAAACCUUCCAACAUAUUAAUUAUAUUGAUAGCCACCACUUUUUCUUUCUUUCUUUCAUUAUUCAAUAUAUUAUUAUUAUUAUCAUAAUCUCACUUCAUAUACUUCGAACAUUCAAUAUUAGUAUCUUUUUUAAUAAUCAAAUUUAGAUUAAUACUUUCAUGUCCCUUUCUUUUAUAUAUGGAAUUAAUGCACUUUUUGUUCUUAUGAACAUAGUCAAAUAUUUAAUCAUCACAUUGCAUUGAGUUUUUUUUCCCAUAAAAUUGCUCUAGUGGGCAUGAUUAGGAGACUAUAUAAUAUUUUUUUCUUCUAAACUUUAGAUAUGGUUACGAAGACCUAAUAAAUAAAUUAAAGAAAAAAUGUUUAAAGCGUGAAAUCAUUUAAAAUAUUUAUAAAUAUAUAGUAGAAUUAUGUUAUAUUUGUAACUAGUUUUUCUUUUAACUGUAUAAUAUUUAUAUCUAUAAAUGAUAUGAUUUCAAACGAUGUUUAGAAUUUGACAAUAUAUAAGACUUUGAAAUACUUAAAUAAUUCAACUCUACUAAUUUCAAUAAUUUUAUUAUUCAAAUUUGCAUAUGUAUUAAACACUUUCACAACAUGCACUCUAAAUACGAAUUUUCUAACUUCAAUCUAAUAAAUUCAGAUUGCAUAAUUCUAACUCAUCGCUCGAAAAACUUCCUUAGGAUAAAAUAAAAUUCGAAUGACGAAACAUAGUCAAAUUUUGUAUUUUUUUUUAAUCUUUUCUUAAUUUGAUGAUUAAAACAAAAUAACCAAAAGGAAAAAAAAAGAAAAGAAAAGAAAGAAAUAAUUAGAUGUACCAAAAGGGAGUGAAGGCCAUGUGGGUUUGAUCCUACACAUUAAAUGAUGGGCAUGAAUUAUGUUCCCUACUCAAUUUUACCUCUUAUUCACUAUUAGCUGUAUGUUGACUCUCAUUAUAUACAUUUAUACUUUAUAAAGAUUUCUUUUUUGUCACACUAUAUUUCAUUAGAACUAUACUAUAUAUCAUUUAUUAUGCCAACCAUUAUUCUAAUUUAACGACCAUUUAUUGUUAUUAUUAUUACUAAUCUCAACUAACUCAACAAAUUAACACCAUUCUUAUUCAUUUUCUUAUAAUAGAAGCUCAAAUCUUAUCUUUCAAUCUAUGUUGUAUGUUUAAGAAAAGAUAAAUAGUUAAAAAUAGAACAAAAAAAAAAAAAAAACGAUUUAAAUGAGUUAUGGAGAGCUGGAUGCAUUUUAUGUAUUUAAGAAUGAAUUUACUGUGUUUCUUCUUAGGGUAUGUAAAUCUAUAAAAAAAAAAAAUGGAAGAAUUACAAAGUUAGUGGAUACUAAAUUAAUUACGAUGUUAAAUCAAUGAUUCCUUUGACUAUAUUUUUUUCUUUGAGUAAGAUAAAGGAUCGAGUAUAUUGUAUAUCAAUGGAGCGCGCGAUGGUCGAUUUUUUACAAAUAUUAGGUUAAUGUGUGGUUAAAAAAUUAAUUUUUAUCGAUGUUGCAGUGAAGAUUGCUAUAAAGUCAUAUUAUUGAAUACGCUAUAACAAAUGAGUGCAUGUCAAUUAUCGUUGAGUGGAUUUAUUGACGUUGUUUGUGUUUGAUAGUAUUAAUUUUUUUUCGUUUAUUUGUUUUCUAAAAAAUCUUGUAGUUGAGUAAAACUUCUUUUUCGGAAGGUAUUUGUAUAUGUAUUAUCCAAUCUUUCCUCUUAAGUUUUAUCUCUUAGAGACGUGAAAAAAGUGAGUAAUGUAUAUCUUUCAAAGAAUAAGAAUUAAAGAGCAAAAAUAAUCAACAUAUACUUAUAGCUUUAGAAAAAUAAAAGAAUAUUAAUACGAUCUUAAAUACGUAUUAAUUUUCUCGUGAGAAGUUUAGAAACAAAAAUUAAGAUACAUCGAAAAAAACACUUCAAGUUUCUCAUAAGUUCCUUAACAUAAGAAAAUCACACAUUUCAUUUUUUUUUUCUUUAAUACAAUAACUAUGAUGUAUGAGAAUUUAAAGUAUUGACCUUAAGGAGAAAACGUACGAUCGAUCUUAAUCUCAAAAUGAAGACCGACCUAGUUUCAUACUUACAGAACCUUAGGCAAAGUAGAAAGAAUAUAUAAAAUUAAAAAGAAAUCUUACAUUUUCAUUUCUUGAACACUUAAUUUUCUCGACUAAAUCAUUUAUACGUUCUUAAAAGGAGACAACUACUUUCACGUUGUUGAUGUUUGUUAGAGAAAUUAUCAAACAAUCAUUGAGAGAUAUAUAAAUUCAAAAUGAUGAUUAAUUUAGGAGCUAAGCAACAACUACGAGAUUCAAUCAUUUUUUUCUUUCAUAGAGCACAAACACUUAGUCUAUCUAAAAUUCAACAACAUAUUUGUGGCGAUAAAAGAUUGAAUCUUCCACCUUUAGAAUGAAAUAUCAUACCAAAGACGAAAACAUAAUUCAUCAAUCAAUAUUCGAUAUAAAAUAUUAUUUAAUGAAAUUUAAAACAAAACCAUACAAAUGCAAAAAACACAAAGAGACUAUAACAAUUGAUAUAACUUAAUUCCAAGAAUGACCAUGAUAGACCAAAAAACCGAGCCAACUGACCGAAUAAAAGUCGGCUGGUGUUGAUUUAGGAAAUGACAAUAAAAAAAUUCUAAAGAGUGAAACAAAUCGACCAAUCAAAAUUGACUUUUUACUCUCUAAUAAUCAAAGUCGAUCCGAACAUUAACUUUGAUGGACCAAUCAACGAGCAUCCCUAAUUAAUUAAACACUCUAACUUUAACAAGAAGAAAGCACCAAAAAAUAGAGUGGUUAGUUACUAUUACAAAGUAGAUUGUCAAAAAAUUGGGUCACCCUUUGCUUGGUUAAAAGCCAAACCCACUUUUUACUUUUCCAAAUUUCUACUUUUUCCAAAUUUUCACUAAGCAACAAAAAGUUAGACAUUUACCCGCCCUUUCUACCAGGGGGUAUAACGGUAACUUCACAGUUUCCCAACCGUUUUAAUCAAAAGAUUUGCCAAUUGCGCACCAUCAUUCAGUCCCACGCGCGCCCAUUCUAGUGUGCUUAAUAAGGUCCCUAACGUCAUUUCACUAUUUAAUGAACUUUGUCUCCAUAUGCCUUAGGUUUUGGGACAUUUUGAAAAAUAAUCCUCAAAUGCCUUUCAUUUUUCUUAACUAAUUCAAUCGUAUAGUUUUCACAUUCUUAUCUAUUUAGUCGAGAUUGAUCAUCGAGAGUUUAAUUAAAAAAUUAUCGUGUAUUAGAUUUUUUUUGAAGAAAUUUUGCGAAGAAUGUUGAGAUGUUACACAUUUUUUCUCUCUUAAUGAUCAUUAUACAAAAAUCUUACAUCUAUUCAAAUUUUCUCGAAGUUUUGUUAUGUUUAUUAGUACGUAAUCUUUCAAAUAUAAUGUCAAUCCAUGCUUCUACAAUUAUACAAAAUCCUGAAUGGAUUUAGAUUCUUUUCAAAUAGACGAUUGUAGGAUGAUUUUUAAGUUUUGAAAAUGUUUGAUUUCGAGAAAAGUUGAAUAGGAUUUGUGAAAAAUCUUCAUUAUGACUGGGAUUCUUCAAGAAAGUUGUCGAGAAUCAUUAGUUUGGAUUCUAUCACUGUCUAUCAAUAUUACACAUUUGAGUAUCUAUCCAUCAAAGUUAAAAUUCCAAUUUUGUUUACAAAGAAGUGGUCCCCAGUAGCGUUAAUACACCCACGGGAGCGAGUAGGAAUGCAUUUCAAUACGCGCGAGAGUGGGGUGGGGUUAUAUUGAUGUCUGUUCUCUUUUUUAUCCUUCCCGCGGCCAUUAAAUGAGCCUCCUCAUAACUCACUCACACUGCUCUCUUCCUCUCUGCUGCUUUGAGGUUAGAGAGAAAAGAGUUCAACAAACAACGACUUAAAGAAAGAGUAGAAGAAGAAGCCAUUAAUGCAGAGCUCAACUACCCAUUUCUAGGGCAAUAUUUUUCCUUCACUCGCAAACACACACACACACACACAGAUAAUAAACCAUUUCUUCCUAGAUUCACCAAUGCUUCUCUCAUUCUUUGCUUGAUUCAUUUCCAUUCUCUGUUUGGAGCUUUAUUAUAGAUCUUCCUCCACCAUGUGGAACACGGCGGAUAAUGUGUUUGUUCGAACCGCCUCGUUUAGAGAAGACGGAGAAGAUGAAGAGGCCUUACGUUGGGCAGCGCUUGAGAGGUUGCCUACGUAUUCGCGUGUUCGUAGAGGUAUUUUCAAGAAUAUUGUUGGAGAUACUAAGGAGAUUGAUGUUAGUGAACUUGAGGUUCAAGAACAAAAGCUUCUUAUUGAUCGAUUGGUCAGUUCGGUUGAUGAUGAUCCCGAGAUGUUUUUUCAACGAGUGCGACGCCGUUUUGAUGCGUAAUUCUUCUAAUUUUGUUUCAUUGCUUGUUUAUGAUUUUUUGAUGUGGUUUAUUUACUGCUCUUGUGUGUGUGUGUUCGGAGAAAACAAAAUGAAAGGAUAAUGGUGAGAUUCUUUUGGAUUAUUUCUCUGCUUUGCUUUUUAUUAUUAACUAAUAAGUCAAAUGUGCUGUGAUUAUUGCUUCAUAGAGCUGUUUGAAAUUUUUGAUCGUGUCAAUUUGAGAGACGUUUAUCUUACUGUCACUAAUAAUGCUAGCUAAUUCUUGUUCCUGCUCAAUUUUGUUUUGUCAUUGGCUUGUGAAUUUGUAAUUUUCAUUAUUAAGCUACUUUCUUCUUAUUAACUUAUGCGUGAAAUGUGCUGUGAUUAUUGGUUAGAAUGUCGUUUUGUUGCAUCAUGGAGCUGUUUUUCACUAAUUACUACCGUUUUGAAGUUUGUGAUCGUGUCAAUUUGAGAGCCGUUAAUCCUAUAGUUAUUCUUACUAAAAUGCUUGCUAAUUUCUUUUCCUGCUGAAUUUUGCUUUUUGAUUGGUUUGUGAAUUUGUAACUUUCAUGAUUAAGGUACUACUGCGAUCAUACAAUUGCUUUACGUUCUUUAAUUUUUUUUUUUUUGUCGCAGAGUUGAUUUAGAGUUCCCUAAGAUUGAGGUUAGGUUUCAACAGUUGACUGUAGAAUCGUUUGUUCACAUUGGAACCAGAGCUCUGCCGACUAUUCCCAACUUCAUGUGCAAUAUGAUGGAGGUAGCGUAGUAUUUACUCUGUAUCUAUAAAAUGAUUAGUACGAAUUUUUUUUUUUUUUUUGUUAAUCAACUAUGGAAAAGUGUUUUCUUCAUUUGUUCUUCUUAUGGUUACUAGAUGUUUGUAUACAUUGUGCCAGGCACUUCUUAGGAAACUAAAAAUAUACAGCAGUCAGAGAAGCAAGUUGACAAUUUUAGACAAUGUCAAUGGAAUUAUAAGACCUUCCAGGUAAACUUUCUAGUUCUAACAAAAGUAGAAGUUGAAUCUUUGAUUAUGUUCCGAAUUUCGAAUUUUACACUAUCCUGAGCUCUUUUGUAGAUUAACUUUGUUAUUGGGUCCCCCGAGCUCUGGAAAGACAACUCUUCUUCUAGCCCUUGCUGGUCGCCUUGGAAGUGAUUUGCAGGUACUGAACAAUUGAAACUUUGCCCUUCACUGCAGAAACGUUGUUGAUAUUAACUAUCUGUUUUUAAUUCUUUGGUCAGCAAUCGGGGAGAAUAACAUAUAAUGGGCAUGGGUUCAAUGAGUUUGUUCCGCAGAGGACAGCAGCUUAUGUUAGUCAACAGGACCGACAUAUUGCAGAAAUAACUGUCAGAGAAACUCUCGAUUUUGCAGGCCGCUGUCAAGGCGUGGGGUUCAAAUAUGGUAAGCUAUGAAAAAUCUUGCAGUUUGACAGCUAAUACUUCUCUUAAUACUUAUUUGAAUGGUGAAGAUAUGCUCAUGGAACUAGCAAGAAGGGAAAAGAUUGCAGGGAUAAAACCUGAUGAAGAUCUCGAUAUAUUUAUGAAGGUAUGUGAUACUUCAUGUAUAAUUUUUCUUUAAUGUUCUUUUGUUACCAUCUGUUUUAUUGAAUUGAUAUGAAUUUGAUUGGUUGUAAUUGCUGCAAUUUUCUCUUUAGUCAUUGGCUCUAGGGGGUCAAGAGACAAGUCUUGUGGUGGAGUACAUCAUGAAGGUACAUUCAAUUUACUUUUCCCCCCUUGAUAUUUAUUGAACUGCUAAUAGAAGUUGCAACCUUGGUCCUUUUAGAUUUCACGUAUAUUUAUGGAUUAUUUGGCAACAUGUAAGAUAUGAUUAUUGAACUUCCAUUAUCCUCAAUCUCAACAAGUUGCUUUACUCUCCAUAAUCUUUAGCUUGGCGUAGAAGAUGCAAUCAACAUUUUGGUCGGUCUCACUCUCCAUAAUUUUUGGUUAUGAAGUUUUAUUUCUGGAAAAGCUGGUAACUCUGUUUAGUGUUUGACAGGAGAUUUUCAUUAAUUAGUUAUAUUAUAGAACCUUAAUAAUUCAACGUAAAAUUUUGAAAAGCGUACAGGUUUUUUAAGAAUUAUAUCAUUGUGCGUUCUUUCUAUGCAAUAUUUUGACGUCAUCCACACCUGAAGUAUUGAUAUCUGCGAAGAUUUUAGGGUUGGACGUGUGUGCUGACACAUUGGUAGGAGAUGAAAUGCUCAAAGGGAUUUCUGGAGGACAAAAAAAGCGUCUUACGACCGGUUUGUUACCAUCCAUCUCUUCUACACUAAUGGAUAUAAUAAUGAGUUUUGAUGAUUACAACUCAUUACUUCAGGCGAAUUGCUAAUUGGCUCUGCAAGAGUUCUAUUCAUGGACGAGAUAUCAACGGGGCUUGAUAGUUCAACUACCUAUCAAAUUAUCAAGUAUCUUAGGCAUUCUACCUGUGCACUUGACUCCACCACUGUAGUUUCUCUCCUGCAGCCUGCUCCUGAGACCUAUGAGUUAUUUGAUGAUGUUAUACUUCUCUGUGAAGGCCAAAUUAUAUAUCAGGGACCGAGAGACUCUGUUCUUAAUUUCUUCACAGCUAUGGGAUUUACCUGUCCCGAGAGAAAGAAUGUUGCAGACUUCUUGCAAGAAGUAAGCAAAGAGUGUAAAGAUUGAACUGAAAAUUCCCACUACUUUUUUGCUAAUGCGUUUGCUUACCAAAUAAUGGCUAUAGGUUAUAUCAAAGAAGGAUCAGGAGCAGUAUUGGUCAGUUCCUGAUCGUCCCUACCAAUUUAUCCCUGCAGCAAAGUUUGCCAAAGCUUUUCGUUUGUAUCAUGUUGGAAAGAACUUGACUGAAGAAUUGGAAGUUCCUUUUGACAGACGUUAUAACCAUCCAGCUUCCUUGUCAUCUUCUCAAUAUGGAGUAAAGAGGCUUGAACUUCUUAAGACCAGCUUUUCAUUGCUAAGGCUGUUAAUGAAACGAAACUCAUUUAUCUACGUUUUUAAGUUUAUUCAGGUAAAUAAAGCAGUUGUUCUUUAUCAAUUUUUGGUUUGAUUUUAAUGUUUUAGGUCUUCUUAGUAGACUGAAAUAAAUCCACUUGUUAAUGUUGUGUCCGUGAUAGAAACAACUUAUGCAGCCAUUAUAAAAACCAACAAUUGAAGGAUGACAUAUUUUUUCUGUAAUGUUCUCCUCAUUGUUUCUAUUAUGCAGUUACUACUGGUUGCAAUGAUUACAAUGAGUGUCUUUUUCCGGACAACAAUGAAGCAUGACACAAUUGAUGACGGAGGACUUUACCUUGGGGCACUCUAUUUUUCUACUGUUAUCAUCCUUUUUAAUGGAUUUACAGAGGUGUCCAUGCUGGUGGCCAAACUUCCUGUAAUUUACAAGCACAGGGAUUUGCACUUUUAUCCAAGCUGGAUUUAUACUCUUCCUUCUUGGAUCUUAAGUAUUCCAAUUUCACUUUUGGAAUCUGGUAUCUGGGUUGUAGUCACGUAUUAUGUGAUUGGAUAUGAUCCUGCUAUCACUAGGUAAGUGGUAAAGGUUGUGUAUUCCUUUUGAAUGUGGUGAGAUAAGGAUAAUUAUGUUGACAUGGAUGGACUUGAUUAUGGUUUCUAAAUAUGCAGAUUCUUGCGGCAACUUUUGUUAUUCUUUUCUCUGCAUCAGAUGUCUAUAGCACUCUUUCGCCUCAUGGGAUCAUUGGGACGUAACAUGAUUGUUGCCAAUACCUUUGGAUCCUUUACGAUGUUGGUUGUUAUGGCUCUUGGAGGAUAUAUCAUUUCAAGAGGUUGAUAUUGCAUGUUUUCUAUGCAACGUAUUAACAAACAUGAACUGUGCAAGUCUCACAUCUUUUCCUUCAUUGUAACAGAUCGUAUACCAAAAUGGUGGAUAUGGGGUUUUUGGUGGUCCCCAUUGAUGUACGCUCAAAAUGCUGCGUCUGUUAAUGAGUUUCUUGGGCAUUCUUGGGACAAGGUAAUAUUCUUGCUUCUACGACUAUUAAAUAAUCCAGGUGCAUCUGAUUUUAACGAUGUUGUGAACUAUUUUCUCUCUUUCUUCACUGUAUAGAGCGUUGGGAAGAAUACAAGCAUGUCACUAGGAGAAUCUUUACUGAAAGCACGCAGCCUUUUUUCAGAAAGCUAUUGGUAUUGGAUUGGUGUUGGUGCGUUGCUUGGAUAUACAGUGAUUUUCAAUUCGCUAUUCACAUUCUUCCUGGCAUACCUUAAACGUAAGCAAUCUGCUAUAAAUUGAUUAUAUUAUUUUACUUCUGCUUAUAUUUUAGCAUCGGAAGACUCUGCAAGAUGAUUUUUGAAAAAUGUAAAUUGGUUUUAAAAUUAUUUUUUCACUGAUUUGUUGCUUUCCCUUUUCUUCACAGCUUUGGGCAAAAGCCAAGCUGUAGUCUCCAAGGAAGAACUGCAAGAGAGAGAGAAAAGAAGGAAAGGAGAAACUACUGUAAUUGAGUUGAGACACUAUUUGCAGUAUUCUGGGUCAUUGAAUGGUAAGAAUCUGAUUAAGCUGUUUGAAAAACUUAGUAUAGUUUUUCUUAGCCAUUCGUCAAGUGCUGCCCUUGUCAAACUAAUUUUAUAAUUUCACCAUCUCAACUAUUUGGCAGGAAAGUACUUUAAACAGAGAGGAAUGGUACUUCCCUUCCAACAACUUUCUAUGUCUUUCAGCAAUAUUAAUUACUACGUUGACGUUCCCAUGGUGAGCUUCAAAUCCAGUUCUUUACUCAUUAUUUCGGGAACUUCUUGGUUGUAUAUCAUCUGACUUAAAAUAUUACUUCAGGAGCUAAAGCAACAAGGGGUAACAGAAGAAAGAUUACAAUUGUUGGUUAAUGUCAGUGGAUCAUUCAGACCAGGUGUGCUUACAGCUCUACUAGGAGUCAGUGGAGCUGGAAAAACCACACUCAUGGAUGUAUUGGCCGGUAGAAAAACUGGUGGGGUCAUUGAAGGAAGUAUACAUAUAUCCGGCUAUCCCAAAAGGCAGGAUACAUUUGCUAGAGUUUCUGGUUACUGUGAACAGACAGAUAUUCACUCCCCAUGUUUAACUAUUAUGGAAUCACUUCUCUUCUCCGCUUGGCUGCGAUUACCUUCAGAUGUUGACUUGGAGACACAAAGGGUAAAACUUGAUUGAUAAUUUUUUUUUAAAAAAACUAGUAUGGUGUGUAAUUAACAUAAAUUGAUAAUAGUUUUUAUUUGUGACAGGCUUUUGUUGAUGAGGUGAUGGAACUUGUUGAGCUUACCCCACUAAGUGGAGCUUUAGUUGGUCUACCGGGUGUUGAUGGUUUAUCAACAGAACAAAGGAAAAGAUUAACAAUUGCUGUUGAACUGGUAGCAAACCCAUCCAUAGUGUUCAUGGAUGAGCCUACAUCAGGGCUUGAUGCAAGGUCGGCUGCCAUUGUCAUGCGGACAGUAAGAAAUAUUGUCAAUACAGGGCGUACAAUAGUCUGCACAAUCCAUCAGCCCAGCAUAGAUAUUUUUGAAUCUUUUGACGAGGUAAUUUCCAUUUUUCUCCAGAACUUGCUUGCUUUUGAGUUAUCAAGUGCCAGAAAUUGUGUUCUCUUUAUCACUCAGAUCAAUUUUAAUUGCACGUGCAUCUUCCUGUCUCUAUUCUCCGCUACUAUCAUAUCUUAUGUACUUUACAAUACCUACAAACAAUAAUAAGGUCUACAAUAUGCACAAUUACUUCCGUUUCAUGUAUCUUCUAUUUUGUUGAAACUUGAAAAGAACGGUUUUCGUUUUCUUCCCACUUAUUUUUGUAUUACUUAAUUAUAUGUAGAAGAGUAAGGGAAUUAAGCCAUCAUGUAAUGGAAUUUCUUAUGCUUCUUCAAGCUCAAUGCUUAGAAAGUCAUUCCCUCCAUCAAUUCUUUGUAACAAAGUUACUUUUAAUGAUGGCAUUCUUGCUGCAGCUUUUAUUAAUGAAGCGUGGAGGAGAACUCAUCUAUGCUGGUCCAUUAGGACCCAAGUCUCGGGAACUAAUCAAGUAUUUUGAGGUAAUAUUAUUUAUAGACGCAUCAUUUUUAGUGACACCAAUUGCUAAAUAUUGUAUAUACACAAAUUCUCAGACAUCCCUGUAUUAUGUUAUGUAGGCAGUUGAAGGAGUUCAAAAGAUCAAAGCGGGCUAUAAUCCUGCCGCAUGGAUGCUUGAGGUUACUUCUGCAGUUGAAGAAAGUCGUCUUGGAGUGGAUUUUGCUGAAGUUUACAGGAGAUCAACACUAUUCCAGUAUGGAUUUAUUCAUUCUUUUAUUUCCAUGCAAAUACCUUUUGUUUACCAACCAGGUUCACUUCUUUUUGUUUCAGACGCAAUCUAGACUUGGUUGAAACCUUGAGCAGGCCAAUUAGUAAUUCAAAAGAACUGAGCUUUCCAACAAAGUAUUCUCAGUCAUCUUUCAAUCAAUUUUUAGCAUGCCUGUGGAAACAGAAUUUGUCUUAUUGGCGGAACCCACAGUAUACUGCUGUGAAAUUCUUUUACACUGUUAUCAUCUCAUUGAUGCUUGGAACAAUAUGUUGGAAAUUUGGUGCCAAAAGGUUUCUACUAUUACUUUUACCUGUUAUUACUUGUAUGCGUUCUACAUUCCACCUUUUUCUCACUUUUAUUUUCAUGCUAUCUUUCAACAAAAUAGUCAUUAAGUUACUGUUACUGUUACUUUUAAAAACUACAUGGUUAUCAUCAUUACUGUUUUCUCCCUUCACAGAGAAACCCAACAAGACUUAUUUAAUGCUAUGGGAUCCCUCUAUGCUGCUGUUCUUUUCAUUGGAAUCACCAAUGCUACUGCCGUUCAACCAGUUGUUUCAAUUGAGCGAUUUGUCUCAUAUCGAGAAAGAGCUGCUGGAUUGUAUUCUGCUUUACCAUUUGCAUUUGCUCAGGUAUUCCUCUUGAUGUUUUAUGUGUAUCUAUAAUGUAAUUGACUUCCAGAGAGUAGCCUAAUGCAUUACUUUUUAUGCAUAGGUCGCUAUCGAGUUCCCGUACGUGUUCGCACAGACAGUUAUUUAUUGCUCCAUUUUCUACUCCAUGGCUGCCUUUGACUGGACAAUUUUGAAGUUUAUUUGGUAUAUUUUUUUUAUGUAUUUUACCUUGCUAUACUUCACUUUCUACGGAAUGAUGACAACAGCUAUCACACCAAAUCAUAAUGUGGGUGCCAUUAUUGCGGCUCCCUUCUACAUGCUUUGGAACCUCUUCAGUGGCUUCAUGAUUCCUCACAAGGUAACACUUACCAUCUCUUACAUAUUUUUAGUUGUUAUCUUCACAAUUUUGCUUCAUAAUUCUAUAUCUCGUAAAAAUAAGCUAGUAGUGAUGGAAACUAGAUCAUUCUAGAGAUUCAACACUAUUAUUUACAACUUUUCUAAUCUCCGCUCUCUCUUACUUCCAUGGUUCCUCCCUCGAAAACAAAAAAAACAAUAUUUGGGUGCAUUUUGAUUUUCUUAUGCAUUCCCCUCUCUCCCAUGGAAUAUAAAAAAUAAAAUAAAAUAAGAUAAUUUUAAAAAAGAAUUCAAGUGAAUUUGCUACCUGGCAAAUAAUAAUUUGAUAAGAUGCGUAAAGAUAGAUGCAACUCGAAAUGCACUUAGUAUUUUUUAAAAGAAAAAGAAAAAGAAAAACAUAACAUUAUAUAUUUUUUAACUUUUAUCCUUAAGUUCUGGUUGAAGUAGAGAUAUAAUUAAAACCCUAAUUUAUUAGGUGUUAAACUUUUGAAUUAAUGGAUGAUUUAAUCAUUCUCUUUUGCCUCUCCUCACAUACAUGUGAUGUGAACAAACUGGUGGAGGCCCCUACCAUAGCAUCAUUAAUUACGUGACUGAUGUGAAAUGACAAAAGAAGCAUGUUUUUGGUUCUGCUUUAUAUUCAAUUUUGAGCUGACCAAAAGUUGUUUGGUGUACUACUUAUUUCAGAGAAUCCCAAUAUGGUGGAGAUGGUACUACUGGGCUAAUCCAGUGGCUUGGAGUUUAUAUGGACUCCAAGUAUCACAAUAUGGCGAUGACAAUAAGCUGGUAAAGCUAUCAGAUGGAAUUAACUCGGUAGCUAUACAUGACGUUCUCAAGCACGUUUUUGGGUUUAGACAUGAUUUUCUAGGUGUAGCUGCCAUCAUGGUAUUCGGUUUCUGCUUGUUCUUUGCCACGAUCUUUGCUUUCGCAAUAAAAUCCUUCAACUUCCAAAGGAGAUGAGAGGUUUGAUUUUGUUUAAAACAAAUUCUUAAAAAUUUAUAAAUUAAACAAUGUCAAAAGUUUAUAGAUUCUGUAUAGUAAUAACAGUAUGUAACUUUCAGAUCACUCAUUGUAUACUUCUAGCUGGAAUUUGUCUAUAGAAAGUAAUAAUAGGUUCUAUUUUCAUUAAACAAAAAAUAUACGUUGAUGAGUAUUAUUUGAAAGUAAUGAAUUUUGUAUCGGUAACUACUUAUGACAUCAAUUAUUAGUUCUUCCUUCUUCCUUGUUGACUUCAUUUUUUUGCAGCCUACAAAGAUAAUUUAAAGCAACUCAAAAAACUUCCCAUUUUCAAGCAGCAGCUGAGAAGAGAGAGAUGGAGAAAGAUUGUACCAUUUUAAUGUGGCUCUUCCUUCUUCCUUCCUUCUCCUCUUCAUCAAUGGCUGCCAACAGGUUUUGCCCUCGUUCUGAAUUAUAUAGUCUCAUCGCUUCUUCGUAUGGUUCCUCGUCAAGUAGUUUCUAUUUCACAAUUCACUAUUUUAAUAAAGAAGCUACAUAAAGAAAAAGAAAAAGAAAAGACCAAAAAAGAUGUUGAAAUCAAAGCGGGUUUUUAAAAAUAAUUAUCAACAUUUAUAAAAGAAUUGCCAAUAUAACAAAAUUUAUUAUCAAUAUGAUGAUUAAUCACUAAUAGACUAGGAUAAUUGAAUCUAAAUUUUGUUAUAUUUGUAUUUUUUAAAAUUAGGUUGUAAUGUACACAAUAGUAAUCUCUUUUUUUUACAUACUAAGAGUUCUUGUGGGUUGAAAUUAAGGUAGUCUUGAUCGUCGUCGUCGUCGUCGUCAAUGAUUAUGAUUGGUAUUUUCAAGUUCUGCAAUCCUUUUGAAUUCGAAGUUGAAUGCUUUAAUUGAGUCUUGAAGGGAUUAUCCUCUUCGCCUAAUAGUUUCUGUUUUAAACAAGCAAUUAAGCUUUAGGAUUAGAAGUAAAGAGGAUAGUCAAGUUAUACAAACCAACCAUUUCAAAACCUUAGACAGGUUUCAAUUACACCUCAAAUUUAAAAUUGUACAUUUAUUUAAAUUUUAGGAUUGCAUAUCAAUUUUCAUAUAGUCAAUAUAUAUCCAUUCAUAUUAACCUCUUGGUGGGAAAAUCGCAAAAAAAAAAAAAAACAUCUCUUUAAAAUAAAUUCAAAGUUCAAAAGAUUAGAAAACUUUCCAAAUGUUUCGGAACGAAAGCAUAAUUGAAACUUAUUCCAAAAUUAGGAGAAAAUAUAUAUGUGUGUGUGUAUAUAUAUAUAUGACCAAACGUAAGUAGGUUUGUACAUACAAGGAAGUGCUUUGGGAUACGUUCAUCUUCAAUAUACUUCUUUGCUUUUGCUCUUAUCAUUUCUACAGCACCAGAGGGAAACUUUGCACAAAUGAAAAAAAAAUCAAUAAAUUUAUUUGGUACAUCGUUUGUAUCAAUAGUCCUAUCAUUCUGAGUUUAGUUUGACAUUUAAGAGCAAUGCUUAGAUUCAUUGUAGACUACACUCAAUCGUUCUCGUGUAGCCACUCCAAUCACAUUGUAAAACAGACAAAAAAAUUUAUAAAAAAAGUAAACAAUUGUGGGACCGAACGAUAGUGUUACUUAAUUAAUAGAUUUAUUUUCUUGUGUGAGAGAAUAAAACUUAAUUACUAUGAAUUCAAUAUUGAAAAUAUUAAUCACUAUAGCUUAAUCUCACAUGAUUUUAAUAUUAUUUUAUCGAACAUUAUUGUAACCUACACUUUUAAAUUAAGAAAUUGAAAUUAACUGAACAAUAAUUUAAAUCAUAUUACAAAGUGAUUAAUUUUUUAAAAAACAAAAUUGGAGCCAAAUUUUAGAUUCUUUCACCCGUGUCUAUAAUUGAUAGAAUUUGAAAAUAUCUAUAUUUGAAAAUGUUCCCUAAGAGAUUUUAAACAAUAAAAAUUAAAUUUAAGCGAAAAAAAAAGUUUCAUGUCAACUAUAUAUAUAUAUUUGGAAAAUUAAAUAUUUGAGAGUAAGACAAAAAUUUUGUCAAAAAUAUAUGUAGAAUUAUAACAUUAUUGUUAUACUAAAAGCUAUAUUCUAAAACUAUACAUUAAUUAAUCUUAUUUAUUUAGCUUUAAUUCUUGUAUUAAGCAAAUCUCAAUAUAACUCCGUCAAUAAGCACUAACUAAAUUUAAGAAUAAAUCUCUCAAAUUCUUUUAUCGUUUAAUGUAUUUCUUAGUUUCUCAAAUUCUCUAUAUAAUAAUGUUCAUAUUAAACGCACGACUUGAAAAAAGUCGAAGAUUUAAAAGAUAUAAGAUUACGUCAUUAUAUGACAACAUAAAACUUCAAAUCACAAAGUUUUGAUAAAUCUAUAUUAUCAUUCUCGUGGCCAAUAAAUGGUUUUUCAUAUAAAUCAUAGGAAAGUGAAAUAAUUAAAUUUAUAAGGGAGAGAAGAGUAGUAGAGUUGUUGUUAUAUUGUCUCUGCCUUUAAUUACAAAGGAAAAGCAAAUUAACUAAAACCUUCAAACUUGGGUUUGUGAUGAUGUGAAAGUUGUGGACCCUUUGAUGUCUAUGUAUUUGAUCCAAAAGAAAAACUUUGUUCAAUGUGACUAACUAAAAGAUAUCCAACCAAUUGAAGUAUGUUUGAAUGGAUAAUUUUUUAAUCUUUCAUUUUCAGUUCUUAUGGUCAAAUUAUAUUUACUGACUAAUCAAAUUAAGUUCAAUUCAAAAUAUAAGUAACACACCAUAUUGUACUAAAAUACACACCUUUCAUAUUAGAAAUGACAGUGGAAGAAAGAAAAUAAAGAAAAAUAAGUGUUUUAUAUUUUUUUGUUGGAGAAAGUCUUUGUUAAUAAUUAAUAUUAUUAUGUAUUCUGACUUUGUUAAUAAUUAAAAGCCAAAGGAAAUUGAUAUGAAACAUUCUUGAACAUCAUCAUGAAGGAUUAUACAAAGAUAUUGUGAUUAAUAAUAAUAUUAUGAUUCUUAUUAGGUUCUCUAUUGAGUGUUUAAUUUGGCAUGAAGAAUUUGAUAUGAUUAUUAUCAAAAUCUAAGCCUUUAAGUUUUGUCAAACAAUCAUUUCUUAGGUUACUAUCCAUUUUAAAUUCGAUCUCUUUUAUACUAAAAAAAAAUUUCAAUCAAAUUAUUUCAAAAAAGUUUGUUCACGAGAAGUGUUAGUUGCAGUAAUAUUGUUUUAUUAACAUGUAAUUACCACUUAUUUCAUGUUAAUUUGAUUUUGAUGACAAUUUAAUUUUAUAACAAUAAAAUUUUUAAAUUUACCGAUAAAAAUGAGAAUUUGAAAGAUUGAGAAAGAAAAUUUCUAAAAUUAAUUACUAUUAUAUAUAACUAAUAAUUUAAUUUUCAGUAUGUAUUUCCACAAUAAUAUAAGUUUUUUUUUUGUUUGCACAUUUACAUUUAUGGCAAUGAUUUAAUUUGAGAAUUUGACUUAGAAAUAUAUUGUUGUAUGCUAAGACAAUCAUAUAUGGCCAAAAUGCAAUCCUUUUCAUCAUGUGUGGUCUUAAACAAGUAGAGAUAAUAAUUUCAAGUGUCUUUUUCAAAGAUUAUUUCAUAUUUAAUAAACUAAUAAUCAACUUUUAUUUUAAAAUUUCUAUCUAAAUUCACAUUAAAUAAAUAAACAAGAGAUAGUUAAUAUAAUAAUUGGCAUAGAUUAUAUUAAAAUAAACGAGGUUUAAUAUAACUUUUUUUUUAUCUUUCACAUUCAUCGACCCAUUCCAAUAUUUUGUAUAGAGAUGAUAUAUACGUCAUUAUGGUGUGCCUUUACCACAAAUGCUCUUAUGCUUAUGUCAAGAAGUUUGUGUGUUGAUAAAUAGAGAAAUUUGAGUAUUAUUAGAAUGAGUUUAUCUUCUUUGAAACGAUCAUGAUGACGUACGUAUUUAUAUAGAUUAGGGUUUAGCGAAGUAACUUUAUAGGAUUAACUCUUCAUCUCACGACCUAGUCAAAAUGAUUGCCCUGUUUCGUGUAUAGAUAGAGUCAGCCUCCACCUUGAUCAAGCACGAGCACCUUCCCCUAGGACCAAUUUUUGUCGGGAAUACACUAAGUCAUUCCUCAUUAUAUUAGUUUAAUUAAUUAUUUUGCUAGGUGGCCUUAGUUUUGACUAAGAUCACACAUGUUGAUUUUUAAGGUAUAUAUAUUGAUCCGAACUAACCCUCUUACUCCAUUAUCGGUCUAGGUUACUAUUUUUGACUCAAGACCUUGUUAUAUCUUUUAUAUUUUUGUUUACUUCUAUCGUCUCUCUUUUACGUAUGUCGAUUAUAUCAUUUGGUUCUCAAUCAUUUAUCACAACGACUAUUAUUAUAAGUAUAAAUUACUCAAAUAACAAUACACAUUGUCUCACUUUGUCACUUUCUCAGAAUUAAACUAUAAUUAGAAAAAGAAUAUACAUCUCCAAAAUUCUAUUUGUUUAAACACAAAUUAAUAAUGUGAAAUAAUUAGUUUAUAGGCAAAAUUAGGGUCUUAUCUUGUCCCAAUAUGGUUAGUUAUAGACAACAACAAUAAUCAAUCCCACCUGUCACAUUAAUAGAAUUAAUCAAGCUUAUGUAGGUCCCUUUUUCUCUAAACAAAAUAAUAAUAAUAAUAAUAAUAAAAGGUGUCCAUUUCUUUCUUAAAUUUAAAAUUUGACAAAAGUAAUAAUAACUAUUAAUAAUAUUAUUUUUUAUUUUAUUAAAAAAAAUAGCAAAACAGUAUCAUUUCUUCCAUAGGGCUUAAAUCAUGGCCAGAAGGGCAAACCUUUCUUUAUUAUCAUUUUAUGGAAUGGGUUCUAAUACAUGCUCUCUAUAUAUAUCAAUGGAGAAGAUCUUUCAAGAAAGAUUAGACGUAGACUAAGAGAAUCUAAAUCCAACGAUAAAAUUUAUGUAAGUUGAGCUAUCAUAAGUAAGUUGUAUAUAUAGAGAGGAUCCGUUCAAACUUUAUGAUAUAAUUAUAUUAAAUUUAUCUUCACAUAAUAUUGCAUAAGAAUAUCGUAGUCUAAAAGUUCAUAAUAUGUUCAAAUCUUUGUACUUGCUCAUUGGGUAGAUGAAUUAACUUUAGUACAAUUUAUUUUAACCAUGCAAUGUAAAGUAUUAUUGAUUAGGACUUAUAUAUCUGUGUUGGGGGAAGAAAUGGAAUUUAAUAGCAUGACAUAAAGCAUAGAAAUUAAAAGAUAAUUAGAAUAAACAAAAAAAAAAAAAAAAAUGAAGUAGAAAGAGAGAGAGAGGGGGAGAGGAAUAAGAUCAAAGGAGAAUCUCACCCAAACAAAUAAAUGAAAUAAAAAUGAGAAUACAAACAAAUACAAAGGUGGCUAUGAAAAAAGGAAGAAGUUGAAUAAUAUUAGAGUAAUUGGUAGUCCAUUUGUUGGCAUUUGCAAACAUUGUAAUAAGACAGAAAUAUAUGCCUCAUUCUUCCAUUUGGGAUCAUUUACUUCCAUCAUAUUAAUUAUAUACUAUUAUAUAUAUAUAUAUAUAUAUAUUUACAUAUGAUAUGAUAUUAUAUGAUUUAAUAUUUUACUUUAUGAUCUAUGUAUUGCUAUACAGGUAACAUACACCAUUACCAAUCUAAACUUCACAUGUUACAUUUUGAUACUAAUGAUAACAUAACAAACAAAAAGUUCAUUUUCUUUACAAUACAUGUAGAUAUAUAAGGACUAUUCUAGUGGUUGUUAUAUAGACAACUUGAACUACUUAAUAUAAGACUUGAAGAAUAAUUCUUUUUUUUUUUUUAACCCUUGUACUUAUAUAUAUAUAUAUAUGAGAAUACUUUUGUAUUUAAUUGAAAGUCAAGUGUUUAGCUUUUCAUUUAAUUGGUUCACUUACACUUAAAAAAUCAAUGUCUUGUUAGGAUGAAUAAUGACAUAUUUUUAGGAGUUGUUUUUUAAUAGUUUAAAAUCAUUUUAUCAUUUUAAAAUUACUUAAAAAAUAUUACUCAUUGUUCAAAAUCAUAAUAAUAUGAAGUUUGUAUUUAAAAUUGAACAUUGAAGUGAUUUAAUGACUUCAAAAUGUUUAUGAUUUCAUCAAAAUUAAAUAAUGAAAUAAAGUUAAAGGUUUGUUUUUCAUUAACUAUUAAAUUUAAAUUUACAAUCCUUGAUUAUUUUAAAUAUUUUGAACAUAAUGAAUUUGGGUCAAAAGUCAAAGGUGGGGGGUUAAUUUUGCGUUUACUAAUAAUCAAAGUGAGAGUUUGUAAAUUGGAUAAUUAGCCCAAGUUAAUUAUACGUAAAAACGGGUUGGUGGUCAGAUUUACGGAAUUAAACAUAUGAUGGAGCAAUGGGGACCGUCAGAUCUGGCUUGGCCCACACUGCCCUAACGUGUAUGAUAUGCAAACCCUUUAUUACACAAUUAAUAAUAGUAAUAAUAAAAUUAGAAAAAUGACGGCCGUUAUUUUUACUCCGUUUUUUCACCUCUUCUUUCUAAAUCCUAAUCUCCACCCCCAGCGCGUGUCUUCCACUUCCUUUCUUUUCUUUUCUUUUUUAAAAUGAUAUUUGAUUGUUAAUAUUUGGAUUAUGCUCUAUAGGAUUCAUACCUUCUGAUAUUUAUAAUUGUAUGGUGAGACAUUUUUGUAUUUUCUAAAUAGAUAGUAUCUUAAAUUUUGUUAUAUUUUACUCAUUUUUAUAAUAAUUUCUCAUAUAUAUAAAUGGUUAAUGUUUAUAUGUAUUGUUUUUAUUCUAGAUUAAUAUAUAAAAGAAAAUUUAAAAAAAUAGCAAAAUUCAUCUCUCUCUACCUCUCGUUCCAAAAUUUUACUAUAUUUUAUAAAUAAUUUUAUUUUUUUGUGUUAUUCAUGACAAGUUUUCUUAAUUAAUAAAAAAUUAGUGAGAAUUGUAAAAAAUGGUUUUGUUCUAAAUAGUUUGUGAAAAUUUUCUAUUUUCGAAAAAAAAAAAUCUCUAAUAUAUUGUACCUUAAGACAGCAAGGGAAAAGAAAAACAAAAGAGGAAAAGGAAGGACAAUUGACCAAAUCUUGAGUUAUCUUAAGAAUAAAAUUUUAAAAUUUAUUAAUUUUUCUUCAUUGGAAUUUCAAAAUGAAAAGAUUGAUUAUAUAUAUAUAUAUAUAGUUAAACAAUAAGAUGUUGUUUUCAUAUUAAAAAAAGAAAACUAAUGAUUUUAUCUCUACAUAUGGAAUGGAGGUUGGAGGAGCUGUUUUACAUUGUUGAAUCUAAAAUGAAAAAACAAAACUAUAUGACAACUAAUGUAAACAACAUACUUGACAAUUGGUUAUCAAUUAAUAUUUCAUGAAUAAUGAAUAAUUAUAAUAUAAAUUUAACAAAUUUUGUUAUUUACUUUUAUUUCCACCAGAAUUUUGAUUUAAAAAAACUAAUAGUAUAAAUUAUUAUACAUACUGUUUUAAAUGUUGUUGUAAUAAAAUAGAAAGUUGCAAUUCGAAGUAUACUUUUAGUUGUAUGAAAUUAUUUGUAGUUAAAAGUGAACUUAGCUCGAGAGUAAUUGAUAUAGCUCUUGAAUCUAUCAUGUGUACUAAAAAAAAUCAUGUGUAAAUAAUAAUUUUUAUAAACCUUCAACAUUAGAAAAAAUGUUACCCAAAAAAACGAGGACAAAAUUUCAACAAAUAUUAUCUAAAAUUGUUGUGAAAUUUUAAUUUUAAUAUUUAUCAACAGUUAAGGAUUAAAACAUGAAAAAUUAGAGGUUCACAUCUAUAACGAAAGUAUUUUGUUGUAACUAAGUUAAAAAUUAUUAAAAUUUUAUGAAUCAAUUUGAUCAUCAACAACGAUAAUGACAAUAAGUGGAGUUGUUUCUUCUUGGUUGAGCAACAAAGAGUGAUAUACCCUAUUGCAUUUCUUAUUGAGAAAGGUUAGAGAAUUAUACCACGGUGCCAAAUAUAGUCGAUAACUCGAACGUCUUUGUUUUUAUAGUAAUCUAAAAAUGCAUUGAAGUUGAGAGGGUUGGAGUUCCUGUAGACCUAUGGUAAGUCCGUAGUUGUGAGCUCUACAAUGAGUAAAUUGCACGAUUGGAAGAGCGCGUGGGGAUGAGGAAAAGAUGCAUACGAAAGAAAGGGUUUUGUGUUUCUUCUUCAUCUUCUUCCUUUGAUUUCACUGCAACAGUUUAUAAAAAUUAAAAGAAAAAAGGAAAGAAAGGUUUACAAAUGGUUUUCUCUGCCACUCUCAACUCUCCAUUUUCUCUUCUUCCUUUUCCUUUCUAACUUUCGUGGGCCAUUCAUCCUCUUUCUCUCUCUACAAAACCUCCCUCUUCCCCCUUUUUCUCACUUCACCCAUUUCUUUCUCUCUAUCUCUCUCUCAUGGCUUUUCACCGGCAAACCAUUUUUGGUUUUCUCAAAUACCACCAUACAAUACCACUAUCCAUCUCUUUUCUCUAAUUCCUCCGACCCCUUUGGUUUUCUCUCUCUGAAUCCACAAUGGCUACUGCAAUUUCUCUUUGCUCUGUUUUUCUUCUUCUUCUACUUGUGAUUCAGUGGGUCAACUCGGAGCCGACUCAGGAUAGACAAGCCCUUCUCGAUUUCUUCUCUAAAACUCCUCACGCCAAUCGGGUUCAAUGGAAUCUUUCUAAUUCCGUCUGUAAUUGGGUCGGCGUUGAGUGUGAUUCAAGUAAGUCCUUUGUUUACUCUCUCCGUUUGCCUGGUGUUGGCCUUGUUGGAUCGAUUCCGGCUAAUACAGUUGGGAAAUUGACUCAGCUCCGAGUUCUCAGUCUCCGUUCCAACCGUCUCUCCGGCGAGAUCCCAUCGGAUUUUUCCAAUUUGGUAAUGCUAAGGAAUUUGUAUCUUCAGGAUAAUGCUUUCUCCGGAGAGUUUCCGUCGAGCUUGAUUCGGCUGACUCGGCUGACUCGGCUGGAUUUGUCGUCGAAUGAAUUUUCCGGUCCGAUUCCGGCUUCUGUUGACAAUCUAACUCACUUGAGUGGGAUUUUCUUACAGAACAAUGGAUUCUCCGGUUCACUCCCGAAUAUCUCCGCCCUUAACUUAACAAGCUUCAAUGUCUCUAACAACAAACUCAACGGCUCGAUUCCGAAUUCCUUAGCGAAAUUCCCCGCCUCUUCCUUCGCCGGAAACUUAGAUCUCUGCGGCGGACCAUUCCCACCUUGCAGCCCAUUAACUCCUUCUCCAUCUCCAUCACAAAUCCCCCCACCAUCCAACAAAAAAUCUAAAAAACUCUCCACGGCAGCAAUUAUCGGAAUCGUAAUCGGCGCCGUUUUCGCAGCUUUUCUCCUCCUCCUCAUCCUAAUCCUCUGCAUUCGUCGCCGGUCCAACAAAACACAGACGAAAUCACCAAAGCCACCAACGGCGGUGGGAACGGCAGCGAGAUCUAUUCCAGUAGCGGAAGCUGGAACAUCGUCGUCGAAAGACGACAUUACCGGAGGGUCAGUGGAGGCGACGGAAAGGAACAAGCUGGUGUUUUUCGAAGGUGGGAUUUACAACUUUGAUUUGGAGGAUUUGUUGAGGGCUUCGGCGGAGGUAUUGGGGAAAGGAAGCGUCGGAACGUCGUAUAAGGCGGUGCUAGAAGAAGGGACGACGGUGGUGGUGAAACGGCUGAAGGAUGUGGUGGUGACGAAAAAGGAAUUUGAGAAUCAAAUGGAGAUUUUGGGGAAAAUUAAACAUGAAAAUGUGGUUCCACUAAGAGCUUUUUACUUCUCCAAAGAUGAGAAAUUGCUUGUUUAUGAUUAUAUCUCCACCGGAAGUUUGUCGGCCAGCCUUCACGGUCAGUACUCUGCUUCUCCUCUGUUUUCUUUUUCUUUUCUUUUUAUUUUCAUUUCAGUCCCUAUGAGUGCUGUUUUUUUUUUCUUUCUAUUUUGGUCCUUCUAAUUUUAAUUUUAAUAAUAUAUUAUUAGUUUUCUUUUAUUAUUUUUUAAAAAUAAAAUAUAUAAUUUUCAAAAUAUAUCCAUCCCUCCAUCCAAUCAACAAAUAUAACAUAAUCGAAAAUAAUUAGUAUAUAUAGUAAAAUUUAGAUUAAGCCUAAAGAGUUCGUACAAACUCUAUCUAUUAUAUUAGGCAUGAAUUUUGUUAUAUUUACCAUGGCUUAAAAAUGAUAACAUAGAAUUAACAAUUAAUUUUAAAAAUACUAACCAUUCCAAUUAUUCAAAUAACCAAAUUAAAAAAAAAAAUAGUAAUAAACCUAAAGUAUAGGGACUGAUAAUGUAAUCUUUUUGUUUUUUUAAUAAUAAAAACUUUUAUGUUAAUUAUUUGAUUCCAAUGCUUGCAUUGUUCCUUGAGAAAGUUAGUAACUAUUGACCACAUUGAACCUUUGGGAUGUGACCCAUAUGGGUUUUAAGUAUUUUUCUAGCAAAUAUAUAUAUAUAUAUUCAAAAUUAUUUUUACAAAAGAGAUUAGAUAGGAUUGAGAUUCAAACACUCAUUGAAAUAUAGCAUAAACAAGCCAUAUAGAAUUUGAUAGGUUUUGUUUAUUUUAUAAAUAGUUUCUAAGCCAACCUUAAAAACCAACUAUGAUAUUAUGUCCACGAUGGAGUAUUCCUAACUUCAUCCAAUAAUAAUUCACUAUAGGUAUGUUUUUAUGUUUCCUAUUUAUAUUUUAAAAAGAAAUUGUUUAUGGAAAUAGAGUAGGAACAAAAUUCAUUUAUAUUUAUUUAACCAUAUGUUCCUUGAUUUAAUUUGCAAAAAAAGGAAAAAAGGACUUUAAUUUAAAAGAAGAAGAAAAAAGGAAUAAUAGAUAGAGAGAAGAAAAAGGAAAAGAGAUGAGUGACAGCUCAUGGGGUGGCUUUUUGUUCAAGAGUUCACAUUAUGAGCAUGUAGUGAUGGACAAAAAGUAUUAACAAAAACUCUAUACUUUAUAUUAAAUUUUCCACAUUAAUUUGAUAUCUAUGAGUAGUUUUCUAUAUGCAUUUAUUUAUUUAAAAAGUGCACUUCCUUUAAUUCCACUCUGUCUACUACAGAGACAUUCUUUAGUUUUUGAGACAUUCAGCUUUCUUUCAUCUUUCAUUUAUUAUUUGAACUCUACCCUCUCUAUUUACCAUUUUAACCCUCUCUAUGAUGAGAUGACCCAAGAAAAAGAGGAGAAAAGAUGGCUUGUGAAUAAAGAAAGCUACAAAAAAGAGUCACUCACUGCAGUGUUGAUUUUUUGUAGUUUAAAGUUGGUGACAUAUGUAUGUUUAUUUAUUCAUCUAUUUUUCUUUUGAGAUUUGCUUUAAACUUAUAAUUGAAGCCUUGGGUUGAGGCUUUUAACAAAGGUUCUCACUUUGCCUCUGCCCACUUCUGAAAUAAUGAUAAAUUGCUCAAAAGUCCCCACACCUCUUUUCCUAUAUCAAAUUCUUAGGGAAAUAAAAUAUGUCAUUAAAUUUCAUUUCCACUCCUAUGAAUCCUAUGCAUACAUCGUCUUAAUGAAGAAGAAAAUGACAUUGGAAAAGUGGCUUCUAGUAAAGAUCUGGCUUUCGGUUGCUUUGACUUAAGAUGUUAACCCCAUAAUUCAAAUCUCAACUUUAUUCCUUAAUUUCAAUAUUUCCCUAAAUGAACUCUACCUUUAAACCUAUUCAUAUUUGUUAGUCCUACUUUUGAAUUAUAAGUUCAACAUUAGGAAACUCAAAAGUUUAGUUCAUUUAGAUAAUCAUUUAGGUUUUGUUUGAGAGAUAUUUUGUCAUGUAUAGAAAAUAACCUCUCCUUUUUUUUUUUUUUCUUGUUUUGAAUGGCUCUAAAUCUAAACUAAUUGUGUUUAUAUUGAUUUUCAAUGUCACAGGAAGCCGAGGCUCCGGGAGGACGCCGUUGGAUUGGGAUUCAAGAAUGAGAAUAGCACUAAGCGCCGGAAGAGGAUUAGCCCAUCUCCACCUCACCGGCAAGGUGGUUCACGGCAACAUUAAAUCCUCCAACAUUCUUCUCCGUCCAGACCACGACGCCUGCAUUUCCGAUUUCGGUCUAAACCCACUUUUCGGCACCGCCACACCGCCGAAUCGCGUCGCCGGCUACCGUGCACCGGAGGUCGUCGAAACCCGAAAGGUCACAUUCAAAUCCGACGUUUACAGCUACGGAGUUCUCCUCCUGGAACUCCUAACAGGAAAAGCCCCCAACCAACAAUCCCUCGGUGAGGACGGAAUCGACCUUCCACGGUGGGUUCAAUCCGUCGUCCGGGAAGAAUGGACGGCAGAGGUUUUCGACGCGGAGCUGAUGCGGUUCCAUAACAUCGAAGAAGAGAUGGUUCAGUUGCUGCAGAUUGCAAUGUCCUGUGUUUCGACGGUUCCCGAUCAACGACCGGCGAUGCCGGAAGUUGUACGGAUGAUCGAAGAUAUGAGUAGUCAUAGAAGUGAGACGGAUGAUGGGUUGCGUCAGUCUUCCGAUGAGCCUUCGAAAGGAUCAGACGUGAAUACGCCACCGGCGGAGUCUAGAACUCCACCGGGAGUGACGCCGUAGGAAGGGCAAAAAGGGAAAAGAGUUGUUAAUUUUCUUUUGGGAGAGAAAGAAAUAUUGUGGGGGCCCUUCUUCAAAAUUGGUGCAUAAAAAAAUGGGAUUAAAAGUGCUUUUAGGGUUUGAUUGAAGAGGGUAAAAUGGUCAAAAUCUUCCAUUUGUAUUUCUUCAAGUUUUACUAUUAUUAUUAUUUUGUUUAUUUUUAGUUAUGUAAUGAUUUUACAAAAAUGGAGGAAAAAAAAAAAGAAAUUUGUAGGAGUGAUUUGGGGGAAAGUUUCAUGUGGGAUGAACAUGGUGGUUGUAUAAAACUUGGGAAUUGACCUUGUGGUCAUUUGAGGUUUUUAUAAUUACUUUUAUUUUAAUUUCUCCUUCUUAUUAUUUUCAAUGUUUUUCUUUUUUCUUUCUUUUCAUUCAUAUAAAUCAAUAUAAACAAGAGUAUUAUUUUGAACGCACCUCACUUUUAAAUUUCACUCAUUUUCAUGCUUCUCAUUUUAAAGAAAAAUAAAAUUCACACUAUACACUAACUUAACUAUCGUAUAUUGACUUAAUGGUAAAAAUAGAAACAGUUACAAUAACUAACUAAGAGAUCUGGCAAAAAUGACAUAGUUUUCAUGUUCAUUGUUCUUAUGACACACUUUUACUUUUUAAGUUAAUUUAAAAUUUAAAAUAUUUUUUAAAAAAAAAAUCUAAUUUUUGGUGCAAAACAUUUAUAAAAGCGUGAUAAUGUAGCUGAAAAAUAAUACAUUAGACUAUUAAUUAUAAACUAUGAAAAAUAAAUAAAUGUUUGAGUAAUAUUGUUAGUGGGUGUGUGAUAUUUAUAAGGGAUUGAGAAUCUAAAGUAAUUGGGUAGCUGCUAAAGUGGCAAAAGUGAUAGUGAUCAACUCAAAUUCAUUAUUUAUGCUAAAGUUUAAUUAAUGAAAAUAUUGUUUUAUAUGAUAUGAUAAUUAACAACAUGCAUGGAUUGUUUGAAUAAUCUAAUUAGUAAUGAUAAAAAAAAAAAAAAAAAAGCAUAUAGGUUUGUUUGAAUCUUUCUUAAUAUUAAAAAGUAGUUGAGAAAAAAGCACUUAAUUAAAUUAUCCUUAUUUUUGGUGAUGUUAUCUUUCUGAAAAUACAUACAUCUUACAAUAUUUUAAAUGUGUUGGUAAAGACAAAUGUUUAACUUUCAAACUUUUGGUUUAACUGAGGUCAAUUUUUUUUCUUUAGGGCACUCAAGUUUUAACUUUGAGCAUUAUAAUACAAGUCAUUUUCUUUUAUUCAUUGAUAUUAAUUCCUUGUUCACUAGUUCUAACGUGUCAAAAACUAUAACAAAACUAAAAAUACCAAGUUCAAGAAAAUAUAUCGAUAUAACCUAAAUAAUUUAUAGUACAAAAUGCACAAUACAUAUACUAGAAAUUGAGUAACUUGCACUCUAUGAUUCUAUCUCUAUAAAUUUAAAUUCAUAAUAGACAUGGUCGUACUUAAUAUCAGCGAACAAUGCUUAACUUACCCAAAAUACCCUUUUUCCACCUUUUACUUUUUUUUUUUUUUCUCGUAGGUAAGAGAGAAGCAAUACUUUCAUGUUUCUUACAUGCAAGAGGUAGCAAUGAGACCAAAUAGCAAAUGAGGACAUUAUUUGUACCCUAAAAUUUGACUUUGGAAAAGAUAAAAUGUACUUUUACUUUCUUCUAUCAAGUGGCACAUGGGCAUGUAACCCUAGCAACCUUCUUAUAUACCCUUAUUUUCUUCUCUUCUAUAUAUUCAUGUUCAAUCAAAUUUAAACAAUAAGUUAUUUACAUAUAUAUGUCCACUUUAAUAUUCUUUAUAUUUAUUUAUUGAUAUAUUUUAAAAUCGACAAGAAAAAUAUACCAAAGAAAUAAAAAAAAAACAUAAACAAAUAGAAAAUCAACACAUAAUUAAAUUUACAUAGUUCACUAAACAUGUGUAGUUACGUUCAUUGAGAGAAACGAGAGAAAUGAGAGUAAAAAAUAUCAUAUUAUAUAUUAUUUAAGAAUAAAAUUGUUAAUAGCAUAAAUAUGAAGACCACUAGAUUUUAAUCAUUUGGACCCGAAAUAACAUAACCGAGAUAUUCUAGGAUUUUUUAACCUAUACUUUGAAAUUUAGAAUGAUAAUUCUCAAAAGCAAUUGUUGUGACUAUUUAAUAUGUCGUUUAUCAAAAAGAACAAAUAUCAAACAUUAUCCCUAGCUAGUAUAUGCAUCCUAAAUAAACGUACAAAUAAUUGGAUAGAAAAAUAUUAGAUCACAUCAAUUAUUCAUAUAAAACAUUAGAAAAAUACUGACAUAAUAAAACAAGAGGUAACCAAUAGAAGAUUACAUAUCUACAUUUUCAUUAAAAUGAUAUAAAAAUAACUCAACAGAGAUAUAAUGCGUAAGAAAAUAUAAAGUACGAGACUCUUGAAUCAGAAUCUAGAUGACUAUUAUUGAUAUUCAAAGAGUAUAAAGUUAGAGUGAUUAAGACUCCCUAGACUUACACUAAAUAUAUCGAUGUCUAUUAAAUUGAUUUUUUUCAUAAAAACGCUAAAAAGUAACCGUUACCAAAAACUAACUUAGGGUUUUGCUUACAAUUCAACACUAUUUGUUUUUAGAGAAAAUGAAAAAUAAUUAUCCAUUAUUUGGAGAAACUUGAAGGUGAGUGAAAAGCAAAAGUGGAAUGACAGAUCGCCACGUGGUGCGAAAAUCAUUUCCAUGAUUGGAGGCAGUGGACCGGUCGACAGCCUGGGUCUAGUUGGCUCACUUUUUCUCACCCCAAAGUGGUUGUGUGUGUCAGCCUUUGGCUCCCCCCACCGUGGACCACCCCAUGCAUCUCUCCUCGUCUCUCCCGCUGCCCUCCAACCCAUUAGAUUCACUCCUAAACUCCAUAUGUCCAAACCUUAUAGACACUAUACAUACUAUGUCUAAUCAAACAAUUCAUGCAUAAAGCUUAAAUUCAUCUAUUUGUUUUGUUAUUCAAUUUAUUUCAACAUAUAAGACUUAAAUUACUUUAAUUGUUUGUUGGAAUACAAUAUCUUCUUUAAGAAAAAAACACUGAUUUCUACUUGACUUUUAACUUUUACUUUACGUACCUAUGACAUAACAUGCUUUGUAGUUAGAAUAACUAAUUCACUAAUUCAUAAAAGUUUUUUUCAAAAUUUAUUUAAUAAAUUUGGUUAUGAUCCAAAAACUUACUUAAUAGUAAUUACAAGAUUAAUACAAAGAAAAAACAGCUAUUGUUCUAAUAUUUCUUAGAUUCUAAUUUGGCAGUUGAUUCUUAAAAAUAUGACUAAAAUGGAAGAAAAAUUGAAAAAUAUAAGCAUUUAAAACGGUGGUUUUCUAAAAAAAAGAAAAAUAAAAAAGUAUUUUCCUCAUGGGAAGGCGACCUGACGAGCGGUACAUCGUGGCCGUUGAUUCUUGCUUUUGCACGCGCGCUUUUGGUCGGAUCCCACCAUUCACCUUUUUCUUUUCGUUCUAUUAUUAAAUUUUCUUUUAAAACAUUAUUUUCUCUAUUUUUUUUUAUAUAUAUAUUCACCUAAAAUAAUUUAAUAUAUUUUAAAUUGUUUUCUUUCUUCGAAUCACAAACUUCUCGAUUGAUCGAAUCUACGUUAUUCAUAUGAUGUCUUCUAGAGUUGUCAACAAAUGAAAUUUACGAAAUGUGAUUAUGUUUUUUACUUGUUUUAAUUUUUAUUUGAAUAUCAAAUAGUAUCGGUAUCAUUUACAAAUUUUUAAUAUUUCUUUUUUAUAUAUUUAUUCAAACUCUUACUUUUUUUUUGUUAAGAAUGUGAUGAAAUAAAAAGAUAAUAAUAAAAUUAGAUCCACUUAUUUUUAAAUUGAUUUAAAAAGAAAUCUCAAAAUGAUUAGUUUGAUUGUGACUAUGAAAAUGAUAACAAUCUAAAUUGGACGAAAACAAAUUGAUUAUAUUGGCCUAACUUAGUGGUCCAAUUGAUAUUUAAAAUAUGGCCGUCACAAAAUUAAUUUAUGUACACCUAACUUUGAUUUUUUUAAAAAAAGUUAUGCUUAUAAACAACUUACUUUUAUUUGUACUCUUUAUAGUUCAUAUUAUUUUUUCUUACGAUAAAAUGUCAUUUUUGAAUAUCUAAUUCUUUAGUCAAUAUUUUAUAUAUAAAAUAAAAAAUUUUAAGUACACUAAGUCGAAAAUAAUCACUUUCUUUUUUAAAUAAUAUUCUAAUCAUCUUAAAUUGUUAGGAGCUAGAUGUAACUAGAAGAAUUACUAAACAACUUUAUUCUCAAAAUAUAUAUUUCCUUAACUAUUAAAAAUGAGUAUAGUUCGAACGUUCACGGAUAUCUAAAAAAAAUUAAAGACUAAAGUAACCUAAAGAAUGGUAGAUUGAAUCAAAUCAACUUCAAUUAUUCUACGACGAUGUUCCAUUUUUUAAGCAACCCAUAUCCGACAAUAGUACUAUAUAUAUAUAUAUAUAGUUUGUAGCCAAAAUAGUUUAUAGAUCUAGGGGACCUUAUUGUAAAAGUUCUUUUUUUUCCAUAUUCAUUAAUUAAUAAAUUCCUUUCUAAAGUAUCUGCCCUUUCCCUAUCACAAAAAUUCAUACCCUAAAUUUAGACAACUCAAUUAUUUUGUACUAACACUUCUUUUAUAGAACCAACCGUUAAAAUCACUUUUAGAACUCUCUCCAUGUUUACAUAUUCUUCUAUCAAUUUCUUCUAUUAAUUUCUUUUGGUUUUAGCUAGUUAACACAGUAAAUAUUAUCAACAUGAGUAUAAUGCAAAUGACGUAAAAUUAAUUAUACUAUCAAUCUUAAAGUUAGAGGUUUGAUUCUCUCAUCUCAUAUAUUAAUUCAAUCUAUUUGAUUCGUUCACUAAUACAAAAAAAAAUACAUUAUUGGUUCUAUUUCUUAAUGUAUUGAAAUCUGGGCUUGAUAAAAAAGUUAUCUUUUUUUAACCUAAGAAUAUUUCACUUUUAAGAACACCAUACCCAAAAUUUAAAUACUAAAAAAAUCAAUUUUUUUUACCGUAAACUUUCAAAAAUUGCCGGAUUAACCCCGUAAGCUUUUAAGCUUUCAAUUUACAAAUAUAUAAGACAGUACACAAAAUUAAAAGUCUAAUAUAUUCUAUUACACAUAAUUCAAAUCUAAUGUAUAACAAAUUGGUCUACUUAAAAAAAAUCCUACUAAUUAAAUACAAAUUUGAAUGUUUUAGGAAUCACACAUAAAAAUUUGACGAAUCUACCCAAACUAAAAAUAAUAUAGGGUUAAAUUAAGAAGUGGAAAAUAAUAUAGGAUUUAGUCUUUUAAACCAUAAACUAAAAAUAAUGAUCAAACAAAUCAAUGGAGCCUAAAUGAAUUUGAAAAGCUUUUUCAUGAGCUACUCAAUCAAUUACCUUAUUCUUUGAUAUCUAUAAUUUCAGCAUGAAUUAUUAAAGCCCUAAUAAUCAUAUCCUAAAGGAAUUCCAUUUUUCUUAGCCAAUCAGUGGAAUAGAAGCCAUGUGGAAAAAGUGUAAGUUUCUUUCCUUGGAAGUAAAAAUUUCAAUUAUUAGAAACUUUAGUCCUUCUCAACUUACCAAAUUACCACCAAUAAUCCAUGUGGGUUUAUUGGUUAAUUAGAUUAUUAAUUUUGGUUGAACCAAACAAUGGUCUUAGGAAAAGCCUACAUUACAAGUUACUUAAUGUUUGGUGGUUAGGAAUUAAUAACCUUGGAAACAUACAAAUCAAAAUUCACAUUUCAAUCGAAAAAGUGGGCUCGCCUGAUCGCCCCAAAAUAAUUUCGGCCCAGGCCCAUAUGUCUUUAUCUCUUUCAUAUGGCCCACCCCAUUUGUGGGCUUUUGAGCAACAGCCUAUAUAAACAUAGGCGAAUUUACCAACUAGCCCAUCAACUAUCAAUGCAAUUUCUAUAUUGAAGUAAAAUAAAACAAGUUUAGUCUUGAAAUUCUAACUUUUUCUUUUCUUUUAUAUGUGGUGCACUAACUUAAAAAGAACUUAGGUGAUUUGUCACGCAACCGCGAAUAUCAAAUGAAAAGUACAGACAACGAUUGUAGCAAGAAAAUAACAAGUAAAUAGAAAAAGAGAUACACAAGUUCGUAACCUAUAGUUCAACUAUAUACAUUUACAUAUGGAGGACAGUGUACCCAUAAAUUAUAAUAAUACACUAAUAUAAAAGAGUUAGAUAUAGUCUACAACGUAGUACUUUAUACUCAACUAUUACAAUGACUCACAUAGCUAAAGUUCAACUCAUUUAUGACAUGGGCUCUUUUUAAUUUAAAUGUGAGACUCCCUCUCAAAUGUUUCUUGCUCUCCCAAAGUGAAUGUGAGAUCCACAUACCUUCCAUCUGCAUAGGUUCCCCUUAAGACUAAGAAUCCCCUCUCGACAACAAUGAUUUAAAAAUUAAACUCCCCUAAACUGUGAUAAUUUUUACCGUAUUGUAUUCAAUGGAUGAAGAAUAACUUGCACAACGAAAUAUAACGAGGAAAGAGCUAUAAGAACAUAAUGAUGAAACAGGAGUACAAUAAACAAAAGUUUUUAUGAUGACCUUGAUAGGUUCUUACAAUUUUAACACUUUGUUUUUUUUUAAAAAUAUAACAAAUCAACUAGACACACAUACAAAUAAAGUUUAUAUCUAAUAAGAUACCUAAACUUUUAAUGUUACAUCCAACAGAUUCAUAAAUCUUAGAAAACGUGAAAUCAGUUUAGAGAAUUCAUUAAUCGACCCUUGAAAGUUUAAUUGUCUAUCAAACACAAAUAUGAAAAAUCUAGAUAUCUAUUAAUCUAUUUGUCUUUUUUACAGAUCUAAAAACUUGUUCGAUAGAAACUUAAAGUUCGUGGAUAUGAUCACACCCUAAAUAUUGUAUAUAAGAAGAAAAAAAAAACGUUACCUAGGGUCGCAAUAUCACAUAUUAUAUAGUACAAAACUUGAUCAUCAUCUUGAAUGAAGAUAAUGUGAAGUGAUUAUAUGAUUUGACAAAAUAAACAGAUAUAUACCCACAUCUUCACCAGAGAGAACAAAGAAAAAAAAAGAAUUAAUAUUGUGUAAAUUAUUGCAUAAAGUUUGACGUGAGAAAUUGACACAUUUUAAGAUGGUUAAUUUCACAUUUGAAUUGAUUCUACAAAGCAAUUAAUAAGGUCAUGACCAAAGUUGUAGGAAUCUAAUUUUAGUGUUUUGGUUAAAGAGAGAAGAAAAAAGGAAAACAAAAAUAAAGAAAAAAUUCCUCUCUUCAUUUUAACACUUUGAAAAAUGUACUUUUUUUUAAAAAAAAUUAUUUGUUUGUUUAUUAUUAUUGUUAUUAUUAUUUCGGAUAUCUUUUUUUUUGGUUGCAAUUAAGAUGAGUUAGAGGCCGACCAAAGUGAUUCUAAUUCCAAUUCUCCACUUUCCACCCUUAGCUAAUUGUUCUUUAAUUUUGAUGCCCAUUUUUUUUCACAAACAUCUUUUGGUCAACUUUCUUAAGGUAAUAGGGGAACCUAUUCAAUGGUUGCUAAAACCACCCAAUUUCUUUUCUUUUCUUUUAUUUACUACUAUUCGUCAAUUUGUAGUAAAUAUUAUCGAAAAACAAACAUGACUAUAGUGUAACAUAAAUAUAACAUUUUGAUAUGUGUCGUCAAUUCUAAAAUUAAUAUAGAUCAACUAACAUUUGUACAUGUUAGUAUCAAUAGUUCAAAUCUCAUGACCUCUUAUUGUACUAGAAAAAGAUAUUACACCAAUUUUUCACAUUACAGUAAACUUGUAUUGUGAUAUAUAUAUAUAUAUAUAUAUAUGUGACAUUAUAAUAAACUCUCGAAACUAAUUGAAUAUUUGGUAGAAAAUUAAUAAGAACACAUCGGUACAAAACUUAUUCCAUUUGCCCAAUUGCGGCUUUUAAGCUAAGCUUUAGUUGGAAAGUUGAAAACCAUAGAGAGAUUCUGCUAAAACACCAAUCACAUUGUAUGUAUUAUAAUUUAAGAUAAAGUAUGGGGGAAAAAAAUACUUUAUACAUAUUAUAAAUAUGAAUAAAUAUAUAUAUAAAAAAAAAGGAAAACAGAAAAAUAUUCUUAAUUAGUGGUAGAUACUUAUCAUUAAAGUUUUAAAAAAAAGAUAUACGAAGGAUGAGAAAAAAGUGAGAUUCUAUUAUUCUGAACCUAAUUUUUCUUUUUUAACAUCAAAAUUAUACCUUUAUUAUUGGAAUUUGAUUAGUUAUGAACACAUAACAAAUAAAAAUAAGAAUUUCAAACCCAUAUUCAAUGGAUUAGUCCAAAGAAAAAUAUAUUUUGUAUUUGUUAGAAAUAUUCUUUAAGCUUUCACAAAAGCCAGCGAUGGCUACACUUGUGGGCUAUAUAGUUGAUGUUAUAAACCAAAUUGUGCUAUGCAGAAAAAAGAAAAUAUAUUCUCUAAAUCCUUUGUUUGUGAUUCUUAAUUUAUUUCUUCUGCGAAUCUUACGAUAUCGAGUUUUCUUUAUAUUGUCGUAUAUGAUGUUAUCUAUUCUUUUGAACCAAAGAUAAUUUGUAUGAAUAAUUUAAUUUAAAAAUUUUCAAAAUAUAAAGGGACAAAAGUGGUAUUUUUAAUUUAAUUACCGUAAAGGAUUAAGAGUAAAGGUGUGCAAUAAUGGUAGAAUAGAAGGGUUUGUUUGGAUAAUAAAGAAAGUUAAUUGGAAGAAUAUUUAAAACAUAUGGGGGCUGAGUGGAAGAAUAUUCUUUUAUUAUUACUUCAAAAUAUGUUAUAUAUAAUUCAUAUGCAGACAGAAAGGAUAUUCAGAAGGAAGGAUUUAGGGAGAAUAAUUGCACACGUGUCAUGACGAGGAAGAGUGUUUCUCUUUAUUUCAUCUCUCCCACAAACCCUAAUUAAAGAAACCCUAAAAAUAUGAGAGAGAAAAGUUGAGAGUUGGAAGCUUAUAGCAGAAGAGUUGGUUGAGAAAGUUGAACCAAAAUCAUCAUUUCAUUUUGGUGUUUUCUUUUUUCAGUACUCCAAAGGAAUUUGAUGCAUUCUCUCUCUCUCUCUCUCUAAGCAACCUUUUCCAUUUGCCACACACAAAAUCUUACUUUCUUACUUUUUCCAGAACAAUUCCAACAUAUCCAUAUGCAUUUUUAUGACCAUUUUGAUGGCAAAAUCCAGAUAGUUAGGGGAAAACAUAUAUACUUUGUGAAUUUUUAUGCACGUGCAAACGUUAGUGAAUUUGUAUUUUGAAGAGAAGAGAUAUGAAUAGUGCUAAAAAGUAUCGUUAUGAUCUCGUCUCGUUUAACUUAGGAUCGUUCUAGUAUUUUACGUUUGUAGGCAUUGAGCAUAAUCAAGGUGAAAUUAGCCCCUUGCAUUAAUCUCUCUCAACAAUUUGAGUAUUAUAUGAUGAUUUAAAGGUACAAUCGGAGUAAGAAGUUUAAGUGGACAAAAAUUAGGUCUAGCUUUGUAGUGCUUCAAUUUUUUAGGAAGGCUUGAAGUGUACGUCGUUGGGCAACUCCCUAUAUAUUAUACACAAUUUGUGUAUACAUACACACACACACACACACAGUUAAUAUGAGCAAAUAGGCAAUUCAAUAAUUCAUUUUUUAACUAUGGAAUUGGUACACAAUUUGUAAGGCAAAAGAGGGAAUCUAAUUAUAAUAUAUGUCAUCCCAUAUUGGGGUUUUGGCUAACAAACAUAGAAAAGGAUAGGUUGUGCUCUUCCCAAAUCUUCUUUUAAACUAAGAACUUUAGAAAGAGAGAUUUUUUUUUUAAAAAAAAAAAAAAGGAAAGGAAAAGAAGUAAUUAACAAUAGUAUACUUCAAAGUUCAAUUGAAAAAUGGAAAUGCAUCUCCACUUGCUUUUCUACCUCUUCAUUACAAUCUUUUAGGAUACAAGAUUUGUAAAAAAAAAAAAAAACCCUAAUUCAUUUGGAACUCAUCAAUGAAGGUUCUUGAAGCAUAAUUGCCUCUUUUAUCAACAGAAAGAUAAAUUUUUACUUAAAUUUCUUUUAUACUAUAUUUUGGUCUACUCUCAGCUGUUUGUAUUCUUUGUUUUAAUAAAUAAGUGAAUCCUAAUAUAAAAUUUAGGAUACAUUCUUAAAAUUAGAAUAAAAUUCCUACCCAACAACUUUCUAAACCUUUAAUUUUGUGGCUAUGAUAAGUUCCUUAAAUAUUUUUAAAAUCUUAAUAGAUUAUGAAAUCACUAAAUAAAGAAUAUGAAAAAAAAUUGUAAAAGGAGGAGAGAAUCGAUGAUCAAAAUUGCAUAUAGUUUACUAACGACGUGUUAACUACAUAAUUCACGACAUAUAGAAGAAGAACAAUCUUAUUAGUGAGAAUGUUAAUUACAACAUACAUAAUGAAUUGUUGGCUUUGCAAUGCCUCUAAACUCUUAAUAUUAUAUUCAUAAAUAAUUUAUAAUAUGUUAAAUAUGAAUUCUAAAUAGGUUUUGGGAGCGUUUGAAUGAAGCAACCGCCAAAUAACAUGUACAAAACAUUCCAAAACAUUCCAACACUUUUGAAAAUCAAUUAAUUAACCUAUUUUAUACUUUUGAAAGUUAAAAAGAAGACCAAAACAUAUAUUGUAUCAUAUCUCAAAUUUCAAAUCUAAAUUUUUCAUCCAACAAAAAGAAACAAAGCAUAUAUUAAAAACAAAGGUAUGAGGUGAGUGAGAAUCUUGUUACCUUCUUACUCCCACUUUCCUAAAAAGAAAGUAGUAGCAAACUUGAAAAGAUUCCCCAUCUCUUAGGGUUCCUAUUUCUCAAAGUCUUUUUUUUAGUUGAGUUGUGUUUUCCCCUUCAUUUAGAGUCGUAGAAUUGGAAUUAAUUAAGAUAUUCCUUUCUUAGAGACAAUAUUUUUUUAUUAUAUUUUUAUUUCAAGUGAAUUUUUAGGUAAAAGAUGAGAGAUAUUCUCUUUCUCAACUUAAGUAUCUCAUAAGUUAAAGAUCGACGGACAUAAUUAAUCUAUAAGAAUAAAGAUAAUAAUAUAUUUUGUGUGGUUUGGUUUGAGCUAGAUUAUUGUAAAACCUAGUUACGACAUCUCUGUGUAUUCUCUGAUUCCUCUCUUCCAUUUAAGGAAAAAAAAUUAUCGUAGCUUCUCAAAUAAUUAUUAACAUGACUGUGAAUCAUUCAUGAAAUGAACUGAACUAAAAUAGUGUUAAAUAUAUUUCAAUUAGUUAUACAUAAAUGAUAAAUUAAUACUAAAUUGACAUAAUUUAUUAUAAAACAAAUAUUUAAGAAUAUUUAAAGUAUAUAUAUAUAUUUUGUAAACUACGUAUUUUACCCAAACAGUGUUUAGAAAGUAAAAUUCUCUUUCCUUAUUACUUUUUACGUUUGAAAAUACAAUCCCAAAUGGGAUAUCAUAUAAUCUCUAAAAGCUAUUAAAGCUCUCACACACUAACUUAAGUUUGAAGUUAAAUGAUAUAUAAUAUACAAAUAUAGAAAAAUUACAUCGAACAAUAAUAUUCUAAACCUUUGUACAUUAAUAUAUAAUAUACACAAAGUUUUAUAUGAGUUGUGGAUGCAGCCUUUUAAAAACCAAAAGAAAGUUGCAUGCAUGGGUUGGGAUCAUAGAUAUACACACAUAUAUAUGGAGUGAAGGCUGGUGUCUAUAUCUAUAUAUAUAUAUAAAUAAAGUCUAAUUUGGGGUUGUAGCUGUCUUUCUCUCUUCAAUUCAUUAGAAACAAAUAGGAUAAGUUUGUAGAUAUGCAUUAGAAAAAUGCCAACUUGAAACUUUGGGUGAAAAAGUGAAGAAAUAAAAUAAAAAAGAAGAGAAGAGAGAGAGAGAAUAUUGAAUAAAUAUAUACAUAAUUUUAUCAUAUAUACCUUUGGUUAAAAAUCAAAAAGGUAAGACAGAAGAAUUGAAACUAAGCUAAGGGCUCUUAAAGUGUGUUAAAGAAUGGCAAAAAAGAAAAGGAGAGAAGAGAGAAGAAAAAAAAAGGCACAAAUUGUAAGAAAGAAGAAGAAUCAUACUUUUUCUUUUACAAUGGUGCAACAUGAGGACUUGUAAAUGAAUCACUCAAUUCAACUACUGCUUUUGUCCGAACACGCUCAACUGUAGCGUUUUAAGGAAAAUUUAGUUCAUUAGUACUGGUAUAUGUGCUAAUUAGGGUGCAACACUUGUAUAGAAACUUUUCGAAUGGUCAGUCAAUUUAGUACUGCUACUCUAGUCCAAACACGUUUAGUUGCAAAGUUUUGAUGGAUCUGAUGCGUUAAUGUUGGUAUAAUUAUCGCAUCGGAGAGAAGAAUCAUAUACUUUACAUUAGUGAUUUUGAAUUCUCAUCUCUCACAAACAAAGAGAAAAAGAGAGAGAGAGAUAUCUCAAAGGUUCCAAAACCAUACCCUAAGCACAUGAUCCCUCUAAUGUCAGACUCUCUUGAUUCCUUCUAUCAAAUUAAAAGCAUUUAAGUUUUUUUUUCUUCUUCUCUUUUAGCUUUCUUCUUUAGUUAUUUGCCUUUGUUCUUUGCAAGAAGUUACUCUUCUUCUUUAUCCCCUUUGCUUUUCUCCCUCCCUCUUUAUUCCCCUCUUGAUCCCUUUGUUAUAUGUUCAUAAAAACAAUAUAUUUCUUUCACUUCUCUUUUGCUCUCAAACUUGAAGAAACCCCUCUUUACAAAAACAACAAAAACCCUAAUCUCUAGCUCUCUUUUGGUUUCAUUUUCACAUGAAAUUUUGAGUUAUACUAUAAGGAAAAAUAUGCCAUCUCCUCCUGAAUUGAGCCUUGAUUGUAAGCCUCAUAGCUAUUCUAUGUUGUUGAAAUCUUUUGUUUCAGAUCAUCAUCAAGUGGCAAUUACUAAUAAUAAUAAUCAUACUCAUCAAGAUCAUCAACAACAACAUCAUUCUUCAUCACAAAAUCAACAACUUGAAGAUUUGCUCUCUUGUCUUGAAGCUGAAAGACUCAAAAUUGAUGCUUUCAAACGUGAACUUCCUCUUUGCAUGCAACUUUUAACCAACGGUAAGCUUUUGAACAUCUUAAUUUUGUUGAUUAGGGUUUUUUUAGUCAAAUAUUAUAUUUGUUUUCUCGUUUUAUCUUGUGUUCUUUUGUCAAUUUCUAGCUUCUCAUCUCUCGAUCAUAAUAGAAUUUGAAGCUUUUUUUUUUUAUAUAGUGAUAGAACGAACGAACAAUUUAAAUACGAGUUUAGGAACAAUUGAAUUUCAUACUAAUAGUAUAAUCUAACCACUUUAAUUUUUAAACUAAAAAUAAAAAUUAAUUUUUUUUUAUCUUUUCUAGAUUUUCUUUUAAUUUUGUAUAAUAUUUAAGAUGGAAUUUAGGAUACGAUUAAUUUUCUUCUUUUCCCCUUUUGUUUUUGUUUUGUUUGUUUGCUUUUCUUUCUAAUACUAUUUUUGACAAUAUGUGGAAUAAUGAAGAUUAAACUUUUAAUAUCGAGAUUGAUAGUAUAUAUUUGAUAUAAUUAAGUUGAAUUAUACUCGGUCGUUUUAGCCUCUCGAUUAUCUUCCAUCUUUCUUUCUUUGCUUUGCUCUUUAUUAUUCACUAUUAAACAACAAAUACAAUAAUUUUGAUGUUGAAAUUGAUUUGGGUAUAGCAAAAUUUGAUUGAUUUUUCUCCCUGUUUGGCAAUUCUAUAGCUUUGGAGACAUCAAGACAACAACUACAAGGGUGCAGAUCAGUAAACAGCAAUAACAACAAUGAUGAAAAUGAUCAUCAAAAUAGUCAAAAACCAAUCCUUGAAGAGUUCAUUCCACUCAAACAAACAACCUCAGAAAGCUCAGAUCAAACCUUAUCAAAUAACAUUUCUGAUAAGGCAAAUUGGAUGACAUCAGCUCAACUUUGGAGCCAAACAAAUAGUAAUUCAACAAAUAUCAUUGAUGAAACAAAACCAAUUAAUCUUUCCUCUUCCAAACAACAACAACAACAACCCAUUGUUGAUCAUCAUCAUCAUCAUCAUCAUCACCAUCAAAUUGGAUUAAUCCCAAAGCUUCAAAGAAACAACAACAGCAAUCAAAACAACGGUGGAGCUUUUCUUCCAUUUUCAAAAGAUAGAAUUUUGCAUAAUUCUACUUCUUCUAAUUCUUCUCAUCUUCCCGAUUUGGCCCUCGCCGCCACGACCGCUGCCGAUUUUGGUGACAAUGAUGGGAAUAAGUGUGGGAAUUCAGAUCACCACCUGCCAGAAAAGGGUAAUUUGGUCACCGGAAAAGUGAAUUUGGGUGGUGAGGGACAAAUUAUUACAAAUAGUAAUACUACCAAUAAUAAUAAUUCGACUGUGGUGGUUAAUAAUAAUAAUAACACAACCAACUCUACAAAUCAGACUCACCGGAAAGCUAGACGGUGCUGGUCCCCGGAUUUGCACCGGCGGUUUGUCAAUGCUCUUCAAAUGCUUGGUGGUUCACAAGGUGAGUAAAUUUUUUUUUAAAGAAUUGCACUUUAAUUUGGGUUGUUUUUAGGGAGAUUCCUAUUUGAGCUUUAUUUUUUUUGUUUGAAUUUUCAUGUGAGAUCUCUUCUUUUUAGAUUUGAGAUUUUUUAUUUUAAUUUUGACCAAAAGAUAAAGAAAUUCAAAGGUGGAUGGUAUUGUUAUCAAAGCUAGCUAAGUUUAGCCAUUGUGGAUGUCGAUAUUUUAAUUUUAAAGAUAUAUCGAUAUGGAUAGAUAUAAACGUUUGUAUCUUCGUAAUUGUUGUACAAAUUUUGUAUUUUUCCUUGUAAAUUAGUGAGAUUAAUUUUGAUUGAUUGUGGAAGAGAGUGGAAAGGUUGUUUAGGGUUUAGGGUUUGAAUUUUGGUUGGGUAUGAGAAUACUUUGGCAACUUAUGUUUUCCUUUUCCUUUUCUUUUUUGGUGCUAUUAUUUAUAACAUAUAUUUAUGAAUUGAUAAGAAUUGUUCUUUGUUUUUAAUUUUGGAAAAAAAAUAGUUGCUACCCCAAAGCAAAUCAGGGAGUUGAUGAAGGUUGACGGUUUGACCAAUGAUGAGGUUAAAAGCCAUCUGCAGGUUCUAUCUCUUUCUUAUGUAAAUGUUUUCAUAUGCUUCCAUUGACACAUAUAUAAUAAAUAAAUAAAUAAGUUCGAUUAAGUUACGAAUUCAAAGUAUUUUAAUUCUUGGAUAGUUAACUAUGUAGUAACAUUUUAAAAAAAAUUAUAAAUAUAGAAAAGUCUACAAAGAGAUCAUAUUACCAAUAUUGUUCUAUUAUCCCUAAAUUACAAGAGUCUAUCAUUAUAAACUUUAAUAUAUUUAUAGUUUUUUAUAAAAAAAUUGAUAUAUGUUUAAUUAUUAUUCUUCCAAAUUGAUAUUUAUUAUAAUUACAUUCUAAGAAAAAUUCUUAUUCAAGUUAUAUAAAGAUUAUUUAUUAAGAUUAAAUUUUGUUUUUUUUCUUCGAAACAAUAGACACUAAAUUUGUAGGAUAGUGAUUUCAUUCGAUAAUGAUUUAGAUGUUAUUAUUUGUGAUCACAAUUUAUCUACCAUGUUUUUCAUUUUUCUUCGUAAGAUAUUUGACAAUCAUAGUCAAGUUAUGAAACUAACACCAAAAUUUUAAAAGCUAUAUGUUUCAAAAUUGAAUUUUGAUUUUGAGAAAACUAUAACGAAAAAUAGGUUAAAAGAAUCAAAUAGUUUUCUAACUUUAAUGAUAAUAUUGAGUUUGAAAGUAUAAUUGAUUAUUGUUGAUUUGUUUCUCUUUUCUUUUCUUGGUAUUGUACAUUAGAAAUAUAGGCUGCACACAAGGCGACCAAGUCCAAGCCCACAAGCGGCCGGAGCUCCGGCGCCGCAGCUGGUAGUCGGCAUUUGGGUUCCACCGGAGUAUGCCACGGCAGCCGCCCACGGUGGAGCAGCGGCCCUAUACGGACCUCAUCCCACAACCUACUGUGCACCACCGGUGCACCAAGAUUUCUAUCCACCGCCACCACUGCCGCACCACCAGCUCCACCACCAGCACGCACUGCACCAGCAGCUACACAUGUACAAGGCAGCCGCCACUGCUCAGGCUCAUAGCUCCCCGGAAUCAGACGGCCGAGGAAACGGUGACCGAUCGGAGAGCAUCGAGGAUGGUGGGAAGUCGGAGAGCGGCAGCUGGAAGGUGGAGAGCGGCGGAGAAAAUAACGGCGGGACCGGAGAGAGAAAAGGGAACUUGGCGGCGCUCCGGCAAGAGACCGGAGAUGAGAGCAAUGGGAGUGAAAUUACACUCAAGUUCUAAGGUUAAUUAAGUAAUUAACUAUAUUGUGAUUAGAGGUUUAGACUAAUUAAUUUUAAGAGUUAGAUUUUAUAUAUUUAUAUAUAUAUAUAUAUCUUAGAGAGAGAGACUUUUUCUUUUCUAAUUUUCCUUUUUUCUUAUAAAUUGUAUGUCAUUUUAAUUUCUAAUUAAUUCUUAUUAACUUUUGAACCAAAAGAAUAUUUGAUGAUGGUGAAGAAAGUGUAAUGGGAGGGCAUAUAAUAUAAAAAUAAAAGUGCCCAAGUGUUUGUUUGUUUUUAUUUUUUUCCCCCUAAAUCUUAUUGUGUGAUUUUCUUUUUCUUUUAUCUUUAUAUCAUCAUUUGUAUUAAAAUCCUUGUUUUCUCUAGACAACAUUUUAUGUAAUUUUCAUGAGAAGUUGUAAGUAUACCCAUCAACUCAAAUCAAAGUACUAGCAUGUAAAUGAAUUUGUAGAUAUAACAAAAGCUUAGAUCCAAUUUUUAUAGUAAUUCUAAUUUAACUUUAAAAAGGAAAUGAUUGGUAGAAAGAAAAAGAAAAAAGUGGAUGUUUGUUUUCCUUUUUUUUUUUUUUUUUUUUUUUUUUACUUUUGUAUGGUAUAAUAAGUUUUAUUCCAAUUUACAAGAGAGUGGAGAUUGGAUUUUGAUGCAAUCUACUCUUUUGUCCUUUCUAUUCCUUAUAUAUCUUUAAUCAAGUUGGACACAUUUUCCCCUUAUAGAUUCAAGAUAAUAACUCUUCAGGUUUAGUCAACAAAUUAAAAGGCUUGAAAAAAAACAAAUGGAGUUUCUAUAGUAAUUGGAUCUACAACAAAACAAAUCAAUUUCAAACGAAAUAGAUAAAUCAAUUUCAAACGAAAUAGAUAUUGAUGGAUAAAAUCAUGGCUUACCCCAGUUCCCACUGACUAGAGUUAAUAAACGUAAGCCAUUUUUAAACUUUUGUUUGAUUCAUUUUCAUAAAAAAUUGAUGUAUUGAUUCUUCAAUAUCAAGAAUUGUAUCUUUUGGUACUCGUGCAUGAGCCUUUUUUUUUUUUUUUUAUGAUGCCAAAGAAAUAACUCCACCAUUUUGCCAACCAUCUUUCUUCGAAAUUCUACUUAAUUAAUCGUUGCCCAUUCCAUUUUUUUAACAACUUAACAUGAGAUCUCCACACUAAGAACUUCAUGUUUCUUCUUAAACUUUCGUAGAUGUAACGAUUUUGGUUUCUAAAUAUUGAUUUAGAUUUAAAUUACUUGAAGCUGUUUUGUAUUAUAUACAUUUGUACAUUCGACGAUCACUGUUAAAAGAGUAAAAUGAGUAAAAAAAAACCACUUUAGAUUACACCAUUUCAAUGGAGUUUACUUUAUAUGAAAAUGAAUCCAUAGACACAAAUCUCAAAUUUCAUAUAUUAAUUUUCGUAUUUAACCCUCUUGAAAUUAUAAUUAAUCUAUAAAAAACACAACAUAGUAUUUAAAGAAAGAAAGAAAAUCUUGAGCUCCUAAUUUGUUUAAGGAAAUUUGAAGAUUUUCAAGGCACCGAAAGGUCUGUGCCUGAAGAACUUUCCACCUUAAUUUCCUCUUAGCUUUCACAAACUUUACUAAGUAACCACGUUACCAUCUUUACAUUUUUCUCACUAGCUUUUGUCUCUUUAAAUUUGGCUAUCCACCAGAAAAGGCCUAUCUGGACCAUUCCCAAUUCCCACCAUCUCAAACAUUCUCUACUAACUUUACUCUCAUUUAUUUAUGACAUUUCUGUCAGGCUUGAGAAACAUCAAAAAAGAAACACACAACAGAGAUUCUAUUUCAUUCAAUAAAUCUGAACAUUUUGAUAGUUCUAUUUCAUUCAAUAAUUAUCCCUAUAUAAUUCUAAAAUGUCUUUUCAAGCGUACCUUUUGAUGCAUUUCUCAAACACUUUUUCUUCUUCUUCAGUCUCUUUCGUUGAACACGAACUCGCCAUCCUGUUUUGUCCUUUUUUGUCCAGCUUUUGGAAGAAAAAAAAAGAGUUAAAUUGUAAGUAAAAGAUAAAGAGGGGAUGAAAUGUAACGAAAUACCGGUAUGGAAUUCGGUUUGAAAUGUGUAGAGAUGUUAUCGGAAAAGGGUUACAACCUAAACUUUAAAAUUCCAUUCAUGGGAAGGAAUUUCAGGCAAGGUGGAAAAACUACUUGGAUGAUAGAUUUAAUUUUGAAAUAUAACUGUUACCUAUUUAACUUGACAGAGUGAGUAAACACAUGUGCUUAGUUGAUUGUGAACAAACCAUGAAAUGAAUGGACAGCUUAAUCUUGGGAAAAUUAGGUUACAUAGAAUUCUAUUUCUACAUCACAACUUGUCAUUAGUAUGAACAAAAGACUGUGAAGGUGCCGACCACGGUGAAGAGUUGCAUGCCAACAAAAUAAGCACGAUGCAGCUUGUACAGAGAUUGAAAUUGAAAUUGAAAUUGGUUGGAACUUCAUACUUCAUCCAACAUCACUCUCUAUUGCAGUUGAUUCAACAAGAGCCUGUAAAGUAAGAAAUAGUAAUUUUGUUUUAUUCAUUCAUGAGCAAUUUCAAAAGGAUGAAUUGAAAGUAUCUUCGGAGCAGAGUAAUCUGAUAAAGAGAUGGGAGAUUUAGGUAAUGGUUACACAUGCUUCAUUACAUAUAAUAUUAAUAUAUGAUAAUUCUCCAAUAACAAAUAUAGAUAAAUAUAAUCUUCACAUUAUGUCAUAUGUAAGAUUCCCAACAAAAUAUAGAUACAUUGUUAAUUGUUCUUACAAGAGCCUGUCCAACAAUUUCGUCCAUUAGCACAUUUUUUAUAUAGCAUUAGAUGUUAACUGUUUCUUUCUAUUAUUACUAUUACUAUUAUGAGAAAGAAGAGAAUCAAGGAGUUUUAAUGUUGAAACACCAACCUGAAGUUCUUGUUCACUGGUCUUAAGUCUCUUAGAAUAAUCCUUUACUAGCAGAAAACUUUUAUGGAGCUGCAGUUAUUUGCAUAACGAAACCAAAAUCAUCAAUGCCAAUGCAGUUAUUGAACAAAGUAAAAUAUUGAACAGAUAGUUUACCUUGAUCAGCUGCGUCUGACGGAAUGAAGAGCGCUUCUUUGCACUGAUCAAUGCAUCUUCCAGUUUCUGGAUCCAAGUCGAUAUUAGUUAUAAUUGAGGGACAGGGCUACAAUCAGAACACAACAAAAGUAUCAUGGUUGCAAGUUAUAAAAUAAUUUUUUUACCUUGGCUUUCUUUUGCAACUCAACCACAAGUUUUUCUUUCUCUCCUGACCUCUCCUCUAUUUGAGAAACCUGAAAAGGAAAAACUCCAAGGCUUUAAAUUCAAGUGCAAUCAUGAUAUCUAAAAGAAUGAUACAAAACAAGUUGCAGAACUUCCACAAAACUCAACAUGUAUUUAUUUGGGACCUAUAUGCACAUAUAUUUUGAAGUAAAUUUCAGAUCAAGAGUACUAAAUUAUGCUAAUCCACAUUGAAAUUUUUCGGAAAACUUUCCCGACCAUUUCUAAACGAGUCUCUCUCUUCUGCAUGGAAAAAGAGAAUCAUCAAGGAAACAAACCUCUUUUCUAAGUUCUUCCAAUCUUUCUGUUGAUAUCUCCAGUUGUUCCUUUAACUAAAACACAAACAAUAGGAUUAAAAGUUGCGUUCAAUGCUUAUUAGUAAGUUGUAACUUUUUAAUAGGAAAAUCUAAAAGGUGAAAAAUGGUAAGCAGUAGCAUACUUCAUGGAUAUAAUCAUCACUAGAAUCAGAUGAAAGAUCCCGUGCAGUUCGACCUUCAAUUGUAAGACUGAAAACAGAAGCCAUAAUAGCAAUCAUAUAAUCAUAGCCAAAAGGUCAUUCCAUUUUCUCUAUCUUUUUUAUGAAACAGGAGGCACUGAAAAGAGAAGACAUAGUAGCAAUCAUAUAAUCAUAACCAAAAAGUGACUCCUCUAUCCUUUGUAUGAAACAGGAGAGAAGAACAUUUGCCAUCUUCCUCUUCCUUUACUUUCUAUUUAUCAUUUCAUUUUUUUUUUCUAUUUUGACAGGAAACAAUUUCAUUGUUUGAAUGAAACAAUACAAAAGAAAACCCAUCCAAAUGGGAUUUAAAAAAGAUUCCUCCAAUUUGUAAAGGAAAAUUUUAAGUUGUAGUUGUUAAUAGGGAACCACUUCCUUUACAAUAGAGGAUUAUACUAUACAAAUACGAAGGUCUGUACAUUUGGGGAAAAGAAAAACAAAAGAUGGUUCUAAAACUAAACAAGACUAUGCAAGCACUAAAAUGAGCUAAGAAUGAUGUGGAAGCAUUUUUUAAGUGGUCCCUACAGAAAAGUUAUUAUCUAAUUCAUCUCUCUAAGCGUUGUAACAGCAGAUCCAUUGUUUGGAACAUGCCUCUACGGCCAUCUAAUUCUGCAAUUUGCUAGUAGUAAUGUCCUUCCCUAUUGUUCACCGCCCUUAAUAUAAACCCAAUGAACUAUAAAAAAUGAAAAAAUAAAGUGCUUUCAAGGUCUCUAGAUAAUUUCUGGAAUCACUAACUGCCCAGAUCAAAACUAUCAAACGUGAAAUGGCUAGAAAUAAUCAGACAUUCCAAUCACAACAAUUUGGGCAAUCUCAAGUUUUCAACAUAAUGCCACAGAUGGGCAAAUUAGUCAGAUGACUGCCCAAAGAUAAAUAUAAAAUUUAUAUUAAAACUACUUAACAUUGAUUUCAAUAAGUUUGAGGACAGACUAACCCGUUAUCUCUCCUUAAAACUUGAUCUCUGUCAUUGUCAAGGCUUUUAUCUCUUCUUAAGACUUGAUCUCUGUCAUUGUCAAGGCUUUUAUCAUAAUCAUCAGUUUUAUCAAUGCCUCUGCCUCCACUCAAAUCAGCACCAUGAUCUUUUUCCCAAUCUUGAUCGUGGUUCAACUUCAAGUCAUGUACCUUCUCAUUAUCCUUUGAAGUUUUUUCCAACUCUGGCUCCCUAUCCAAAAAUUGAUCCCUUGGUAGAUCACGAUCUUGUGAAUGCUUAUAUCCUCUUUCCUUGUCCAAAUCAUGUUCUCGAGACCGAUCAUGAUCUCUAGACCAGUCAUUGUUUCUACCUCUAUGACGAUACCUAUCAUGAUCAUAAUCCCUCCCUCGAUCUCUAUCCCUCUCCCAGCUCACGUCCCUCUCUGCAUCGAACCGAUUACCUUCCUUACCAAACCUUCCACCAAGUCGACUCUUCACUCCAUUAACUCGGACAACCCGCCCUUCAAUAGUCUAAUUCAAAGCCUUAAAAUGUCAGGACUCAAGACUAAAAAACCAUAAUGAAAAAUAUAUAACCAUCCAAAACUAAAAAGAUUCAUAUUCCAGCUAUAAAUUAACAUACCCUUCCAUCCAUGUCUUUUAUGGCAUCAAUAGCAGAUCGAGGGUUUGUAAAAGUAACAAAGCCAUAGCACUUUCCCCUAGUAGAACGAUCAUUGAUAAUCUGAACACCAAAUCAAAGCAUUCAACUAUAAAUACAUUAAACCACAUGUAAAUAAGCCAUUCAACAAGCCUAAUUGAAGCAUUUUAACAAACACAAAAGUGAACUAACUACUCAAAUUCUCCACAAUAGCAAAAAUUCUUCAACACAAUCCAAUUUUUUUUUCACCAUUUUCAGUAACGCAAAACACGUCUAUACUCCUAAAGAAACGUCAUAAACUAAACAAUUGAGCUCGAAUUGAUCUCUGAACUUCAAAUAGCCUUGGGAAAAAAAAGCUUAUAUUCAAGCAAUCAAAUAUUCCAUCAGAAACACCUAAAGAGCUACAUAAUUCUGAGGUAUACACGACGUAACGAUAUUAUCAACAGUCGUAAAAGAAAAUUUGUGACAUAAGAAGAUGAAAGGAGCGAAUCCGGUCGGUGGAGUAAUUGACCUUAACAGCGACGACGGCGCCGUACAAAUCGAAGAUUCUGCGCAAACUAUCCUCCGUUGCAUCGUAAGGAAGACCGCCGACGUAUAUCGAGCUGUCGUCGUCCACCGUCAUGGCCACCGUGAAAAUCCAAUCUCCGAGAAGAAUGAAGAAAGUCGAGAAGCACACUACUGAACUGCCUUUCCCAAUGUUAAAAACUCGCCUACGAACCGUUAAUCGACGUGUCGGAAGUGAGACGCAAACUUAACGACAUGUCGUAUUGCAUGGAGGGAAAAGAAUAUAGUAUAUGCCCACUUCUCUCCAGGUGACAGUAAAAUCACAUUUCUGAUAAAAGAAAAAAACUAUUUUCAAAUAGGGGUUUUUCUUUAAAGAAAUAUAAAACGUUUAGACAAAUUAUUUGCACUUCCGUGACAAUACUACUAAAUAAUAAUUUAUUAUGUUUAAUUCUUUUUAUAAAAUUUAAAUAUAUGUUCUAUUUUUAACCAUUUCCAAAUAGGUUAGUUUAUUUAUAAUGGAUUUUACAAUCAAAUAGGUUACACCGUCAUAAUCUAGUGAUACUUUUUAUAAAUAUUUUUAAAAACUUUUAUAUUUAAAAUAAUUUGAUAGAGUCACUACUUCUAGAGGUCACUUAUUAUGCUAUAUUAAAAGAUCUCUCGUUUAAAACCGUUUUGAUUUAUAUGUUGUACUAAUCGUGACAUCUUGUUUUUUAUAUAUAUAUCUAUAUCUAAAAAGAAUCGAUUCGCUCUAAAACAUAUUCACGUUGAAUUUAUAAAAUUAAUAUCAAAAUAAUAUUUUAAAAGUUAAGUAAGAUGUCUUAAAUUUGUAUUUAAUUAAUUCUUGAACUUUGAAGAGAACGUGGAGAUGUGGAGGUGGUCCAUGAUGAAAAGGAAUACAUUGACGACACUUAACAUUGGGUGAUGUUGCUAUAAAGGUUAGAAAACUCUUAGUAUAGUGAAAGUAUUGAUUUACUUAGAGAGUUACACGAGAUGGGGUUCUUUUUUCUGUAACAGGCUCCUGUACCUUCCAUAACAAAUAGAGAAGAUUAUAGCAUUCUUGAAUAUGAAGAUCCAGCCGGCUAUUGUGAUCAGGUAAUUUGAUUAUCCUUUAUGAUAUCUCACGUUGUUAGUUUUGUAUCAUCAUUUAAUGCUAUAAGAACUUUUAUAAGAGACAAUGACUGUUUGAAACUGUAGACAUUAGUUUUUGGAAUGUGAAUGUCACAGUUACUGCGUAGGGAUCUAAACGUCAUUAGAUGUAGUUCUCUUAAGAAAGAUGUAAUAUCGAACUUCUAUUAUUAAAUAUAUAAAUUCAGAAAUAUUUCUGUUUCAAAUUUCCUUAUUAUUACAUGACAUUGAACCAUUUAAAAUAAUGAAGUUUGUUUUUGGUGUUUGCUGAAUCUUUUGAUAAAAAGCAUCGUAUUAUUAAAAGUAAAUUAUUCAUUUUUGAACCUCCCGAUAUAUUGUCUCAAAAAGAAAGGGAAAGGAAAAAGAAAAAAGACCCUUGCAUUGUUACAUAGUUCAUUAUUUUUUUCUACUACGUCUUUCUUAGGAGAGUACGCGAACUUAACAAAUGUCUUACGCCAACACGUUGCCAUGACAUUGUCUUAGCUUAAGUCGUAUCCAUGCCACAUCUUCUCUGUUUUGGAUCCACAUUUGGGCUUUACCCUCCCAAGUAAAUGCAGAAAAGCUACUGUUCUUUUUGUAAAUAUGUAAAUGCACAGUAAAACUUAGAACGUUCUCAAUUGUUUCGUUCUUCCAACAAUAACCAACAGAUGGAUUUCAAGAUUUCAAUUCACUUCUUGUAGGUGUCAAUUCUAUUUGCUGAAUGGUACCGGAUAUGUGAGCUUUCCUGGUGCUAAUGAAGCUGCCUUGAACCAUUUCAUAUUACAAUUACAUCAAAAUGGACUUCUGAAAGGGGAUGAGCUUCCUGUUUUGGUCUGUUUUUCUAAUUUCUGUUUAGGAUUGAAUCAUAUUUUUAUUUUGCCAACUCACUGUAUCCUUGGCCUUGGCAAUGUAGGAGGUUUUUGUGGCACAUUGCUUAUCAUCUGAAGUAAUUAACUCGGGUGCAUUACAAUCAUCACCCCAACAAAUACAGAAUCUUUCCUUCCUUGCAAUUGACAUUUAAGCCAAACUUGUAUCUCCAAUCACGCCACGUGACGCUCAAAUCUUCUUGAACAAUCUCUUUUUUACGCUUGUGUUUAUAUCAAUAUUUUGUAUCUUAUGAUAUAAUGCUUUUUCGAUGCUUAGAUUAGAAUGGUAUUCGUGUUGGUUUCGCUGUGCAUGGAGUAUGAAGUUCAGGAAGUUUAUGUGAAAGUAGUUUGAUAGGAUAUGCUUUCUGAGAGAGCCGCGAGUUUAAGAUUUUAAUUUAGGAAGGCAACUGUUUAAUAUGUUUUUGCAUGACUUUUUUUUUUUUUUUUCUUAUGUUUAUUUUGAAAUCUAUUAAACCCUUUUCAAAUGGUUUAUGUUGCUUGACUAAAAUUUUCGUACUCAUUCGAGUACAUAACUAAAAUCACUUUGUUCCCAGUGGGCUUCCCAGAGCUUGCAGAGUUCAUCGUAACCUUGAGGUUGCUGAGAAAGCAGCCCAACAGCUUCCGGAACUCGAACUUAACGAUCCUGGAACAUAUGUUUUACUUUCAAACAUAUAUAAAUGGAAAAGUGGGAAGAAUCUAGAUGGAUCAGAGAAAUCAUGCCUCAAACAAAGUUAAAUAUGUCCCCUGGUUGUAGCUUGAUUGAGAUUAAUGGAAUAGUCCAUGAAUUAGUGAAGGGGAGAAAUAUAUACAAUUCUAGAUGACGUGAUUAGCAAGUGGAAGGAAGCAGACUACAUUCCUGAGAAAUCAGAAGUCCUGUUUGAGAUGGAUGAAGAAGAAAAAGAGACUGCUCUUAGCCUUCACAGUGAGAAACUAGCUUAUUAGCACAAAACCUGAGACGCCAAUUCAGAUUAUGAAAAAUCUUCAUGUUUGCACUGAUUGCCAUACUGCUACUAAGAUCAUCUCAAAGGUUUACAAAAGAGAAGUAAUUGUACGAGAACGCAAUAGAUUUCCCAUUUUAAGGAUGGAAGUUGUUCUUGGGAAGAUUUCUGUGAACAUUACAUUAAUAUCACAGAAGUUCAGGAUUUCUAAUUAGAUUGAUUUAUUUGGAAUGCAAAGAGAGGAUCAGAGGGUUCUGUUGAGGGGAUUGUGGACGAUCCUACUGCCCACCAAGUGUGGAGGAAAUAGAGAGAUGCGUAAUCCUGAUAUGAGCUUCCUCAGAGAAUGGAAUUAGAGUACAGAAAAGCUUCCAUUAUAAACACCUGAAACCUCACUUAGUUCAAGAUAUAAACCCUAAGAUUCAAGCUAGAAAGAUUAAAGUCUUUGCUCUUAGCUCAAAAGUCAAACAAUCCAAAAAUAGGAUGAUCAGUCCAAACUGAAUAGUCUUGAAAUAUGGAAAGUAACUCAAUAAUAUAAUUGGAAAGACCUCGAAUUGACUUGGCUCAACUUGAAAGGAAAGAAACAACUCAAUAUAAGACAAAGCUUUAUAUAGCCUUCCAAGAGACUCCUAAUCAGUCGCACUAUCUAUAUUUGCUAGGUUGCUAAUUGAUGUAAGAUUUCUCAAGUGGUCAGUCAUAUGACUCAUUUAUGGAUUAGAAUUACUUAAAUAAGACUAUGGCUCAUAUCAGGCCCAUAAUAACAUCAGCUAAAAGCCUAAUUUUGGAGGAAAUAAGAGUAAAUAAGUAAACUAGCUGGAACAAGAUGAUUGUCUUCAAUGGAUUCUCCAAUGGAUAUGACCAAGUGGGCAACGAGAGUUGAUUAGGCACAGAUCUCUUAGUUUCUCUAGAAAUGAAACAAGAAUUCCAUUUGAUGGAGGUUUCCUCCGCUUUUGAAGAGCUCGGUCAUUUCUACUUCUUUUCUUCAUUUUUAGGUUCUUGAAGCUCUCCUGGGUUAUUUCUUGCUUGAUCCCCCGAUUGGCACCACUGAUAAAGCAAUGCUUCAUCUUCCUGAUCCUGCUGUUGAUCAUUCUUGUGUAGUUGUGGAUGGAGGUUGGAAACUUGAAGCUUGAUUGAGUUCUCUUCAUUCAUAUCAAAUCCUUAAUCAAGCAGUAAGAUAAUAGAUAGAUAAGUUUACUGUUCAGUAUUUGAAACUAAACUAGAGGUCCAAGAAACCCUGCAUCCAACAGCUCAAUGAUUCCAUUACUUGUUAUCAAACCUUCCCCAAUUGAACUAUUCCAGUGACAAUUUGAUGAGAAAAACAAAGUACUACCAACAAAAACAGUGAAAUCCCACAACUCGUAAGUUUCGAUGCUUCUGUUGAGGGGAAACGAAUACAAUAAAAGCAUCACAGAUUAUUGUCAACCAGGAAAGGGUGCAUAAGAUAAAAUCUAGUACAUAUCUCAGAGAAAGUUCUUAUCAAAAAAAGAUGUCAAAAAGGCUGAUGCCUGAUCACAAUUUACUGCUAAGAUGUUUAUAUCAAAUGAAUCCCUAGCUAAAUGCAUAAACGGACAUUACAAAUUAGAAUCCGUAGAAAAGUGGUAUAUAUAUAAAAUCCUUGAAACUAGCAUGUAUGAAUGACAGCCCAUGAUAAUACUUCUUCGAUAAUAAGAUUCCAAAAAUAUCCAGUACCUAAGUUCAUAUAAGUUUUAAAUAUCCUACUUUUUCUCAUGAGUAGCCAAAAAAUCUAAGUUCCAAUAAAAACCUCAUACGGAGGAAAGUUUACCAGGCUUGCCAUGAUUUCCCUCAGGAUCAUUAUCAUUUCCCGUGGGCUUAUCCGCUGAUGAUGGGGCACUGCCAGCUCCAGUAACCGACUGCUGAUAUAGGACACCCCCUGAAAUUGUGAAAAGGAGACAGACCAAACCAAAUGGAUUUGCAUGCUUAUCCCAAAUAAACACAUUGAUCGCAACUGUUAGGAACUUAUUAACCACACCGGUAACUGUGAAGGCAGUAGCAGAAAUUGCCUUUCUUGCCGCAAAACCAAAGAAGCUUAUGAGGAAACCAAAUACACAGGAUAAGGACACUGCAAAAAAUGCAUCAUAUUCAAACCAAUCUCCUCCACUUGAACCUAAGGUAGAGAAAACAUCAACAUACUCUCCAGUGAUGAACCAGAACACAGGAGCCAAGAUCAAUGAAAUUAGAUUAUUAUACAGAACAAAACCCCAUGUGUUCAACCCAAGAUGUGUAACCAUAUGUUUGAUGUAGACCAUCUCAGUAGUAAUUGUCACCAAAUAAGCAAAUGCCCAUGAAUAAGCAGUCAAAGUAAAUGCAGAAUCUGUAGCUACAUACCCAACUGCUCCACCUAAAAUGAUCACCAACGAUCCAAACGUGAGCUUUGACGGACACGGUUGGUUUCUAAACAUGGUAUCUGCAAUGGCAACUAAAAGAGGGGUACAAGAUCUGAACACUAUGAAAGUAUCCACAUUAGCAUGGCGAAGAAGAUUUGUGUUGGUAAAGAUUGCGAGAUAGAACACAAACGCAGCAGGUAAAAACUUCUUAGCAGUUGCAUAUGUAAAAGGGUCAUGAUGCAAAAACCCAAGUUUCCCCAAAAUCCAAACACCAACAGCAGAGGUUAAAUACUGCAGAGCCGUCAAAAGACCAGGGUAGUUAAAUUUGGUAAUGGCAAACUUGUUUAUCACAGCAAGCAAGCUCGAACAAAGAGCAUAACCAAUCACAAGUCCACUGGUUGUAAAGUAUUGCUUCGUAUCCACUCUAAUGGAAGACAUUGCUGUAGUCUAUACUCAAUGAAAAUCAGUAACACAGAAAAAUUCAAGGUGGCAUACGGAUCAAGAUCAAAAGAGAAGGUACCCAGUAGAAGAAAUCAGGAAUGUAAUGCGAAUAUCGAAGCUACUUAAGCAGAUACUUGAAUACAGAAAAACCCCAGAUGAAGAAAGGGGGAUUCUCCAAGAAUAACCAAUUGGGGCUGACUGAAAUUCAAAGUAAAUGGUAAAUAAAGAGAAGAAAAUAGGAGUUUGUCAUUACCGACAAAAUUGGGAAGCUCGGAUCUGGAGCAACAAUGGAGGGAAAAUUGUAAUCGUACAGAUGCCCCAAUAAUUUAACAAAGAAUCAGAAAAAUCCAAAAGACCCAAUGAAGAGUUGAGAGAGAGAAAGGCAAAUGGGUGUGGAGCCGAAUGUCAUACAGAAACAGAGGAAACGAGGAAAAGAAAUUGAAUUGGUGGCAGAGGAGAAAUCAAUGGGGUUCUGAUUUGGAAGAGAUGGGAUGAAUGAAGGUGACAGAAGAAGGCCCAUUUAAAGCCCAUUACUUAGUCAAUGUAACGACGUCGUAUUAACGUACUGUAUUUAUUUACCAUUUAAUAAUUUAUUUUUCAUUUAUGAAAUUUCUCACUUUAUGUUGCUUAUUAUGUACUCUCUUCAAUUGGAAAGUUAAGAGUAUUUUUUACAAAAUUAGAUUUUUGUCACAAUUUUAAAUUAUUUACCAACUCUAUUGAUUUUAUAGUCUCUGUAUUUCUAAUAAUUAUUAAAUUUAGUUUUUUGUAUUUUUGUUUCUUAUUUAUUUGAAAGAGGAUAUUUAUGUUUAUUAUUAUUGAUAGAAUUUAAAAUUAUGUUGUAAAUAUUAUUGUCGAAUUUGCUAUUUUUGAAAAUUUUUAUUUUAAAAGUAUAUUCCCACAUUGUAUCUUUUUUUAAUUUUGAUAAAUAUAAAUUUUGAAAGACAAAAUUUAAAAUUUAUUAAAGGUAUUGAACAUUUACCAAUACUAAAUUGAACGAUUCUAAAAAUAUUUAGACGAAGCAGUUUUGUCGUUUACAAUAAUUUAUAUAUAUAUAUUACAUGUGUAUGUAUAUAUAACUUAAUUCUUUUAAUAACAUUUUUCUUACCGUGUGUUAAAUAAUUGAUAAUAUUUUAAUAACAUUUUCAUUCGCAAUAUUUGUUUAACAUCCCAUAUAGGGAUAAGAGUGUAGUUCAAUCAAUUGUUAAUAAAUAUAAGGGAUGACUAAUUAGGUCAUUGCUUUAGUAAUAAUUAAAGGUAAUCUUAGGUAAUUUAUGAGCACAAUCAAGUUCAAACUUAAUUGGUCAAUAAAAGCAACUAGUGAUUAGUUCAAUGCAAACCAUUAUUUGUUUUUCAUGAGCUAAAUUGGAGGUGUGUAUUUAUAUAUUAGAUUGUUAGUAAAGAUACACAUGUAUUCAAAUUUUUUUAAAAUUUUCAUUUUUUUCUUGGAGAUAACCGAAUAAAGUCAAGGUUGAAUAUCUCACAUAAAUGAUAAAACUCCUCGAAUAAAAAAGAGAACUAGCAAUCAACUAAUCUAAAAUGUUGUAAAACCAAGAAAAGUUAGGCAACACCACGGUAUCUAAUCCCUUCUGAACUAGCUCCAUGUACAAAUCUAUUACACUCUCUAGGUGUAACACAAAAAGUGAAAUGUAUGACAAAACCAAAUGCCAAUCUUUAUGUUUACAAAUAAGUUUUGAACUUUAACCAAUGAGUCCAGUAAACGAUUAGUCGUAGUGACCAGUACUUGACAAUAGAAAAAAAUGUAUAGAUGUAGACCAUCCAACCUCUGAAGUACGAAAUCUCCAAAACUCCAAAAUUGUGCCUAUUAAUUACCCACGAUUUGCUAAAUUAGUUAACCAUUUGUUGUGAUCAAACAAUCUCAUUAAAUGUGCUUACUCUUAGUUAAUACAUUUUUGUAUUAUGCUUUUUACCUCAUAGUUAUUUAUUCCUCAUAUAGUCAAAUAAUUAGCUUAUAUUACUCCUAGAAUACCUUUUUUUU
rnacentral:lncRNA from 1 species